rnacentral:lncRNA from 1 species
GAAAGAACACUGUCCGAGCUGCUUCUGUUGUUGUUGGGGUUGGGAGACACCUUGGACCGACUGUUGGGGUUGUUGCUGCUGAGGUUGGUUGAAACCCUGACCAUGUUGUUGUUCUUGUAGGACGAUCGAGUAGAUGAUGGCACGGAUUGCAUCAUAGCGUGAUUGUUCGGGGAUUCGCGGCAGCUGCUGGCAACAUUGUUGCUGCAUCACAUGGCAACUGCUCUGCCACAACAUUUGCGACCUAGCAAGACUUUGUGGCAUUGCCACAGGGCUGCAUUGCUGCUGGAGGAAUACCUUGCAUGGGUUUAGCUGCUGCAAGAUAGAUGGCUGAACAUAUGGUAUUUGUUGUUGCGGAAGAACCGGUUGUUGGUGUUGCGAAAAAGGUGGUUGUUGCGGUAGAAUUGGUUGUUGUUGUUGCUGUUGCGAAAAUGGUGGUUGUUGCGGUAGAACUGGUUGUUGCUGCUGCUGAGAAAAUGGUGGUCGUUGUUGUGAAAAUGGGGGUUGUUGCAGUAGAAGUGGUUGUUGUUGCUGCGGGAAUGGUUGUUGUUGCUGCGAAAAUUGUGGUUGUUGUUGCUGCGAAAAUGGUGGUUGUUGCGGUAGAAUUGGUAGUUCUUGCUGCGAGAAUGGUGGUUGUUGCUGUGAAAAUGGUGGUUGUUGUUGCUGCGAUAAUGGUGGUUGUUGUUGCUGUGAACAUGGUGGCUGUUGUGGAAAUGGUUGUGGUUGUUGUUGGAUCGGUUGCUGUUGGUGGUACCAUAAUAUUUGUUGUAGUGGUAAUGGUUGUUGUUGCGAUGGUUUCUCCAAGCCAGGGAUGUGGCUAGUCUCCAUUUGUGCAAUGGCACUUGUCGCUGCAACGGCAAGGAGGGCAAAGAUGAGGAAGGUCUUCAUGGUGAAUUGGUGUUAACUAGUGUUGCUUGGUUUGAUGCUUGUGCUUGUGAUGAUCAUUAUACUUCAUGUCUAUUUAUAGUAGCCCAUGCACCACCUCUUUCCUUCUUUGCAUCAGCUUUAAUAAUUGUGUUUGGAUGUUUCUGAAAUGGAUUUUUGGUACAUUAUGGUAGGUUGCACUAGCUAUACGCGUACUUUUGGAUUGAUCAUCAAAGUUGCUUUUUAGUUGUGCAUAUGAUCAUACACAAAGUACAUGAUGUUUGAGGUAGAUGACUUGCCUUAUUCACUUUACAUGUCAUGCAUUUAUCAGGAUAGUAUCACUUUUACACCCGAUUUUGGAAAAGUUACAUGAUGUUUGCUAUAGAUGACUUGCCUUAUUCACUUUACAUGUCACACACUUAUCAGGAUAUUAUCACUUUUACACCCGAUUUUGGAACCUUGCAUAGGGUGUCAGCCUUAAACAUGAAAAGGCAAAACUUGUGUAGGACUAAGUUGCAAUCAUGUGUGGGUUGUUAAGAUAUGCUCUAUUAUUAAAGCCUUACAUGUGGAGGGUUCUUCUAGACUCAAUUGUUUCUUAUAGAACUAACAUUGUAUUGUCCUUUAAGAUGGUAAGAUAAAUUGACACCUAUAGAGCAUGACACGACUCAUCGAAUUCCCUUUACAUGUAAAGGAUUGUAAUUGCUUACAAGUCACUAACAUAUAUCUGGUCCUAACUCUAGACACAUCAUCAUCAGUUUGAUCUUUGUGUUAAGGAUUUUUAUUUGAUCAUAUCAUUCUUUUGGCGGACUAAGUUUGCAAUAUUGUGCAAAUAUUUCAACGGGCCCACCUGGUCUCUUUUACUAAAUCUUUGGGGCAGGAGGUUGAUAUUUAUUUGAAUUGUGUAGAAUAUUUACAUUGGUAACCUAUUGGAAUUAUUGUAUGUUCGUUAUACUAUGACGACAACAUAUAUAGUUUGGUUUACUGUGGUUCAUGUUCAGGUGUACAAUAAUGAAUUUACUAUAUCAAGGUACUUUAUCAACCCAAAAUAAAAAAUUCCAAACAUUUCAACAUUUUUCAUGAACAAACCUUUAGAACCUAUUCGCGACUAUCCUCCUAGAUCAUGGACAACCAGCAUAUUUCAUUUGUAGGAUUUUGACAAGGUCUUGAUUGUUUCCCACAUAAAAUGUUCUAGAUUGUUUCAUGGCAACUUGUUUGUGCCCGACUAUUUUCAAACUUCUUAUCUAGGCCAUACUUAUGUUUUUCUGUCAUUAAUCUAUUAACUGCUGAAUGAGGUGGUCCCAAAUGAUAAAGAAAACUAUGUUAGGAGUAUGGGCAUCUCUUUCAAUAAAACCAGAGGAUUUUAUGAUUAUGAUUUGGUUCGAAAUAUGUUAAUGAUAUGUGCACUCGAUCUGGGCCCUUAUCCGAUGAAUUGAAAAGUGUUAAAUGGCCCAUGCAUAAAUCUAUAUUUGUUCACAAGUAUCAGAAAUCUGGAAUGGUGACACUACAUAUUCAAUUCAAAUUUGAAAAUACAUCUGAUCCCAGCUAUAAAGGUCGCCAUGUGUCUCAAAGGAGUCUCCAUGGCAACUCUGGCCGUCUGCAAUUACACUAGAUGGCAUGCUAGUCUGCCAUCCAUCGUGGGGAUCCGCCGACAGGACAGGUCAGAGUUCCCGCGGUUGCAACUAGCAGGUUAUUCAUCCAAUCUCUGUUCGUCAGUUAGUGCUCGAUCCUAGAGUAAAUGGUACUUGUAUGGAUAUAUAGUUGCAGAGAGGAAUUUCUUUGCCUAGUGUUUGAUCGGAUUGCUAGCUGGAUUGGUGGAGAAAUCACUACUUCUUCGUGGUAGGGUAGCAGUGGACAAUUAGUACAGACAUACCUGGCAAAAAAUUCUGGUGUGUUGAGAAGUAUAUUAAGUGGAGAUAGUACUAGAUCUGAUGGCUGCCGGAGAUAGUAGUAGAUGUAAUACUACACACUGGCACAGUAUGAGGUCAUUAUAUUGUUCUGUACAAAGUCUGUCACUGAGAUGUACAUAUAUGAGUUACAGCCGUAUAUAUAUUUCUUGCAAAAUCCAUGCUUCCUUGCAGGUGCCCCCGAGACAGAGCCUAUUCCCUAUUUGGUACGGUGAGUAUUAAAUCGAAACUCAAAAUAUGCAUUUAUCGAUUUGUCAAUCUCACAUUAUAUGCAUCUGAUAGGAGAGGUUAUCGUCAGAGGUUGUGGAACAAUCUGAAGGACACUUGUGGUUAAGCAGCAACAGCAGCAGGUGAAGUGUUUCAUGUCAGUCAGUUGGUAGUCAGACUGGCACUUGUUUAAUUUGGAUGAUACAGUUUUUUAUUCACUUUGGUAAAUGCCAAUGGACAAUGACCAAUUUGGAUGAUACACGUGAGGAAUAGACUACAGAAAGACUAGUUAUGUGGUCACCUGGGACUCUAGAGUGUUUUUAGGUGCCAUGCAGUCUUGUUUUGCUGUUAUAGACUUGAUAAAUGCUAUGAGCUAUUUUUGACAGCACCAGUGUCGUUUCAUUGUUGGUUUAGCAGGUGCUUUGGCUAAAAGAAGAAAAGAAAAAUGUUACGCACGCCUAGGUUAUGUCAUGAUUGUUAUUGGCUUUGACAAACUUUGACCUCUGUCUUCUUCAGAUAUCUGUAUCAGUGCUGAUGGUAUCCCAGCAGUGCUGGUUACUGGGGAAGUGUAUGCGGCAUGUCGAAUCAUUCUUCCGCAGGAGGCCCCUAAAGCUUCAACUUGUUGAGAAACUGUCUGCACUCCGCAGUUUGGAACCUUGCGGCAUGAUGCUGUGAAUUUCUUGGAUAGUGGGCUUCCCUGAUGGCUGCUCUGCUAGUGCUAGCUCAGGGAAUGGCCUCUACAACUGAACUGUACUGCAGUCGGUCUUGACCGAGAAUUGUUGGGGCCUAUGGUGUAGGGCGACUGCUUGGCGUCGAGUUGAGCUGCAACGCUGAAUCAAACCCUGGCCGACACAGACAAUCAGAUCUGGAUUUGGUUUGCUGCUCGUCCUUUGGGUUCGUGCCCAUGAUGGGCAAGGUUCACCAGCAGUUUACUAUCAUCCAUGGCGCUUUAACCCUGUGGUGUUCUACUUAUCUGAACAACUUCUUGUUUUUGAAAUGUCAACCGGGGUGUGUGUGUGUGUGUGUGUGUGUGUGUGUCACAAAAAGAGGAAGUCCUCAGUUUGUGAUCAUACAGCAGAGGUGAAUAGAGGGGCAGAGGGCCACACAGUUUUUUUUUAGAAAUGGAGGCGUACCCCCGGCCUUUGCAUCAUAAUGAUGCAUGCAGCCAUCUUAUUAAAGAGUCUUGAAGUAGCACAAAGUCAAAAAAGUAUUACAGCUCGCAAGCGAAGCGAACCAAAAAAAAAAGUACAUGCCCAAAAUCACUACCGGUAAGGCAAAGUAAAAGAUAAGCUCCCUAUACUCAUAUCCUGUUCUGCGACCGCCAACCGAACCGGUUGAAUAUAGCCCGUGCUACCAUCUCCCACUGGUUGCACCCAGUAACCAAAGCCUCCCUGGAGUCCACAGGAGUGAGUAAGGACCACGUAUGGAUCAAUGCGGUAGCUCUAAAGAUGACCAGCAAGAAAGUUAAAAUGUGUUGUCUGUUAAAAAUCAUAUCAUUCCUACAAUUCCAUAUAGCCAUAAAAGCGCACAUACUCCAAUCCGAAUACGAGAUACAGUAAUAUGCUCAACCCCAGCUAACCACAUUCCAAACAACAAUUCAAUGUCAACUUGAGGAUUAAAGUUAAAGGCUAUAUGGAUCAUUCUCCAAAGCAAUUUGGCGAGUGGGCACUCAAGGAAUAGAUGUUGUAUUGUUUCAUCAUGAUCACAAAAACAACAACGUCAACAACCUACCCAUCGCGUCUUUAUUAAGAUAUCCUUGAUGAGGAUUACUUGCUUGUGGACGAACCACAUAAAUAUUUUAAUAUGCAAGGGAACCUUAACCUUCCAAAUAUGUAACGAUCUCGUGAUUGGGCCAGAAUUAAUCAGAUCCAUGUAAAACGAUUUCACCGUAAAUGCCCCAUUUCUAGCUAACUUCCAGUGCGUCCAAUCAGGUUGGUCGGAUAAUUGAACAUCUAUCUGAGUUGUCAUUUGAUUAACGGGAUCACAUCAUUAGGAGAAUGAUGUGAUUGACUUGACCCAUUCCGUUAGCUUAGCACUUGAUCGUUUAGUAUUCUGCUAUUGCUUUCUACAUGACUUAUACAUGUUCCUAUGACUAUGAGAUUGUGCAACUCCCAUUUACCGGAGGAACACUUUGUGUGCUACCAAACGUCACAACGUAACUGGGUGAUUAUAAAGGUGCUCUACAAGUGUCUCCGAAGGUACUUGUUGGGUUGGCGUAUUCCGACAUUAGGAUUUGUCACUCCGAUUGUCGGAGAGGUAUCUCUGGGCCCACUCGGUAAUGCACAUCACUAUAAGCCUUGCAAGCAUUGUAACUAAUGAGGUAGUUGCGGGAUGAUGUGUUACAGAACGAGUAAAGAGACUUGCCGGUAACGAGAUUGAAAUAGGUAUUGAGAUACCGACGAUCAAAUCUCGGGCAAGUAACAUACCGACGACAAAGGGAACAACGUAUGUUGUUAUGCGGUUUGACCGAUAAAGAUCUUCCUAGAAUAUGUAGGAGCCAAUGUGAGCAUCCAGGUUCCGCUAUUGGUUAUUGAUCGAAGACGUGUCUCGGUCAUGGCUACAUAGUUCUCGAACCCGUAGGGUCCGCACGCUUAAUGUUCGGUGCCGAUUUAUAUUAUGAGUUAUGUGUUUUGAUGUACCGAAGGUAGUUCGGAGUCCCGGGUGAGAUCGGGGACAUGACGAGGAGUCUCGAAAUGGUCAAGACGUAAAGAUCGAUAUAUUGGACGACUAUAUUCGGACAUCCGAAAGGUUCCGAGUGAUUCGGGUAUUUUUCGGGGUACCGGAGAGUUACGGGAAUUCGCCGGGGAGUAUAUGGGCCUUAUUGGGCUUUAGGGAAAAGAGAGAGGGUAGGCUGUGCGCCCCCCAAGGCCUAGUCCGAAUUGGACUAGGGGGAGGGGCUGCGCCCCCUCCUUCCUUCUCUUCUCUUUUCCCUUUCGUUGACUCCUACUCCUACUACUCGGAAGAGGGGCAAUCCUACUCCCGGUUGGAGUAGGACUCCUCCAGGGCGUGCCAUAGGAGGGCCGGCCCUUCCCCCUCCUCCACUCCUUUAUAUACGGGGGCAGGGGGCACCUCUAGACACACAAGUUGAUCUGUUGAUCUAUUCUAGCCGUCUGCGGUGCCCCCUCCACCAUAUUCCACCUUGGUCAUAUCGUAGCGGUGCUUAGGCGAAGCCCUGCGUCGGUAACAACAUCAUCACCGUCAUCACGCCGUCGUGCUGACGGAACUCUCCCGCAAAGCUCUGCUAGAUCAGAGUUCGUGGGACGUCGUCGAGCUGAACGUGUGCUGAACUCGGAGGUGCCGUGCGUUCGGUACUUGGAUCGGUCGGAUCGUGAAGACGUACGACUACAUCAACCGCGUUGUCAUAACGCUUCCGCUUUCGGUCUACGAGGGUACGUGGACACACUCUCCCCUCUUGUUGCUAUGCAUCACCAUGAUCCUGUGUGUGCGUAGCAAAUUUUUUGAAAUUACUACGUUCCCCAACAGUGGCAUCCGAGCCAGGUUUUAUGCGUAGAUGUUAUAUGCACGAGUAGAACACAAGUGAGUUGUGGGCGAUACAAGUCAUACUGCUUACCAGCAUGUCAUACUUUGGUUCAGCGGUAUUGUUGGAUGAAGCGGCCCGGACCAACAUUACGCGUACGCUUACGCGAGACUGGUUCUACCGACAUGCUUUGCACAGAGGUGGUUGGCGGGUGUCAGUUUCUCGAACUUUAGUUGAACCGAGUGUGGCUACGUCCGGUCCUUGAGAAGGUUAAAACAGCACCAACUUGACGAACUAUCGUUGUGGUUUUGAUGCGUAGGUAAGAACGGUUCUUGCUCAGCCCGUAGCAGCCAUGUAAAACAUGCAACAACAAAGUAGAGGACGUCUAACUUGUUUUUGCAGGGCAUGUUGUGAUGUGAUAUGGUCAAGGCAUGAUGCUAUAUUUUAUUGUAUCAGAUGAUCAUGUUUUGUAAUCGAGUUAUCGGCAACUGGCAGGAGCCAUAUGGUUGUCGCUUUAUUGUAUGCAAUGCAAUCGCCCUGUAAUUGCUUUACUUUAUCACUAAGCGGUAGCGAUAGUCGUAGAAGCAAUAGUUGGCGAGACGACAACGAUGCUACGAUGGAGAUCAAGGUGUCGCGCCGGUGACGAUGGUGAUCAUGAUGGUGCUUCGGAGAUGGAGAUCACAAGCACAAGAUGAUGAUGGCCAUAUCAUAUCACUUAUAUUGGUUGCAUGUGAUGUUUAUGCAUCUUAUUUUGCUUAGAUCGACGGUAGCAUUAUAAGAUGAUCUCUUACUGAAUUUCAAGGUAUAAGUGUUCUCCCUGAGUAUGCACCGUUGCAAAAGUUCUUCGUGAUGAGACACCACGUGAUGAUCGAGUGUGAUAGGCUCUACGUUCAAAUACAACGGGUGCAAAACAGUUGCACACGCGCAAUACUCAGGUUAAACUUGACGAGCGGAGCAUAUGCAGAUAUGGCCUCGGAACACUGAGAUCGAAAGAUAGAGCGUGAAUCAUAUAGUACAUAUGAUCAACAUAGUGAUGUUCACCAUUGAUACUACUCCAUCUCACGUGAUGAUCGGACAUGGUUUAGUUGAUAUGGAUCACGUGAUCACUUAGAGGAUUAGAGGGAUGUCUAUCUAAGUGGGAGUUCUUAAGUAAUAUGAUUAAUUGAACUUAAAUUUAUCAUGAACUUAGUACCUGAUAGUAUCUUGCUUGUCUAUGUUGUUGUAGAUAGAUGGCCCGUGCUAUUGUUCCGUUGAAUUUUAAUGCGUUCCUUGAGAAAGCAAAGUUGAAAGAUGUUAGUAGCAAUGAUGCGGAUUGGAUCCGUGAUCUGAGGAUUAUCCUCAUUGCUGCACAGAAGAAUUAUGUCCUUAAUGCACCGCUAGGUGACGGACCUAUUGCAGGAGCAUAAGCAGACGUUAUGAACGUUUGGCAAAACUCGGUAUGAUGACUACUUGAUAGUUUAGUGCACCAUGCUUUAUGGCUUAGAACCGGGACUUCAAAAAUGUUUUGAAACGUCACGGAGCAUAUGAGAUGUUCCAAGAGACGAAAUUAGUAUUUCAGACUCAUGCCCAUGUCAAGAGGUAUGAGACCUCUGACAAGUACUUUGCCUAAAAGAUGGAGGAGAAUUCCUCAACUAGUGAGCAUAUGCUCAGAAUGUCUGGGUACUACAAUCACUUGAAUCAAGUGGGAGUUAAUCUUCCAGAUAAGAUAGUGAUUGACAGAGUUCUCUAGUCACCAUCACCAAGUUACUAGAACUUCGUGAUGAACUAUAAUAUGCAAGGGAUAACAGAAACAAGUCCCAAGCUCUUCGUGAUAAUGAAAUCGGCGAAGGUAGAAAUCAAGAAGGAGCAUCAAGUGUUGAUGGUCAAAAAGACCACUAGUUUCAAGAAAAAGGGCAAAGGGAAGAAGAAGGGGAACUUCAAAAAGAACGGCAAGCAAGUUGCUGCUCAGGAGAAGAAACCAAAGUCUGGACCUAAGCCUGAAACUGAGUGCUUCUACUGCAAAGGGACUGGUCACUGAAAGCGGAACUGCCCCAAGUAUUUGGCGGAUAAGAAGGAUGGCAAAGUGAGCAAAAGUAUAUUUGACAUACAUGUUAUUUAUGUGUAAUUUACUAGUGUUUAUAGCAACCCCUCGGUAAUUGAUACUAGUUCAGUUGCUAAGAGUAGUAACUCGAAACGGGAGUUGCAGAAUGAACAGAAACUAGUUAAGGGCGAGGUGAUGAUGUGUGUUGGAAGUAGUUCCAAGAUUGAUAUGAUCAUCAUCACACACUCCCUAUACUUUCGGGAUUAGUGUUGAACCUAAAUAAGUGUUAUUUUGUGUUUGCGUUGAGCAUAAAUAUGAUUUGAUCAUGUUUAUUGCAAUACGGUUAUUCAUUUAAGUUAGAGAAUAAUUGUUGUUUUGUUUACAUGAAUAAAACCUUCUAUGGUCAUACACCCAAUGAAAAUGGUUUGUUGGAUCUCGAUCGUAGUGAUACACAUAUCCAUAAUAUUGAAGCCAAAAGAUGCAAAGUUAAUAAUGAUAGUGCAACUUAUUUGUGGCACUACCGUUUUGGUCAUAUUGGUGUAAAGCGCAUGAAGAAACUCCAUACUGAUGGGCUUUUGGAAUCACUUGAUUAUGAAUCACUUGAUGCUUGCGAACCAUGCCUCAUGGGCAAGAUGACUAAAACUCCGUUCUCCGGAACAAUGGAGUGAGUAACAGAUUUGUUGGAAAUCAUACAUACUGAUGUAUGUGGUCCAAUGAAUGUUGAGGCUCGCGGCGGGUAUCGUUAUUUUUCCGCCUUCACAGAUGAUUUGAGCAGAUAUGGGUAUAUCUACUUGAUGAAACACAAGUCUGAAAUAGUUGAAAAGUUCAAAGAAUUUCAGAGUGAAGUGGAGAAUCAUCGUAACAAGAAAAUAAAGUUUCUACGAUCUGAUCGCAGAGACGAAUAUUUGAGUUACGAGUUUGGCCUUCAAUUAAAACAAUGUGGAAUAGUUCCACAAACUCAUGCCACCUGGAACACCACAUAAUGGUGUGUCCGAACGUCAUAACCGUACUUUAUUGGAUAUAGUGCGAUCUAUGAUGUCUCUUACCGAUUUACUGUUAUUGUUUUGGGGUUAUACAUUAGAGACUGCUGCAUUCACGUUAAAUAGGGCACCAUCUAAAUCCGUUGAGAUGACGCCUUAUGAACUAUGGUUUGGCAAGAAACCAAAGUUGUCGUUUCUUAAAGUUUGGGGCUGCGAUGCUUAUGUGAAAAACUUCAACCUGAUAAGCUCGAACCCAAAUCGGAGAAAUGUGUCUUCAUAGGAUACCCAAAAGAGACUGUUGGGUACACCUUCUAUCACAGAUCCGAAGGCAAGACUUUUGUUGCUAAAUUUGGCUCCUUUCUAGAAAAGGAGUUUCUCUCGAAAAAAGUCAGUGGGAGGAAAGUAGAACUUGAUGAGGUAACUGUACCUACUCCCCUAUUGGAAAGUAGUUCAUCACAGAAACCGGUUUCUGUGACAUCUACACCAAUUAGUGAGGAAGCUAAUGAUGAUGAUCAUGAAACUUCAGAUCAAGUUGCUACUAAAUGUCGUAGGUCAACCAGAGUAAGAUCCGCACCAGAGUGGUACGGUAAUCCUGUUCUGGAAGUCAUGUUACUAGACCAUGACGAACCUAUGAACUAUGAGGAAGCGAUGAUGAGCCCAGAUUCCGCAAAAUAGCUUGAGGCCAUGAAAUCUGAGAUGGGAUCCAUGUAUGAGAACAAAGUGUGGACUUUGGUUGACUUGCCCGAUAAUCGGCAAGCCAUCGAGAAUAAAUGGAUCUUCAAGAAGAAGACAGACGCUGACGGUAAUGGAUCUCCAAAGGCCGCUAACACUGUGUGUAAGCUCCAGCGAUCCAUUUAUGGACUGGUGCAAGCAUCUCGGAGUUGGAAUAAACGUUUUGAUAGUGUGAUCAAAGCAUACGGUUUUAUACAUACUUUUGGAGAAGCCUGUAUUUAUAAGAAAGUGAGUGGGAGCUCUGUAGCAUUUCUGAUAUUAUAUCUGGAUGACAUAUUGUUGAUUGGAAAUGAUAUAGAAUUUCUGGAUAGCAUAAAGGGAUAUUUGAACAAGAGUGUUUUCAAUGAAGGACCUCGGUGAAGCUGCUUAUAUAUUGGGCAUUAAGAUCUAUAGAGAUAGAUCAAGACGCUUAAUUGGACUUUCACAAAGUACAUACCUUGACAAAGUUUUGAAGAAGUUCAAAAUGGAUCAUGCAAACAAAGGGUUCUUGCCUGUGUUACAAGGUGUGAAGUUCAGUAAGACUCAAUGCCCGACCACUGCAAAAGAUAGAGAGAAGAUGAAAGAUGUUCCCUAUGCUUCAGCCAUAGGCUCUAUCAUGUAUGCAAUGCUGUGUACCAGACCUGAUGUGUGCCUUGCUAUUAGUUUAGCAGGGAGGUACCAAAGUAAUCCAGGAGUGGAUCACUGGACAGCGGUCAAGAACAUCCUGAAAUACCUGAAAAGGCCUAAGAAUAUGUUUCUCGUUUAUGGAGGUGACAAAGAGCUCAUCAUAAAUGGUUACGUUAAUGCAAGCUUUGACACUGAUCCGGACGAUUCUAAAAUCGCAAACCGGAUACGUGUUUAUAUUGAACGGUGGAGCUGUCAGUUGGAACAGUUCUAAACAAAGCGUCGUGGCGGGAUCUAUGUGUGAAGCGGAGUACAUAGAUGCUUCAGAAGCAGUGAAUGAACGAGUCUGGAUGAAGGAGUUCAUAUCCGAUCUAGGUGUCAUACCUGGUGCAUCGGGUCCAAUGAAAAUCUUUUGUGACAAUACUGGUGCAAUUGCCUUAGCAAAGGAAUCCAGAUUUCACAAGAGAACCAAGCACAUCAAGAGACGCUUCAACUCCAUCCGGGGUCAAGUCCAGGUGGGAGACAUAGAGAUUUGCAAGAUACAUACGGAUCUGAAUGUUGCAGAUCCGUUGACUAAGCCUCUUCCCCGAGCAAAAUAUGAUCAGCACCAAGACUCCAUGGGUGUUAGAAUCAUUACUUUGUAAACUAGAUUACUGACUCUAGUAAACCCUUUGAGUGUUGGUCACAUAGCGAUAUGAACUAUUGGUGUUAAUCACAUAGUGAUGUGAACUAUUGUUGUUAAAUCACAUGGCGAUGUGAGCUAGAUUAUUGACUCUAGUGCAAGUGGGAGACUGAAGGAAAUAUGCCCUAGAGGCAAUAAUAAAGUUAUUAUUUAUUUCCUUAUAUCAUGAUAAAUGUUUAUUAUUCAUGCUAGAAUUCUAUUAAAUGGAAACAUGAUACAUGUGUGAAUACAUAGACAAACAGAGUGUCACUAGUAUGCCUCUACUUGACUAGCUCGUUGAUCAAAGAUGGUUAUGUUUCCUAGCCAUAGACAUGAGUUGUCAUUUGAUUAACGGGAUCACAUCAUUAGGAGAAUGAUGUGAUUGACUUGACCCAUUCCGUUAGCUUAGCACUUGAUCGUUUAGUAUUCUGCUAUUGCUUUCUUCAUGACUUAUACAUGUUCCUAUGACUAUGAGAUUAUGCAACUCCCGUUUACCGGAGGAACACUUUGUGUGCUACCAAACGUCACAACGUAACUGGGUGAUUAUAAAGAUGCUCUACAGGUGUCUCCGAAGGUACUUGUUGGGUUGGCGUAUUUCGAGAUUAGGAUUUGUCACUCCGAUUGUCGGAGAGGUAUCUCUGGGCCCACUCAGUAAUGCACAUCACUAUAAGCCUUGCUAGCAUUGUAACUAAUGAGUUAGUUGCGGGAUGAUGUGUUACGGAACGAGUAAAGAGACUUGCCGGUAACGAGAUUGAACUAGGUAUUGAGAUACCGACGAUCGAAUCUCGGGCAAGUAACAUACCGAUGACAAAGGGAACAACGUAUGUUGUUAUGCGGUUUGACCGAUAAAGAUCUUCGUAGAAUAUGUAGGAGCCAAUAUGAGCAUCUAGGUUCCGCUAUUGGUUAUUGACCGGAGACGUGUCUCGGUCAUGUCUACAUAGUUCUCGAACCCGAAGGGUCCGCACGCUUAAAGUUCGGUGACGAUUUAUAUUAUGAGUUAUGUGUUUUGAUGUACCGAAGGUAGUUCGGAGUCCCGGAUGAGAUCGGGGACAUGACGAGGAGUCUCGAAAUGAUCGAGACGUAAAGAUCGAUAUAUUGGACGACUAUAUUCGGACAUCCGAAAGGUUUCGAAUGAUUCGGGUAUUUUUCGAAGUACCAGAGAGUUACGGGAAUUCGUCGGGGAGUAUAUGGGCCCUAUUGGGCUUUAGGGAAAAGAGAGAGGGGAGGCUGCGCCCCCCCCCCCCCAAGGCCUAGUCCAAAUUGGACUAGGGGGAGGGGCUGCGCCCCGUCCUUCCUUCUCUUCUCUUUUCCUUUUCCUAGACUCCUACUCCUACUACUUGGAAGAGGGGGAAUCCUACUCCCGGUGGGAGUAGGACUCCUCCUGGGCGCGCCAUAGGAGGGCCGGCCCUUCCCCCUCCUCCACUGCUUUAUAUACGGGGGCAGGGGGCACCUCUAGACACACAGGUUGAUCUGUUGAUCUAUUCCAGCCGUGUGCGGUGCCCCCCUCCAUCAUAUUCCACCUCGGUCAUAUCAUAGUGGUGCUUAGGUGAAGCCCUGCGUUGGUAACAACAUCAUCACUGUCAUCAGCCGUCGUGCUGACGGAACUCUCCCGCAAAGCUCUGCUGGAUCGGAGUUCGUGGGACGUCAUCGAGCUGAACGUGUGCUGAACUCGGAGGUGCCGUGCGUUCGGUACUUGGAUCGGUCGGAUCGUGAAGACGUACGACUACAUCAACCGCGUUGUCAUAACGCUUCCGCUUUCGGUCUACGAGGGUACGUGGACACACUCUCCCCUCCCGUUGCUAUGCAUCACCAUGAUCCUGUGUGUAGGAAAUUUUUUGAAAUUACUACGUUCCCCAACACUAUCAUCCUCCGGACCAAGUGCAUCGAGGCAGUCCAUCGCUCACCAACUAGCGCAUGUCAGAACUGAAUAUUCAAGGGAGUCGUUUUUAAUACUGUGCCUACGUAAUCCUCCUUACAUUGCACGAUGUUAUAAAGGGUGGGAUGUUGUACGCCUAGGGGCGUCUCUCCUAACCACGUAUCCUUCUAAAAUCUUGUUGACAUCCCAUUGCCAACCAAGAAUUUGACCCUACGAAAGAACAAGUCCUACGUUCUCAUGAGUCCCUUCCAGAAUGGCGAGUCAGUUGGUCUCACGGUAACCUGGGCGAGCGUUUUUGACUGUAAAUACUUAUUGCGUAGAAUCUGUGCCCACAUACCUUCCGGCUCUGCCUCUAACUUGUAGAGCCAUUUACUCAUAAGACAUUUAUUCUUAAUUUCCAGGUUCUCAAUACCGAGACCCCCCUGGUCCUUGGGUCGGCAAAGAAUAUCCCAUCGGGCGAGACGGUAUUUCCUCUUGGCCUCAUCAGACUGCCAGAAGAAUUGAGAUCUAAAUAAAUAAAGUCUCUUCCGCACCCCUUUCGGUAUCUCGAAGAACGAUAGCAGGAACAUCCGCAUACUAGUACGUACCGAGUUAAUCAGCACUAGCCGACGUCCAUACGACAUAAGCUUGCUCUUCCAACUACUAAGCUUUUUUUCAAUUCGAUCUUCGUUGCACUUCCAUUCUAUAUUAGAUAACUUACGGUGAUGAAUCGGUAUGCCCAAAUAACUGAAUGGCAAAGAACCUAAUUCACACCCGAAUAGUUGUCUAUACAUGUCUUGCUCUUCUUUGGCCUUUCCAAAGCAGAACAACUCGCUCUUGAUAAAAUUUAUCUUUAAUCCAGACAAUUGUUCGAAGAGACAUAAUAUGACUUUCAUAUUUCGCGCUUUUGCAAUGUCAUGUUCCAUGAAUAGGAUAGUGUCGUCAGCGUACUAUAAAAUGGAGACUCCCCCAUCGACCAGAUGAGGGACUAACCCCUCCACAUGACCGUUUUGCUUGGCCCUACAAAUAAGAAUGGUCACCAUAUCGGCCAUUAUAUUAAAUAGGAGAGGAGACAUGGAAUCCCCUUGUCUCAAUCCCUUGUGUGUAUGAAAGUAAUGACCAAUAUCAUCGUUAACCUUGAUUCCGACACUACCCUUCUAGACUUGAGAACCCACUUGGUUCUGCCAGGCCUCACUAAAUCCUUUCAUGUGCAUUGCCUGCUGAAGGAAAGGCGAUUUAACUUUAUCAUAUGCCUUCUCAAAAUUCACUUGGAAGAUAACCCCUCCAUCUAGCUUCUUCGAAUGAAUUUCAUGCAGGGUUUCAUGUAGAACGACCACCCCUUCAAGUAUGUGUCGCCCCGGCAUGAAAGCUGUCUGGCUCGGUGGUACCACUGAAUGAGCAAUUUGUGUCAAUCUAUUGGUACCCACUUUCGUGAAUAUUUUGAAACUCACAUUAAGAAGACAUAUUGGCCUGAAUUGUUCGAUCCGAACUGCCUCUUCUUUCUUUGGCAACAGUGUAAUCAUACUAAAGUUAAGAUGAAACAGUUCUAAAUGACCGUUAAAAAUCAUGAAACAUAGGCAUAAGAUCAUCUUUAAUAAUAUGCCAACAUUUCCUAUAGAAUUCAGCUGGAAACCCAUCUGGUCCCGGUGCUUUAUUCAGUUUCAUUUGUGAGAUUGCAUCCAAAACCUCUUUGUCAGUAAAUGGUGCAGAUAGAAUAUCAUUCUCCUCUACUCGAAGCUGAGGGAUAUCUCCAAUAAAAUAUUCAUUAAGGGACACCGUGCUUGCUUCCGGAGGCCCAAAAAGUUCUUUGUAAUAAUUAGAGAUAUAAGCUUUCAGAUUCUCACGCCCUGCAAUUGUCCCGUUGUCCUGUUCAAGCUGUAUUAUUUUCUUCUUCCUAUGUUUACCAUUCGUGAUCAUAUGAAAGAAUUGUGUAUUGUCAUCCCCUUGGACAACCUUAAGCACUUUAGCCCGCAAUGCCCACUUGAGCUCCUCUUCUCUAAGAAGGGCUCGUAAGCCUUGAUGGGUUUCGGACUUGGAGCUCUGCUCAUCAGCCGUAGGAAGGUUAACUUCAGCUUUUAAAUCUAGCGCAUCUAUUAAUUGGGUGAGUCGCUCUUUUUCUUGUAUGUAUAUGCCACUCUCGUUUCUGGCCCAAUCUCGCAAAACUGUCUCAGUUGUCUAAUUUUAUUUUGCCGUCUCUCAAUAAUUGUUCGUCCACUAACAGGGUUUGCCCAUUCGCGUGCAAUGAUCUCCAAGAAGUUUUCUUUCUCGAAUCAACCUAGUUCGAACGAGAAAGCAUUCUUGUUUGCAAUAUGUGUAGCCUAUCCCGAGUCUACUAGUAAUGGUGUGUGGUCUGAGAUCGCCCUCUGCAUCGCAUGUACCGGCACUAAUGGGUAUUUUUGUUCCCAAUCCACACUAGCGAGCACCCUAUCCAACUUCUCAUAAGUUGGAGUGGGCAACGAAUUGGCCCAUGUAAAUUGUCUACCGGUGAGCUCAAUUUCUCUCAAACUAAGACUCUCAAUAAUCAUGUUAAACAUCAUAGACCAGCGUCCAUCAAAAUUGUCAUUGUUCUUUUCAUCUCUCCUCCGAAUUAUGUUAAAAUCCCCUCUGACUAGGAUUGGAACAGUCUCGUCUCCACAGAUCCGCACCAAGUCGGCUAAAAAAUCUGGUUUGAGUUUGGGUUGUGCUUCCCCAUAUACAGCAAUGAGAGACCAUCGGAAGCCAUCCAAUUUCGAUCUCACCCGAAACUUGACAGCAGAAUCCCCCCGAACCACGUUAAGCACCUCAAGCGUUUCGCACCGAACUCCUAGUAAUAUCCCACCAGAUCUUCCUCUAGGAGGUAAAACGUGGCAAUCAAAAUCAAUUCCUCCGGAUAAAGUUCCAAGGAACUGUGAGGUGAAAUUAUCCCGUCCUGUUUCGAGUAGAGCAACGAAAUCUAAUUUUUUUCUCAAUCGUUGUCUCUGCCAAGAACUUUCGUUUAGCCAAGUCAGCUAGACCUUUGCUAUUCCAAAAUAUCCCUUUCAUAAGUCAUCAUUGAAUUUUUUUUCUUAGCCUUAACCCUAGCACUUCUAUGAACUGCCGAAGUAGGAUAAAUUUUCUGUUUCCAGGGUCUCCUGGGCUUCUCCCCAUCGCCCUUCGGGAACGUAGGAUCGACAGAACACGAGACAGUGCCCUCCAUCAUUGGAGGCUCUACAGUGUCCCCAGUCUCCAACCCCUCCUCAUCUUCGGCCUCCACAUUAGGCAAGAGAUUAUCACAUAUGUUUUCAAGAGCAGCCAUUCCUGAAUUUUUUAUGUCACUGUCAUUCAUAGGUUUGAUUGAUGCGAGAUUCCGAAUUGUUUCAGAAGCCCUCUCCGCUUCUAAAUCUAAAAGAUCAUUUACAGAUUUCGCAACCUCCUUCUCAUUCAAACCCAAAGAUAUACCUAAGUCGUUUGCCUUAUCAAUAAUUUCAUGCUCGAUGAAAUGCAGAAUUGAACAACUCUUAUCAAAAGACAUACCUUUAGUUGCCUCGACAUCUCGAAGCUUGGCCGCCCUCAUGGCGCGCGCUAGCUGCAGGUCAUCAGCAUCUAGUUGUCCCUGGAUCCGGUUGCUGACACGCCUACCAGCUGUUACCGGAUCCGGGAUCCCACCGAAAGCGAUAAGCUCCUCUGUAGUCAUCUCCCGAGGCGUGUGGUCCCCGCUCCCACGCCCUUGCCUUGUUGCUGGUGAAGAAGGGUAAGGCGCGGUCGAGCGGGAAACGCCAACCGAAGUAAUGGGAGAAGGAGACCAUGGAGCCACCUGCUCGAGAGUCCCACUCCCCCCCCAAACCGUCAACGCGGCGUGGAGUCGAAACGGGAGAAGGGGAGUUGUUGGCCUCCUGCCCAUACCCCUGUCUGUGCCGCCCGGAGCUACCCCGUGGUGAGAGGGCGCCGCGGGCUUCCUGCCCGCGCACCUCCCCAAGGUGGCCAGGGACCGCCGCGGGUGGGCUGGUGGUGCGAGCCUCCUGCCCACNNNNNNNNNNNNNNNNNNNNNNNNNNNNNNNNNNNNNNNNNNNNNNNNNNNNNNNNNNNNNNNNNNNNNNNNNNNNNNNNNNNNNNNNNNNNNNNNNNNNNNNNNNNNNNNNNNNNNNNNNNNNNNNNNNNNNNNNNNNNNNNNNNNNNNNNNNNNNNNNNNNNNNNNNNNNNNNNNNNNNNNNNNNNNNNNNNNNNNNNNNNNNNNNNNNNNNNNNNNNNNNNNNNNNNNNNNNNNNNNNNNNNNNNNNNNNNNNNNNNNNNNNNNNNNNNNNNNNNNNNNNNNNNNNNNNNNNNNNNNNNNNNNNNNNNNNNNNNNNNNNNNNNNNNNNNNNNNNNNNNNNNNNGGAAUCAGCCCUCUGAGAUGAAAGUACCUUUGUCGACACAACAUCAGGCAGCAUCACUGGCGGUAGCUCGAUCUCCCAUGGAUCGUCCGCUUCAACUCAGUUACUCCAUAACCGGCUAGGCGCAGACCGCGCUCCAAAAGAGCCAAACCGAAGUGUAUUCAUCGGUUUCAUGGAAGACGACGCCUCCUUGGCAGACUUAUCCGCCUUGUCCGACUGCGACUUCGGCCCCUCAGCCGACUCUCGUGGUGUGCUCUCAGGCCCCUUGUCUUGAUUCCCGGGGGCUCCAUCUCCCUCAGGCGUAUCCAUAUCCUGAUGCUCAUCCCCCUCCUGAGGUAUCGGUGUAUCCUCAAUCUCAAUCUCAAGCACGUAAGUGACCCCGGCAUGCGUCCACUUGACCACAUCCGGCACGAACUCAAGACUGGUCACACUGACAAGUAACCUCGCAGCUCCGUGUGCACGAGUGAAAGGCAUGUCUACCUGUUCCGUCUUACCAAUGGGCGAUCCCAAGCUUCUGGCUACCAAGAAGUGCUUAAUCAGUUUGGGUGGUGCAUCAUAGAACCGUACCCAGACCUUCUCUAAAGGUGUACCCUCGGGCUCCUUCUGCUUCCACUCAUCAAAAGCCAUGAUAAUUUUCGUACUCGGUACUCUGCACAUGCCAAACUUAAGGAUAUGGAACUGAUCCUCUUUAGUGGGAAAAUCGACCUUGAAAGUUUGGUUCUCCAACUUGACAAGGUCCCAUUGAUGGUUGCCUGGUACCAACUCCCGCAACUGCCGCACAAUCUGUGCCUCUGUCAUGAUCCCAUUAGUAACCUUGACAACUGCAGGAAAGGAGCUCUCCAUCACAUGCGCCAUAGGUGCCACAUCAGGUGACUCAAAAAACAAUAACUCCUGACAGCAAACCCCGCAAAUAUUGACCACCAGCUUGGGGCCUGAAAUAAGCGGGCACUCACUGGACACAUGCUGCGAUCUACAACAGUAAUUACAUAGCUCUGUGGUACAUUCUGCCACAAAAUGUCCCGGCUCGCCACAUCUGUAACACGGUAACUUCUUCUUCUUAAGAGUCCACUUGGAUAACUUUUCACCAUCAGGUUUGUCCGAUCCCUUGUCAGAACCUCCGUCACCGGCCUUAGCAGCUCCAGUGUUCAUCACCGGAAUGCUAACCGCUGCCAAAGCCUAGACCUUGUCUACAACCACCUCGGGAAGAGCAGGUGAGGCCAUCUCCACCGUAGUAACUAGCUCGGCUUGGGCCACAACACCCACAACAACAGGCGGUGGUGGAGGUCACGGUGGAGGCAGGCGCCGACCCCUCCUCUCCCACCACGGAAACCACAAUGACUUCCCCGGUUAUAUGGUUAUUAGGGCCGGCCACCCCCUCGACGAAGUUGUCGGGAGGUCCUUCAAAACCGCGUCUGGUUCCUCCGCCAUUGUACCACGCGUAUCCGCCCCCACCUCCAGUGGAGGAUGAACCGCGGUGCUGUCCUUCGCCAUACGCAUCAUAUCCAUCGUCACCCCACUGUCCACGGGGCGGGUAACCAUAGCCGUCAGCGCCGGAGUACUCACAGCCACCGCCAUAUUGGCCAUCGCGGCCCCGGCCAAAGUACUGGCGCCCCGCAGCCGGUGCAGCAGUCGGCAGCCGCGCGUCCCGCGCUGCCUUUUGGUGCCUUGAAGCUCCCCAUCCCAAGGGGUGGAAUCGCCGAGAUCCGCCUCCUGCGGCGGCGCGGGAAGAGACGGCUUCGAGGAGGGACCCUACAGCGACGGCAGCACACCUGCCGAAGAAGACGGCGGCGGCAGCAGGGCAUCCGGCGGGUGCGGGCUGUCAGGUGGCAGCAUCGCCUAGCAAGUGGGAGACUCUUAUUUCUUCUUCAAGUAAUAAUGGAAAGGCCUUUCAGAGAUUACAAGAUGCACAGAGAGGGCCACGCAGUUACACAGAGAUUACAAGAUACAUAGAGCUGCCAGGUGGGGCAUCAGCGAGCAGCGUCGCUAGAACGAUCUGAAUAACUUGCACCACAUUUGUUCUAAAGUUCCUGUUUUUUUUUUUACUACCAAACCUGCAGCUUUGCGCCUAACUUUGAAAAGGUUCCAUAUGACGAUGCAAUCCAAAUUUGCCUUUUUGAUCGACUACUCUCAGAUGUAGUAGAUUAUACCAAUGACAACAGCUGCAGAUUUAUAUCCCACAAAAAACAUGUUGGUUACUGAAGCUAAGUCGUAAGCACUUUUCACGGUGAAGAUCCAGGCUUUUCCUUGUUUCCACAUUAUUACCCGAGUUGAAUGAUCUGCAUUUCUCAGGCAUCGCUUGUUUCAUACAGGUCCACGACUCCACAUCACCAUUGUUGGUUUGGAGAGGGAGGAAAGGAAGAAGCGGGAAGGGCUCCUUUGUUCUAGUGGAGCUAUGUCCGACUAGUUAGGGGUCAUCCUGAGAUGAAAUCAAAAUGUCAAAGGAGAAAUCCGAUGACUGUGUAUGGGUGGCUCCAUGAAAUUUUCCUUCUUCUCUCGGUGCGUUGAGUCAGUGUUGUCGCCGCAAUGCCGGUUAGUUGUGAAAAGGGUGGGCGCUUGUAACCUUGGUCUGACAAAAAAUUUCUUACUAAUAUGUUCGUUCACUCAAAUGAAAUGUCCCAACAACCGCUAAAGAUUGUUUAGAUAGAUAGAGAAUACAUGAAACAUGUUGAUGUAUUUAAAGAGAAACAAUCACAUCUCUAGUUCAAAAUGUUCUCUAGCCCACCGUGGUAAAUUGUAUAAUUGUCUAUGCAAACCAUAAAAAUUGAUAUCUAAACAAAAAAUUUAAGUGAAGAAACCGCGGUUUAGCAAAUGAAAAAUUACAAAAUAAAUUAAGUGGUUGAAAACAUAAGAUUUGUUUUAAAGGGAGAGACACGGUGAGUGGGCCCUAAGUCCACCUUAACGACUUGUCAAAAGAGUCUUUAAAAUUUUAUGCCACAUCAGCUUGAUAGCCGCCACCCACGGAUCAAUUUCAGCAUCAAAUGCUAGUUAUCGGCCUAUCCCUGCAAUUUGAAAAUUCACUGCUGGAUGCCAAUUCUGUUCUCCGAAUAAGUGAAUGCCGGUGGUUUUUUGAAACCUAACCCCAAUUAUGGUGGUUACUUGCAAUCUACUCCUAGAGCUUAAAGCACACUUUUUGGGCAGUAAGUUGGAUAUAUGCAUUAUAAUAGUGACACUGAUCAGAUUAGUAGUUCUGGAAAACAAAUAGAUGUGCAGAUGCCAUGCCAAAUCAUGCAAGUUAGUAAACAUUUUUUUUAAACGAGUGGCUGUGUGCAUCACACUGGUGCAGAGGCCUGGAGUUAACCUCCUUUUCGGGGGGAAAUCCAUGUUAGUUAAUAGUUACAAUCAGGUUAAGUAACUGGAGAAACUGGAAGAUGCCCCGCGCGUUGCUGCGGGACCAUUUUCUACAACUAUAUUGUCAUAUAAAGAAACAGGAAAAAAAGAUAUAAUGUAAAGUCAAUGACCUAUGUAAUCUAGCAUGAUGUUCACAAAGAUUAAAUGAUGCCUUAGAAUUGUCGAUAAAUAGAAUAUUGGUGAUAAGAACACAAUACAUAUGCGAAAUGAACUCCACAACCAAUGACUAAAUCGGCGGGCACCUGCAAAUGAGCCACUAAAUAUAGGUCUCUCUAAAUUCCUGAAGCCAAUCUUUUGAAUGACACAAGUGAAGCACUGAAAUUAGUACUGGUCUCAAUAUCUGGAUGAAAAAAGUGAUAUCAAUGGCAUGGUUUCCUGACCGUUCCUACUCGCGAUGUUUAGGUCCACCAAAACUAAAGGAUCGCAAAAAUUAGGGUGCGUCUACUCAGUAAUAAUGAUCUAAGUGACAUUAUCAAGAUCUGCUAAAAGAACAUGAUGUGGAAGCCUGGACGUGUAACAGAGGACAGAAGAUGUCCUUGGCAACUCGCAUGGCUCCAGUAAAUUGCUGCUCCAAAUCGGCCAAUCUUAGUGGCGCGUGUUGUGUAGAAUGAUGGAGAUGCCGCAGCAAUGUAUGUGCAGCAAGCGGAUGGGUCUGUCACCAUUUCUCUGAUGAUCUGUACGCGAUACCAGUAUGUCCACCCUGUGUAGAAGACAGAAAAAUGAAAUUGUGAAAACAAAAUAGUUGCCUCACAUAUAUGCCUACCUAAAUUCAUCCAAGCCUAUCUUUUUGAAUGAGUGACAAUUAUGACUUACUUGAAUAGAAGGGAUAAUGAGAUUUCGUCCUGGGUUGUUGUAGAUGAUUUGUUCCAACCAAUGCAUUGCAUGCAAUGAAGGGAAUCAUAUGCAUAACGUACUGAAACAAAUAUAAGAUGCAUGUCAUGUGUUCAUCCAGUUCACAUAAUAAAUUUUAUAGAUGGGAUGAUUAUGUACUAACUCGAGCGGUAGGAAACCUAUGCAGGAAGAAAGCACAAAUAACCAUCGCCAUCUGCAACAAAUCAUCGAUCAACUUGUGGACAAAUCUGACAAAAUAAGAAAUCAGAUAAAAGAUUGGAUUAGACGAAGCAAAGAGGGCUAGAGAGGGACCCAAUCACUCAGCGCGUACAUGUUGGGAAGAGUAAUCAAAGAUCUGAGUCCAGUUGUGGUGGAAGAUGAUUCUCUUCUUUCAGAAAGGAUAAGCGAGCGGUUCAGUUAGCUCCUCCGCAUUUGUGUCAUUGUGUGGUGCCGCCGUUCGUUUCUGGCACAUUUGCAGGAAAGGAGAUUGUGGGGAAGAGGAGACGAUUAGGCAGAGUGAAGAGCCGAACAGGCACAGGCACGAGAGAAGACAGAAAUCCAACGUCGUGCCAUAGUGGGCAUUUAUUUUUUUUAAACAAAGUAGAGACGCAAGCGCUCAUACACACGCGCAUACACUCACCCCUAUGAACGUACACACGCACAUCCUACCCCUAUGAGCACCUCCGAAAGACUAAGCCGGCAUAUCAUCUUGAAAUUUACGAAGUCACCACAGGCACCUCGUCGUCGACGGGAACGUCUCCUCCCACUGAAUGCGCAUCGCGGAAAAUCCUGAAAUAAAUCCAGAAAUAAAUGCUUGAACCCUAGUGGACUGGGGAUACCGCGGUCCUCUAACCAUCCAACCACAGGUUGGUUCGCUAGUGGGCAUUUAUUCUGGCAUGUAUUCGUAGAUGGGCCAAUAAGCUGGCCUACUACGAGUUUGUAUAUGCAGCAGACCAUGAGGCAUAUGGUGGCCUGGGGUUGCGGCGAGGUGGUGGCAGUGGAGGAGGAGCAUCGAUUCCUAUGUGCAUUGUUGGCAGUUGUGCGGCCGGCUAGCCGGCGCGGCCGGCCAGGGGAGAUAGGCGACCCUGUGUGGACGAACAAAGAGGUUGUGAACGAAGACGCAUUUGUUCCUCUUCCUAUUCCGUAACUGACUAGAGAAAUAAGAGGCCAGUCCUUGGCUCCCCACUUCUCAUAUGAAGUGGGCAAUAAGUAAUGAUCCAUGGUAUGGGAGUAUGACUAUUCAUAUUCACAUUGACUACACAAACCAAACUUUAUUAUCAGAUCCACACUGAAAAGAUAUGAUCCCAAACACACAACCAAACAUAUAUCAUAACUAUAACAAACAAAUGGACAUGGAUUUUUGGAUUAAUAGAAUAUCCUAGGCUAAAAAUCCACUGAUUACUUGAAAAGGAAAACAUUGACAAGCUUGUAUAGUUCCUUUCAUAGCUACCCGUAUAUGGGUAGCUACAGCCCAACCUAGUUUUUGAACAUAUUAUUGGAUGGUGGCGCCAGAUGUAGUGUCCUGCAAAAAAAAGGUAUAAUCAACAUCACUACAUACCAAGAAACCAGUCAUUAAGGUAUUGAUGGAAAUUUGUCAGGAAAAUGUAACAAUCAUAAUGCCAGAUGACUAAAACUAGCUUUGAAAUUUAUAGGCUUAUUUGUUAAAUAACCUUAACUACGUCCAAUUGUCAAUACCAUGACGUUUAAAUUUCUUUCAGCUGGACAAGAUAUACAUGCUAGAAUCAAGAAGAAAAAUAUAUACAGACUAAGUAGCUGAAUGUAUGUACUUACAGAAGGUUUGGCGUAGAAUGCAUGGAUAUUAAGUUCUUUAAUAGUUUGAAAUGUAGGGGGGUUGGCGGGCGUGUUAUACUUGAUGACCCCACGUGCCACAGCAAACUCCCCAGUCCCACCCAUAAUGGCCAUCUGGCCUUGGCCUGUUUGAAAAUUGAUCCCCAUCGCUUCGAAUGAUGAUCCAUUGUACAUGAUAUAGUUUUGUACGGCAAUAUCAUACUCCCUCCGUCCGAAAAUACUUGUCAUCAAAAUGGAUAAAAAGGGAUGUAUCUAGAAUUAAUAUACAUCUAGAUACAUCCUCUUUUAUUCAUUUUGAUGACAAGUAUUUUCGGACGGAGGGAGUAUAUCAUAUGAAAUUGGAAAAUAUUUAGUAUCUGAGACCUUUGUAACUAAGCAUAUAUGCUAUGUAACCAGGAAAACUAAAAACUUAUACUAGUCCAAAAGUAUAUAAAAAUAACCUAGAGUUCUUCUCGAACACCAUGCUGAAGUAGUUGAACCAGCCUGGACCGGCUAUGUCAGCUUGCACUUGCAUGCCUUUGGUACGGGCAACAAUGGUGGCAGUAGCGGGGUUUUGUCCAUCAAUUACAGUCCAGUCGGUAACGGAAGUUAGACCAAAAACAGAUCGUUUGCUGGAGGUAACAAUUACUACCUGGUUGGUGCCCGGCCCAGAGGCGAUUUGGUGCAAUUACAAGUGCAAGUUAACCUCGGACUCACGCUGAAGAACACAGGAAAGGGAUGCAGUUGCCAUGGAUAGAAUGAAAUGCAGGAUUAGGACCAUGGACAGGACUACAAGGCUAGGGCUGGCCAUGCCUAGCUAGGGUUUUGGCUGGCAGAAGAUGGAGUAAUUGACAAAAAACUACCACAUUUCACGUAAGCGUCCCACAGAACUACCUUUUUUGAAAACUGACCAAAAACUCCAGUUUAUUGCUGAUUUCGUGAUAAAAAACUACCACAUCGCGUUGAUGACCGUUUCAAGCGUUUUAAACGUCUUUCUGACAAAUCGGGCCCACCUUUCAGGACGAAGGCCGCGCUAACGGCUAACGGCGCUCGCCUGGCGCCCGUUAGCCGUGCGCGUCGGUCGGCCCGGUCGGACCAGGACUAACCUGGCCGACCGGCUGGCUCGUCGUCCCCCACCACCUCACUCUCCCCCCACCCNNNNNNNNNNNNNNNNNNNNNNNNNNNNNNNNNNNNNNNNNNNNNNNNNNNNNNNNNNNNNNNNNNNNNNNNNNNNNNNNNNNNNNNNNNNNNNNNNNNNNNNNNNNNNNNNNNNNNNNNNNNNNNNNNNNNNNNNNNNNNNNNNNNNNNNNNNNNNNNNNNNNNNNNNNNNNNNNNNNNNNNNNNNNNNNNNNNNNNNNNNNNNNNNNNNNNNNNNNNNNNNNNNNNNNNNNNNNNNNNNNNNNNNNNNNNNNNNNNNNNNNNNNNNNNNNNNNNNNNNNNNNNNNNNNNNNNNNNNNNNNNNNNNNNNNNNNNNNCACUCGCUCACUCACUCUGCUCCUCUGCUCUCCACUGCUCCUAUUCUUCUUCUCGCACUCCGGCGACGCCGCGACCAUGCCGUCGUGGCCCAACAGCAACGAGACCUCUGACGAUGACGAGUACAUGAGCGAGUUCAGUAGCAUGCAGAUGGAGUAUUUUGUAAGUCAGCUCAAUCUCUCCUCUCCUCUCCUCUGCUAUGGUUAGGGUUAGGGUUUGAAGAAGGAUAUGGAUUUCUCCAUUUAAGUUCAUGUAUGCGAGCUGUAGUUGAUAUAUAUGUGUUUCCUGGUGCAGCAAACUCCAGACACUGUGAUAGAUCCAAGCUUUUCUGGGCUUGUGACUGAAUCUGACCGUAGGUGCAUCCCGCACAGGGAGAGGGCUGGCAAAUUUGUGGCAUUUGAAGGCACUGACACUGGCAGGAGAUUCGUAGGAUGUGUAACUGAGGUAAUGAACCAAGUUGUCAUGGCUGUGAUUGAUUCAUUUUGUGCUUUUUUGAAUAAUGCUGCUGCUUUUCUCAUUUUUGCUUAAUUAUAAGAGCAGUGCUCUGUCUAAAUUAUGUACUUAUAGCAAAUAGCAGCAAAGAGCAAUGGAACCAAGAGCUAGUGUAGUGUAGCUACAUUUAUGAGUACUGUUUAUGAUUUGUUAUUGUGAAUAUGUUUGUUAAUGAAGAAUAAAGCUCACUUCAAAUUUAACUGAAUUUUCAGGAUGGUGUGAACUGUUGUGUUUUAGAGUGGGUAGAUGCCCCUUGGCCUGUAACUUUGCAAAGGUGCUUAACCAAGCUCUGGGAUAUGUAUCAUGAAGAGAACCUUGGUAGAGUCCAAGACAAAGAGGCUCAUGAGAUAGAGGUUGAGAAACUGAAGAAGGAGUUGGAUUCUCUUGGCAAUCAGUACAGUCAGCUUGUGGAUGAUGUAUCCAAGCUGUUUGAUUACCAGGAUGGGCAGAAAUCCCAUGACAUGGAUUACACAAGCCAGGCAAUCAAUGAACUUAAGGAGAAGAAGCAUCAGCUUGAGGAGAAGGCAAAGAUUGAGAUUCAAAUGGAGAAGCUUAAGCUCAAGAAAGAACAGAGGUGCAUCCUGCAGAGUCAAGCUGAUAUCAUUCAAAACACCAGGAAAGCCAUGAAGGAGAUACAAGUUGAGAGAGACCUCCUUAAAGAAGAGAAGAAGAAGCUGGAGCAUAUCAUUGUUGGGCUCUUGAAGGCAGGUCAUGGGUGCAAAGAAAAGCUAGACAAGAUCAAAGAAGUUUUCAUGGAGGAGUGAAGUGGUACCUAGGGUUGGUAAGUGAAUAUGAGGCAUAUAUAUAUAACUGGCCUAGUACUAGAAUCUGAUGCAGAUAUGCAUCUUAGUAUUAAUAUGAACUCCCUAUUAACUGCCUAUGGUUUCAGAUCAUUUUGGUUGUGUUGUUGGGUGAUGUAAUGCCCCUGAUCUGUAAUGCUCUAAGAUAAUCCUAUUUCUAAUGCCCCCUGAACCAUAUUAUCCAGAUGUUGUUAUAUCUACAUCUGCAAUUUGUUGCUGCUAGGUAGUUGUUGCUAAUACUUACACUUGAAUCUAGUAACACCAAACAACACUGAAACUGAAAAUGAAAAUGAAAAUGAAACUGAAACUUGCAUUACAUAGGAGGUAGCAUAGAUAACACAUAUUGUCUAAGGAUGCAACAUAGAUAGCAUUACAUAGAUAGAUAGCACCAAAUAGUCUGAGGAUAACUGAAACUAGCCAACACUGAAUAAGACUGACGAAACUGAAUGUGAAACUAAAUAGUUUCACAUUCAGUUUCAGUUAGGCGCCUGCCCUGCUAAACGGCCUGAGCAUCGUACCUCCUGGUUCACUUCGGUGGGAGGAUUCGGCAGCUUCUGCACCUCCUGUUCUUCUUCAUCGAUGAAGAUGAUGGGAGGAGGGCGGCGGCGAGCCUGCAGUGCUGGUGGUGCGAUGAUCUGGAUGUCGUCGUCCUCGUCUUGGUGCUUGUUUGCAUUUGCUUCAGCCGUAGAUUAUGCUGGAGCGACGUAGUGGUGGUCUGCCCACCGCUGCCUCUGCCCAGCAUCGGCGGAGCCCGCCUCUUUCAUUGCCCAUAGCAGUAUAUCUAUGGCCAGGAUCCCCUUACCUCGGUUUCCAUAUUGUUGGUCCAUGCGUUGCUUCUCCUCACUCGUCGCCUUCUUUCUCACUUCGUCUGCUCCAUCCACCAGCUCUUGAACGCUGGUGUACCUUGUGGCGACCUUCAUGUAGUCCACGAAGAGGUCGUCGUCGCCGCGCGCUGAACCAUAAAGCAUGGCAACCCAUCCCUUGCCAGUUGGGAAUGGGUUGAGCCAUGGGUCCGAAGAAGAGGAAGAAGCAACCAUGGUUGGAGCAGGAAGUGGUGAGUGCAGUGGUGUUGAGCGAGGUGAAGUUGUGGUGAUGUGAGUAGAGUAGCUGAAGAAAGAGGGGGGUAGUUAAAGAGAGGUGGAGUGAGGUAGUGGAGAAGUAAAACGUGUGCAGUAGUAUUUGACAUCCAUCUCAAUAUAAGUGUCUCGACUUUGUACUAACUUCAAUAGUUCCACAACACCAUAAAUUUCACCAGUCUUAAAUAGUUGAUGAUCGCAAGCUGCACAAAAUGAAUAUUUCACACCCUAAGCUAUAAAAUGCAUUGAAAAUACAUUAGUAUGCAGUACUAGAACAUCAAUAAAAAUUCUCUGUGGGUCAAUCAGAUAUUAGAGAACAUUGAAGUUGCUCUCUGAACUGUCACCUGAGCUCGCUAGUGAAAGCAAUCAUAUGGGUCAUUAGCAAUUUUCAUUUGUAUAUUGCUGGUAAAUGUACUCAACUGUUAGAAAAAUAUGUUCACAAAAACUAAAGCUGCUGAUGGAUACAUAAAAACCCACCAACCAUUUUAGAAUAAUUUGGGGACAACGACUCUCAAAUCAUUAAGCCCCAUAUCACACGGAUCACAACGAUGCGUAGUCCUAAUAUUAGAUAGGAAAAAGCAUGUGCUCAUAAUAAAAGAUCAACAAAUGUACUCAACUGUCAUACCACCAAUACUUUUGAGUAUUUCUUGGAAAAUAAAAUAUAAACAGUACUGCUAAAAAUAUCAAAUCAAUGUGCCAUUAUCUCCUACAAAGAUCCAAAGGGGAAAUCAGUAGAGAAAAAGUGGUUCUGGAGUAAGAAAAAAAAUCUCAUCUGUUUUGCUGACUUGCAUUGCACGUAAAGUUAUGCCCAAAAUGUAAUGCUUGACCUGGGAAUAAUUUAGUUUUGUAGUAUACUGCGAAUAAAUCAUGCUCAAUUGUAUUGGAACCCAAUAUACUCCCCAAGACCCAUGUCGCCAGAACUAAGUUCUGAAUGAACUUUACUACAUAGUCAUCAAGCUGUAGCAUUUUUUCGGUAUGUUAGCAAUGCAGCACAUCAGGUAUUUAUGUGUUUGAACAUCAUGUGAAUUCAAACCGGAAUUCCUUCAUUCAUGAAAUGGAACAUAGCGUAAUGGAGAGAUCAAGAAUGAAAAAGACUUACCAUGUUAUAUUAGAGAUGCAAAUCAUGAACUUUUUGCGCAUGCAAGCAGGAGCUGGACCUCCAAAUAUGUGUCAUCCCCACAAACCUGCACGCAAUACCUGAUAAACAUUCUGCUUAGAUUAAGGACCAGUUAGGUAUACAAUUUUCUGUACUAUACACCCACCAUUAGAUCUGAAUUUGAAAGAAAUAACGAUUCAUCUACUUGUAGAAUUAAAACUUGCUGCAAUGAGAUAUCACAAUGAAGAAUGAAAAGAACCCCCUUCCACAUGUUUUAUUAUUACAGAUGUAAGAAAUAACAGUCUAGAGAAUAAAACUGUCCUCUAAGCUAGUAAUAGUUAUGAUGUGAGUGCUAAUCACUAAUAAGCACAUGCUUAGACAGAGAGAAAAGAGAGCAGAAGUACACAAAUUACCUAGCGAAGAUGAAACAGAGAUGCAACCUGUAGCUAGGCAAGGGAAGCCGCCAGUGUGGUUGCAUUGGUGUCCACCACCUGCCGUCAAGUGGCGGCCACAGUGGUGUACGCAGUGACAUGGGUUGGUCAUCCAAUAGGUGGGCGUUAUAUACUCCUAAAAUAGCGGUCCAGAAAAUUCGGGAAGAGGCGUUUGAAGCUGUUGCCAAUAAAAACAUAAUGAACAUCCUAACCCACCAUAAUCGCAAGAUGAAUGUGUAAAUCAUAAUUCAUACCCCUGCUCCUCCCCCAAAAUUACACGCGUCGUCACCCAAAAAUCCACUGAGACGCUGAAAUCAACUCUAAUAAAAGGAGAAAUUGAUUCCUGGGGGAGAUUGAAUUUUACUUAUUGUCUCUUAUCUGCAUUUCUACAUAAAACAAAACAAGCAGUGCACAAUAAUUACUACUCCCUCCGUUCCUACACAUAAGUCUUUUUAGAGAUUUUAAUAUGGACUACAUAAGGAGAAAAAUGAAUAAACCUACACUCUAAAAUGUGUCUAUAUGCAUCCGUACGUAGUCUAUAUUGAAAUCUCUAAAAAGACUUGUAUUUAGGAACGGAGGGAGUAGUAGCUAAUAUACAACCGAAUAAUAAGUUAACAGAAGCGAACAACUUCCCUCCGAUUGGCACUGAACAUUACCACUUUACAAGAUGAAAAGUUCAUAGUUCAGUACUAGUUACUGGUUAGUAGCAGGCCAACACUGUUUGACAGAUAAAAAAUCAAUCGAUUAUGUACUGUGAUGAUCUGAACAUGAACGCACAAAUAAAAAGAGUGUGUACUGUGUAGCACUAGCAGACAGAGGAGGACGGUCGCAGGACACCCUGGAGCUGCACGUACGAACGCACGAGGGCCAGUGAUGGUUCGGUGCCUGUGGAAGGUGAGGCAGCAAGCAGCCGAACAGGUCACGCGCCGUUACUUUGAUCGAUUGAUGGUAAAAAUUGUAGAGGAUAUAUGGGAUUCAAGGGAUCACCUGCUUGACGUGCCAGAGACUGAAGAUGCUUGCGGGGCGGUGCAUCGACGGAACACGCAGUAGAUCUUCGGGUGGCGGAUGACACCAACGUGGAUGCAGCUAGGUGACGGUGAGGACAACGUCGGGAGGAGCUCGACAUGGCGACGGUGAGGACGACCGACGCCAACGUGCUCCAACUACCGAGGUUGCCGAUGGACGAGAAAGGGAUUCGACGGUGGGCGGAGCUACCGGCGGAGGGUAGCCCUUCGGGGAAGGGCUGCUGCCGCACGGUGAAGGUGAAUGGGCGGCGCACGAGGUGGGCAUUGAUGCCGGCGUAGAUUUAAUCUGGAGGUUGGGAGCAGGCGGCGUGGGAAAAAUAUCUUGGAUUAGAUGGAGGGGAAAAAUUGAGAGACGUGGGAAGUCUUAGGCGGUAAAGAAAAUCUAAUUUGCCGCGCCAAAUUUCGUUAAGCAAAAACAGUUUAGGAGCCCCAAACUUGGGAAAGCGAAAAACAAAUCCCAAGAAAAUGGAGAUUUCACCAAUUAAGAGCAUCUACAGUCGGGCGCCUGAAACCGGUCUAAAAUGACCGAACGACCCGCCUCAUGUUUUUUACCCAGCCGGCACCUCAAACGGCUCUCAAACCCCCGAGCUUUCCGGCGCCCCUUAUAUCCAGCCCAAAUAUGGGGCGGAUAUGGGGCGCCCGGCCAGGUGCGCCCGGGCACACCCACUUGUUGUAGUAGAUAGUUAGGAAGUCGUCGGGUUAAGAUCCAAUAGGACUAGCGCAUCAGAACAAUAACAGCAACCCAUAAAGAGGAACAUAGAACCGAAAGAUGUAAUAUGAAGACAUAUGAAUAUAGACGAACGAAGACCGAUCCAAGUGAAUUCAUAAAAGACAAACGCUGACUGAAUCCCACGACAUCCGUCGGAGACACACCUUCACACGCCCUCCGAUGAUGCUGGACACAUCGCCAGAACGUGGCUAGGCGGGUAUAACCUUAUUCCAACUUCAGGGAGUUGUCGCCGUCUCGUCUUCCUCGGGAGGGCACAAACCCUAAACAUACACAAAAAAUAUCUAGAAAAUAGAGCAAGUCCUCCUGUCGGCAAGCGCUGAGAUCCACCUCGCGCUCCAUAGCUCUAAGGUCACAUAGGACGAAGCCAAUCUACGGCGGCAUAGACGGGGAGCAUGAAAUCUCAUAUAGGCCUCGGUGCAAGACGCACGAGCCGAAGGGUAACUUUAUUGGGUAAUAUACGUAUCAAAGUAAUAUCCACAAAGUUUAAUAAGUAUAAAGGCAGUGAAAGAUUGAAGGGGCGAAGUGCGACUCGCAACAAUAAGGGUGGCAUUCUCAAGCCAUGGGUGUGACUUAGGCUGGACAAAGCGACCGGGCUUUUGGCCCGCAUGUGGCUCCCUCUGGACCAGACCGUUUGGUCCUACCUGUGGUUCCUAUUUAAAGCGGCGAUCGACAGUUGUCGACCAAACGUACAAUCCCCCUUGGUCACUACCUGUAUUUGGCCCGGCCAAAAUAGCGCACGUUCCCUAUUUUUUCUUUUGCUUUUUUGUUUUUGUUUCAUUUUUAUUUUAUUUUUCAUUUCUUUUCCUUUUCCUUUUUCUAUGGUUGUUUUUAUUUCCUUUUUUCAUUAUUUUUUCCUUUUUCAACUUCAGAACAAUUUUCGAAUUUUGUGAGUCUUUUUAGAUUUCGCAAACAUUUUCAAUUACGUGAUUUUUAAUUCUUGAACAUUUUUCCAAUUAAGGAGUAUUUUAUGAAAUCCCGAACAUUUUUCAAAUAUGUGAACAUUUUAUGAAUUGAUUGACAUUUUUCAAAUUCAUGAACUAUUUUUGUUAUCAGGAACUUUUUUGAAACCCUGGUCAUUUUUUCGAAUUUGAGAUUCAUGAACAAUUCUCAAACUAAAAAAUAAAAGAAACAUAAAAGAAAAAACGAAAGAAGGAAGAAUGAAAAACAACUACNNNNNNNNNNNNNNNNNNNNNNNNNNNNNNNNNNNNNNNNNNNNNNNNNNNNNNNNNNNNNNNNNNNNNNNNNNNNNNNNNNNNNNNNNNNNNNNNNNNNNNNNNNNNNNNNNNNNNNNNNNNNNNNNNNNNNNNNNNNNNNNNNNNNNNNNNNNNNNNNNNNNNNNNNNNNNNNNNNNNNNNNNNNNNNNNNNNNNNNNNNNNNNNNNNNNNNNNNNNNNNNNNNNNNNNNNNNNNNNNNNNNNNNNNNNNNNNNNNNNNNNNNNNNNNNNNNNNNNNNNNNNNNNNNNNNNNNNNNNNNNNAUGUUAAAAUAAUUCAGGAUUACAAAACGGUUCUAAAAUAUCAAAAAAAUGUGAAAGGUGAAUUGUCAAAAACAAUUCUUUAUUUCAAAAAUAUUUGUGAUUUUACAAGGACGAACAUUUUUAUAUUUUAAUGAUCUUUUAACGUGCAUUUUUAUAAUUAUUAACAUUUUUGUAUUUAAUAAAGAAAUUCAAAAAUAGAUUAACAUUUUUUGAACUUGAAGAACAAAAUUUGCAUUCAAGAAAAAAAGUAAAAUAACGGAAGAACAAAUUUGAAUUUUAUUAAAAGUUUUUGAACCAAUGAACAAAAAUCAGAUUUUAUGAACAUUUGUUUAGUACGAUCAACACAUUUUUAAAUUUAAUGAAAUUUUUGAAAAUCGGAUAAAUAUAAAACUGAAUUCGAUGAACAUUUUAUGAAUUGUUGAACAUUAUCUUACACUUAUUAACGUUUUGUUGAAUCAAUGAACAAAAAAAUGUUUGCAAAUUUGGAAAGAGAAUCGUGAAAAAAUGAGAAAGUAAAGAAGAAAAAAGAGAAAAGAAAAGGUAAAAGGAAAGAAAAGAACAAAAAAAAGAAAAAACGAAACAGAAAGGAAAACGAAAGGAAAAAACAGGAAAAUGUAUGGCCCAUACGAACGCCCAGUGUGCGAGUGGGGUUUGCGCAAGCUCGUUCGCAACAACUUUUGCGGAAUAUCUUAUUUGACGCGCACCGCGUCAAACUGCCGACGCUUCGCACAGGCGAGCGACCGACCAGCAACGGUGCUCAUAAAGAAGAAGAAAAUUCGUUUAUUAUAGUUGUUCAUAAAUUUUAGAAAAAUUGGAAUUUUCAUAAAAUGUUCUUGUUUUUCAGAAAAUGUUGCGAAUGUUUUUUUUAAAUCACAACUUUUCAAAUUAAAAAAAUGUUCCCAUUUUCGAAAAUUGCUUGCAAAUUGCCAAAAAUGUUUACGUUUUCAUUUUUCUCAGAGUUUCAAAAAAUUGUCCCAGUUUCAUAAAUGUUCACAAGUUGGAAAAAAUAUUCGUGUUUUCAAAUUUUAUUCAGGAGAUUCAAAGUAUGUUCGCGUCUCCAAAUUUCGUUCUGGAAUGUGGAAAAAUGAUCCCGUUUCAAGAAAUCUUCAUGAUUUUCAAAAAAAGUUCCUGGAUUCUCCAAAAUGUUAUAGUUUUUUUUUUAAAUUUGUUUACAAAUUUGGAAAGUGUUUGAAUUUUGUACAACAUUCCAUUUAAAAAAUGCUUUUAAAUUGCUAAUAUAAUUCGGACCCGCACGGCCUAUUGGUUAUAUAUUGUUGACGCUACCAUAUGCUCUUAUACGACUGCUAGUUCAACUUGUAGUAGCAGGUUAUGUAUAGCACUUGAUCCCUUCUUUGAGUCCCUGUGAUAGCGAUUUUUUUUUUGCACCAAAGUGCGCGUUCAAUGUCGGUCUCGAUCUUCAUGGGCCGGCCUAGUCGUUGAGUCGCCUAUGCAAAACGACAACUCUUUGCCGCAAAGAGCAGCCUAUAGAAGGUCUCGACCUGUGCGCCAUACAGGAUCCUCGUCGGGUGACCUACACACAUAAUAGGGUUUCCCAUCCCAGCCCGCUAGCACAAUUAGCCAAUCUAGGUCGUCCUAUUAGGCCCAACAGAACACCGUCCAGUUUGGUGUUUGACCGAGUCUUCUCGGUCGGACCAAGAACAGGUCCAAGCCCACGCCACAACCACUCUAGGCUAGGGUUUGGUGUUUAGAAGUUUUAUUCAAAGUUUAGUACAACUCAUUUAAUAGCUAUUCAACUUAAAAAUAUGAUUAUUCAAAGAUUUCUUAAGUCUUUUUCUGUUUUUUUUUGCGGGGAAAAGAUUUCUUAAGUCUAAGAUAAGAAUAGAGUCGCACACUAAAACGUCUCACAAAUCGUCUCUAAGUUAAUUAAAAUUAAAUGCUUAUUUUCAUAAAGGCUAAUUAUAAGUAAUAGCUUGUGGCGCUUCAUAAACGUCUUAAGAAGCGUCUUUAGGUCGCUAGUGUCCAUGGGCAUAGAGACGAAUAUAAUAACGUCCCACAAAAAGCGACUAUACAUGGUGUUUUUGUUGUAGUGCGAUCAUAUUCACAUAGUGCUUAGGCGAAGCCCUGCGCGGAUCACUUCACCAUCACCAUCACCACGCCGUCGUGCUGACGGAACUCUCCCUCGACACUUUGCUGGAUCAAGAGUUCGAGGGACGUCGUUGAGCUGAACGUGUGCAGAACUCGGAGGUGUCGUACGUUAGGUUCUUGAUCGGUCAGAACGAGAAGAAAUUCGACUACAUCAACCGCGUUAACAAACGCUUCUGCUUUCGGUCUACGAGGGCACGUGGACACACUCUCCCCCUCUCGUUGAUAUGCAUCUCCUAGAUAGAUCUUGCGUGAGCGUAGGAAUUUUUUUGAAAUUGCAUGCUACAUUUCCCAAUAGAGGCAUCAGAGCCAAGUCUAUGUGUAGAUGAUAUGCACGAGUAGAACACAAAGAAUUUCAAGGUAUAAGUGUUCUCCCUGAGUAUGCACCGUUGAGACAGUUCGUCGUGCUGAGACACCAUGUAAUGGUCGGGUGUGAUAAGCUCUAUAUUCACAUACAACGGAUGCAAGACAGUUUUGCACAUGCGGAAUACUCGGGUUAAACUUGACGAGCCUAGCAUGUACAGACAUGGCCUCGGAACACUAGAGACCGAAAGGUCGAACGUGAAUCAUAUAGUAGAUAUGAUCAACAUAGAGAUGUUCACCAUUGAAAACUACUCCAUCUCACGUGAUGAUCGGACAUGGUUUAGUUGAUUUGGAUUACGUGAUCAUUUAGAUGACUCGAGGGAUGUCUAUCUAAGUGGGAGUUCUUAAGUAAUAUGAUUAAUUGAACUUAAUUUAUCAUGAAUUUUGUAGAUCAAUGGCCCGUUCUACUAUUCCCUUGAAUUUUAAUGCGUUCCUAGAGAAAGCUAAGUUGAAAGAUGAUGGUAGCAACUACACAAACUGGGUUCGUAACUUGAGGAUUAUCCUCAUUGCUGCAUAGAAGAAUUAUGUCCUUGAUGCACCGCUAGGUGUGUCACCCCCCCAACAACUGCAGACGUUGUGAACGCCUGGCAGUCGCGUGUUGAUGACUACUCGAUAGUUCAGUGUGCCAUGCUUUACGGCUUAGAAUCAAGACUUCAAAGACGUUUUGCACGUCAUGGACCAUAUGAGAUAUGCCAGGAAUUGAAGUUAAUAUUUCAAGUAAAUGCCCGAGUUGAGAGAUAUGAAGUCUCCAACAAGUUCUAUAGCUGCAAGAUGGAGGAGAAUAGCUCUGUCAAUGAACUCAUACUCAAAAUGUCUGGGUAUCAUAACCACUUGACUCAGCUGGGAGAUAAUCUUCCAGAUGAUAGUGUUAUUGACAGAGUUCUCCAAUCACUGCCACCAAGCUAUAAAUUCAUGAUAAAUUAAAUUCAUGAUAAUCUUCCAGAUGAUAGUGUUAUUGAAAGAUUGUUUAUCUUUGUGUCAGUACUCAAUUUUUGAAGUUGAUUGCACACAUCCUAAAAUGACAUCCAAAGAAAAUUAGAGAGAGUAAAUAGUUAGCAUAGUGAAAAGUCUGGACAAUAUCAUGUAUAUGGGCUUAUCAAGCUAUCAUGCAGAAAGAUUCAGUUUUCGUACAUUUGCAGGUUAACUUGCCAUAGAACACCCUUGAUAAAAUAAUCAUUAAGUUUGUCAAGUGAAUCCUCAGUGAAGAUGAUACUAAAAUUGACAGACUUAAAAGUAUUAAAUGCCAUCGAUUGCAAAACAAAAUUAUCUGAAAUCCAGCAAGUUUUACUACCUAUUUUUGUUGUAUAGUUCUACUUGCUUGAAAAGAAGCAAUGCACAACAGUCACCACAAAGAAUGCAAUAUUGUAUCAAGAUGCAAUUGACUCUUUUUUUACUUGCCACAUCACCCUGUCCUGCGGGACCCACCUGGCAUAAUGCAUGCCUGUACCUGCAGAUUAUGCCACAUCACACAUUGUCGGAUUAUGGGACUGAUGGCCUGCGGAUGCCUCCGAAGCCGUUUUUGCGAUUAAGGGCCCAACCAUGCUGAGGACUCUUAGCCAUUUCACUUCCGAGCUGACGGUGGCGCAGUGUCGGGCGAGGAAUUGAGUGCGGUGUCGGAGGAUGACAAUGCGUGAGAUAUACAGUGUGCGAUCUAAUUUAUGUAUGUUUUUUUUUUUCAAGAAAACUUCUAAUCUAUUCAUGUUUAAUCAUGACAGUACAAUGAACACCAGAAAUAACAAAAAUUACAUCCAAAUCCGUAGACCACCUAGCGACCUACAAGCACUGAAGUGAGCCGAAGGCGCAUUACUGUCAUUGCCUCUCUCUUGCCGGAGCCGGACAAAACUUGUUGUAGUAGACAAUAUGUUUACAUGUAUGUAUCAUGGAGUUAUGGUUAAAACAGUACCAUCAAGUAUUAAAUGUUUGUACAAACUGCGUCCUUGUUGUGCACUUGUUGCUGGAGAAACAAACAAAGUAGCUUCAAAUACCGAGUAAGUAAGAAGCUAACUUACAUUCGAAAAUUCAUUUCUGAUCCGGAGCACAGCUGAACCCGAAAUCUCACGCAUCCGUUCGCAUCGGGAUGUCUGCAGGGCUGGUAUUUCCCGUCGAACCUCGCUCGCGUAUAUGCCACGUAUAUAGAAGGGCAGCUGGCGCAUUAACUCCUGGUCCAAACGGACGGACGUCGUGGUACAGGAGAUGGCCCGAUGGACCGGAAACUGUUCUGGGCCGACCUUUUUCCAGGACGGGCGACGGGUCCAGCUAACGGCCACCCAACUGGAAUAAAUAUCCCUUGCCGUUCCCCUGCCAAUCCAUCAGCCGCCACCCAAAGGCCAAAGCAGCAGCCAUGUCUGCGUCUGGGUCCUCCUCCUCCGCCCAGCCGCAGGAGCACCUCCGGCUGUGACUGGGACGACCAAGUUAAACCAGUGCGGGAGGUCCAGAGGAAAACGAAAACACAGCUUAUUUCACUCACCUUCGUUUUCUGGUCGGGAGCGGAGCGGGUGCGCGAUCGCCAGAGCACUCCGCGCCAGUCAUCGUCGCCGAUGCUGCAAACACGGCAGCAACGCUUAAGUCAGUCCGGGCGCUCCACACCGGCACCAUUGCUGCUAGCAGACUAGAACACAUGGAGGAUGAACCUGACGCCCAGUAUCCACCACAGCUCUUAUGUGACGGCACACCCCAUCCCCCGAUCACACAUACAAGUUUUGAAUUUCUAUUCGAGCAGGCGCACGCGUGUGUACACUGCAAGUUAAAACCACCUGACGCAUGGACGCCUCCAGCUUGGACAUGCAUACAUAUUUCCUAGUGUCAGCACACAAACACUCCUGAAGGAAAUCAGCAGAGACACGACCGGUUCAAACUUAGGCCUACUGAUCAUGUGGAUGCCUGCACACACGACCGCACUCUCAGAAAUUGCAGUGUUGCCAGCUAGGAGGGAUGCACACGCAGAUAAAUCAUGGAUGCAAACCACAUCUCAAGAACACAGACAGGGAAAUUGUCACAUUCAAACUCAUACUACUUUAGUUCUACAGUCAUAACCACAAAGAACUGACACACAUUCCAUACCACGCAGCUCCCAACUCUACCCCCAGAUGUGAAACCUCAGCCAGGCAACUUCUACAUUUACUCAGACCCUCGUAACGCGCCUUGUCACUGCUAUUACUCAGUCUGCUGACCCCACUAUGCUUAUAUGGAGCUGCUAGACCUUCAAGGGCAUUCACACAGAUUUCCCCCCACUAUUGCAUUUGUCAGCACCGUCGCCCCCCACAAACGCAACCUCUCCAUUGCCAGGCAAUCUACCAGUGGCCAAACCUGCUAUCCGAUCCUCAAACCCCAAACCAUCCCUCUUCUCAGCUAAAGGUGCGACACUCACCAACAAAGCUUCCAGACCAGCAAAAGUGUGCUUGAAUUAUUCUGCAUUCAAAUCGCCCAUCUGCACGACUUCCAUGGCUUUCAGAUAUAACAUCGAGUUCCUGCACGAGAACGACAAGUUAACUGAAUUGUCCUUCUGAUACAGUGAACCAGGUGUGGGGAAGCAUGUCCCUCGUGUCCUUGGUCCACCUCUUGAGUAUAUUCACAGGGAUCUCCAGAUGAAGUAUAUCCAUGACCCGUGCAUUACACUAUGUUUAAAUUUCUUGUACAGAAAUUCAAUUUAUGUGCAGCAAUUUUUUUGUCAGGUUUAGUUACCCUUAAGACAUGGCUGCAUGACAUCCCAGUAUGCUUGAACUGGCCACACUCGCACGUAAACUCUGACUGAUCCUCUGCUUCAUUUUUCCAUUUUAGCUACAUUGUUGUGCUUUGUAACAUAUUUCCUCAUCUUCUCUACUUCCUUGACAUUGUACGACGUCCCUUCGAUUAGGAGGUGACCAAACUCCUCAAACAUAGCCCUGGUGUAAAUUUUACUUGCAUGCCGCUCUAUCGCCAAAUUGGUCCUCUUGUCAACUCCACCCUGUCAUAAUAUAGUUCGGUUUUUCUGUCCGUUAGUGGUUCAUGUAGACAAAUGCCUGACAUAUAUGAAGUGUACAUCUAUUUCUGUCAGAUACUCAAAUUGUACACACAAAAAAUGCUUACAAUCAUCAUUCUCUUCUCCUGGUAGCUUUCCUCAUCCUCGUGGUCAACUGUAACCUCAUGUAAUGCCCGACAAAAACAUGCAUUGGGCUUGACGGAGGUAUGUAUGUCUUCAACGUGUGAUUCGUGACUUAUCUCUUAUCUUCCUGCAAAUACUUCUUAGGGUCCUCUUCAUGAAGGGCACCUUCUUGACCGAACCAAAGAAGCUCCCAAUUAUGUUGUACACCUUCCCAAGGUUCAGAUUGUUUUCCCUAAGUUGCUUUAUUAAAUCUUGUGUAUGCGUCGAUGAGCUUGUGUGACGGCCAGUGCACCUUCUCACCCAUUGUUAAGGACAUUGAAUGGUUGAGGCUUUCACGGUGCUCUGUGAUGUACCAGCUGUUGUCCGUCGCGCGCGACAGCCUAAUCAGCACUGGACACUCGCAUCUGCAUGACCUACUAUCGGCCAACAAAACAUAACAUCAGACACUACCGCGCUUGGAGAGCACAUCGACAACACAGCAAAACACAUUUACUCUGAAAUGUAUUAUAUUUCAGCAAAAGCUCGUUACUCACCGAGCAACCACGAUCUCCUGCAUGCAUUUCGUCCUCUCGGCAUUUAGUUUGCUUUUACCAAAUCUGAUACCAAAGACAUUCCAAGAAUAUAGAUUGUAUAGAACUCGUAUGCCUCACCAACUGAAUCGAAACUCGGGUAGGGCGUACUAAAUUCUUUGUAGGUUCCUCUGUGUUGCGAAUCAAUUUCUCCAGAGCGCUCGUCCGAGAGGGUCAUGAUGUCCUGUCUGGUGGCGCACUGCCCAGCCAUAACCUGUUUUUUUGCAGAUGUUCAGCAUUCACUCUACGUACGAGUUCAAAUACAAGAAUAAUUCUGCCAAGAGUGUCUCCCGUUAUAAGUAUAGAGAUUCAUCAAGAAAAGAAUAAAAGGGGUAUUAGGAAUGUCGCAUGGACAUGCUCAGAAAGGUCUCUAAAGUAUGCAUGCGAGAAAACCUACGCCUAUUCUUAUAGUCAAGGGUAAUGGAACUGGAAACUUUGGUGUUCCAAAAGUUAAUGAGAAAAGAUUGAAAAUGGAUAUGGUGUCAUAUGCUUCAGCUGUUGGAAGCUCAAUAUAUUACACAGUUCACGUAUCCGGGUUGUUUUGGCAAUGUCCAGUCCAUAUAUAGAUCACUGGAAUGGAGUCAAGAAUAUCGGCCUCAUGCUGAAAGAAAUAAGGGCUCUCAAAAGAUUGUGAGUACAAAGACAGGACUUCUGAAAUGUAUAGCGAAAUCCACAAUUGUCGCUAACUUUCACACUUGGGAGUUUUUUGUGUGGAGAAACUCCAAAGAGUGAAACAAUUAUCAUCAAUGUGAUGCAAAAACAUGUUAAAGCUUGAUAUGAGGCCGAGGGACAGGCAAAAUGGUUAAGGACACCUGUACCCGGAGCUGGCAAAAUGGUUAAGGACACCUGUACCCGGAGCUGAUAAUGGUUGACAACAACGAUAACCAUUUUAAGUUUUUCGCUCCUAUGACAACGAGUCAAGUGUUGAUGCCAAACACACUGACACAGAGUUAUGCGUUGUAAAGGAGAAAGUCCGGAAUUAUGUAGAAAUGCUUGAAGCAUAAAAGCAACAGACAAGUGUUUGCAGAUCUGCUUAUUAAAGACUUACCGCCCAGUGUGUUCGGAGAACACACAGUCGACAUGGGUUUUAUGGUAUAGUCUAUGAUUUCCGGACAAUAAACGGGCCCAAGGUUAAAGAGUCUGUUUCAAAACAGAGGAGUGUAUUGUAGGUGUUGAUUCCAUCGGGAUAGACCGUGAUGAUGAGACAUGCUCUACAUGCAAAUCUGUGAUGAAACGAGUACUUUGAAAAGAGUUAUUUCAAAGUAUAAAGUUAAAAGUAUAUGAUGAGAUCAAGGGGGAGAAUGUUAGAUUGAUCUCUUCCCCAAUGGGCCCAACGACCCAUUGGACCCUUGACCCACGCCCUGAUCAGGUGCGUCCAGCCCAAGCAAGGCUGGUGGGCCCCUAUCGCGCAAUGCCAUAUAGAGGAGAUGGGGACCACGGCACAAAGUACGCGGUUCGCCGCCGCCACUGUUCCCCACUCCUAACCCUAGUCCGAUCGAGAGGGAGGCGCUGAAGCGAUGGGAAGCGCAACCAGCCACUUCACCGUCGACCUCUACGCCGAGCUCCCCUCCGUUCACCACCAGCACCAGGAGCUCCUUGAGACAAAGGAGAAGGUAAUCUCCUAACGACACCAUCAGUCCUAGCCUACCCGAUCCCACAGCGACCUAUCAUCCUCGCCUCUGCCACGUCGUGGAUUUUACUGUCACAUGUAUCUACCCUACCCUAGAUAACACCUCCCCACGGUGACUUCUUUCCUUAUCUUCGCCACGAAGGCAGCCCAGCAUGCGACCUCCAUGUCUCUCUCGUUUCCUCUCCCAUGUGGAGGAGAGGAAGCGGCUACGAUCACACCACCGGCGCUGGGUCGAUGGUGUCCUGCCUCGGCAACCAGGAUUGGGCAAGGUAGAUGCGAAGCAGCGGCGCACCCUCUCCCCGAGCUCCAAAUCCAUGGAAGCAGCAACGAGGUGAGCAGCGGCAAAGGCGCCUCCGCAGAACUGGCGGUCGGCGUCUGGCCUCUGGCAGAAUUGUGUGGACUAGCAGCGGCCACAGCGAUGCAGAGAAGGUGGAGGCUAGGAGGCGGGCAAGAAAAAGGGGAUGGCGAGGCAGAGGAAGUGGUGGGCAAAGGCGGAGGGAAGGAGAUCGGACAAGCUGCAUCGGGAGAUGAGGAGGAGAUGGGUCGGAAGCAUGCAAAAUGAGGAGGAGCUGGGCGGCGAGGUCAUGGUGGCCGGAGGAACCAAGAUCGACACCUCCCCAUCUAGAUCUUCCGCGAGGGAAUAAGGUAUGUCUCGCACAUGGAUUCCGGAAGGAUGUUCCCAUUUCUAUGCCUAAAAUGUCUCUCUCAUCAGUGCACUUGUACCAUCUCAGCCAGGCGAGAAAAUUGUGACAUAUCCUGUUCGUCCAGUAGAUACGUCAACAGAUUUUGAAGGAACAAAACGCCUUCAACCAACUCAGCCAGUAAUAGAAGCUCUGUUUCUGCCUAAAUCUUAAUUUUUCAAUCUCUAAGAAUCAGUUUUGACAAUGACAUGAAACUUGUAACUCAUAUCAGUUCAUUUUCAGCCACUACACUCUACUCAUGCAUCAACAUGUUCCAUAGAAAGCUUAUAGAGAACUGAACCAAAAGAAGCUUCUUUCAUUUUAUGAAUUUGUUGAAUCCUAAAAAAUGAGAAAUCUAUCUUAGGAAGUGUUUACCGCAUCGACACACAGCGUGUGCUUAGUCACAAUUUUACAUACGUCAUUGGGCAGUCACCAUCAUAUAAACUGAUACCAUUUCAUUUUCAUUCCCUGCACUCUAUCUUCCUGUUUGAUCCUACAAUUGGACUCAAUCAAUGUACUAUUACCUAUUCUUUUCACUGCGAGAUGCAUGCCUCAUUACCUAUAUGUGCCAUUCUGUAAAGGGAGUCCAGUACUAGCUAAUUCCACUUAUAGUACAAGAUGUAUGCCUGAUUAUCUGUAUGCGCAAUUUGUGAAACAAUACACUCUGUUAAAGUUUUAUCACUGCUCACCCAGUUACUCUCCUCUCAGACUGCAUAACUGUAUAAAUUGUCAUAGUUUUCAUAGUUUUUCAUAGUUUUCUUUUAACUGGCACAUAUAUGUAUUUUCCUAUAUAAAUUGCCACCACAAGCAUUCUUUCUCCAUGGCUAACAUGACACAUUUUACCUGUUAGGUACUCCAUCUGGUUGGAUAGCAAAUUGCGUUUUAAUGCUGAUUCAAUGCUUAUCAUUAAGUAUUUCUUAUGGAGAAAGAAAGCAGAGUAUGCCAUUUCAGCGCACUACGAUCGCACCUGCGUCUGGGAGCACUGGUAGAAAAUGGGCCUUUAGUCCCGGCUGUGCAACCGGGACUAAAUUUGCGCGACUAAAGACCCCCCCCCCCCUUAGUCGCGCCUCUUACGAACCGUGACUAAAGGCUUUAGUCCCGGUUCUCGUGGCUAACCGGGACUAAAGGCCCGUCCACGUGGGCGCCAGGGGUCCAUCGGGGCGGAGGACCUUUAGUCCCGGUUCUCGUGGCUAACCGGGACUAAAGGCCUCCUCCGCAGGUUUAGGGUUUUAGCCCCCCUAAACCUGGUUUUUUUACGAAUUUUUUUAAUUUUUUUUAUUUUCAAAUUUCUGAAUUAUUUUAACCUCUAAUUUCUAAUCACCACCCUCAUCACUGCUCAAUUUAUCCUCUAAUCUCUAAUCACCCCUCAUCAUUCCAAAUCAUCUAACUUCCCGGACGGUCACCCAUCCUCUCACUACUCCAGCCUGAGCACGCUUAACUUCCGGGUUCUAUUCUUCCUCGUUUCCAAGUCUGCACUUGUUGUUUUCCUCACAAUAGUAGGAUGUCAAUUCUAUUAACCCUCAGGAAUUUAGCUUGAGCAUGAAGUGACACAUUUCACUGUUUGAGUUUGAAACAAUUGUUUUAAAAAACAAUAAUUAUUUAGUAACACUAAUAUUUCUGGAAUAAUUAGUUUGACCAUUGUUUGACCACAGUUUGACCACAGUUUGACCAGAUUUGACCAAAAUUUAAAAAAAACUGAAAUAAUUAUUUAGUAACACUAAUAUUCUACAAUAAUUAGUUUGACCAUUGUUUGACCACAGUUUGACCACAAUUUGAAUUUUUUUUUGAAUUUUUUUGCCUCUCCAGAUCUUAAAAGCCCCGUAUCUUUUUUUCUGUUAGGUUUUUGAGGAUUUUGAAAAUGUUUAACGGGGUUCCCAUUUUCUGUUAGGUUUUUGAUGUAACUUUUCGAGUAGAUGAUUUUUCAUAUAAAAAACUUUUUCAUCCGAGUUCGUAUGCAAAAGUUAUGCCCAUUUUAAGAAAUUCCAGAGAGAUUUUGCAAAUAAAGUCGAAAUUCAUAUUUGUUAAUUUUCCCAACAACUAGACCACAUAUCACAUGAGAAACUUAUUUUAUUUUAUUUUUUUGACAUUUCCAUCAUUUUCUUUUGGUUUUUCUAAAACUGAAAAGNNNNNNNNNNNNNNNNNNNNNNNNNNNNNNNNNNNNNNNNNNNNNNNNNNNNNNNNNNNNNNNNNNNNNNNNNNNNNNNNNNNNNNNNNNNNNNNNNNNNNNNNNNNNNNNNNNNNNNNNNNNNNNNNNNNNNNNNNNNNNNNNNNNNNNNNNNNNNNNNNNNNNNNNNNNNNNNNNNNNNNNNNNNNNNNNNNNNNNNNNNNNNNNNNNNNNNNNNNNNNNNNNNNNNNNNNNNNNNNNNNNNNNNNNNNNNNNNNNNNNNNNNNNNNNNNNNNNNNNNNNNNNNNNNNNNNNNNNNNNNNNNNNNNNNNNNNNNNNNNNNNNNNNNNNNNNNNNNNNNNNNNNNNNNNNNNNNNNNNNNNNNNNNNNNNNNNNNNNNNNNNNNNNNNNNNNNNNNNNNNNNNNNNNNNNNNNGGUUGGUCUGGCCAACCGCGACUAAAGGACUUCGGGCCAGCCUGAGGACCUUUAGUCCUGGUUGGUCUGCCAACCGCGACUAAAGGACUAACCUUUAGUCCCGGUUGGUCUGGCCAACCGCGACUAAAGGACUUCGGGCCAGCCUGAGGACCUUUAGUCCCGGUUGGCCAGGCCAACCGGGACUAAAGCCCCUCCCGUCCGCCAGCUGUCGACCGAGCGCGCUGGGCCCAGAUAGUUGGUCGCGGGUCUCCUCCCGAACCGCGACUAAAGACCCCUUUGGUCGCGGUUCGAUUAUUUUGGGGACUAAUGGGGGCGUAUGGAAGCCUCUUUUUCUACUAGUGGAGGAAGUUCUUCAGAACAAGCUCAUAAACAAGUAAAAUCACACUGCUAUCGAUGAGCAAUUUUACUUUUAUUAGUAUGAGUGCCUGUGAAGUUUAAUGCCUCUGGCCAAGAUCCAGUUCUACCGAGUUGUAAGUAGCAUUUACUUAUGUUUGAUAAAAUCUCCUAUGAGUAAAUGAAUUGGUCAAGUGUAGAACAAUUGUCUCGGAGCUUAAUUAGAUGUACACAUCGUCCUCUGCUUUUCAAACAAAUUUGAUCAUAAGCUUUUAUACAAACAAGAUGGGUCCCAAAUGCUAUUUACCGUAUAUAGAGAUAUAUAGCACGGGAAUCGCCCACAAAGCGACAACCGACAUACAUGGACGGAGACACAUUUUUUGUGUUGGCUGUAUUGGUUUUCGGUAUUUUUUUGGUCUUUUCUGGUUUAUCCUCUUUUAGUAUUUUCAGUGUUUUCUUCUUACAUUUUUUGGGUUUUCCCUUUUCUAUUUCUUUGUCCUUAUUUUCUUCCCUUUUCCAGUUUCUUUCUAACUUUUAUAUAAUAGAAUAUAGCAUUUAUUGACAAAGGACAUGAAUCUUUUUAAAAAUACAUGAGCACGUUUUGAAAUUAUUUGAACAUUUUUUAAGGACAUGAACAAUUGUUUUAAAUUAGAAGAACAUCGUUUCCAAAUAGGCCCGUGGACAUUUAAGUCCCAUGUGGUCGACUGCUUGCUUUCUAUCGCUAUAAGCGGGGUAUACUCGGAAAAUGCCAACAGAGGCCGAGCUCCAGGGAGCUCGGUAUUUUGAAAAAAAAACAAUCAAAACUAAUCAUUUCAAGUUUCAAAAUAAUAAUUAAAUCGAAGGACAAUUAUACGAUUUUCGUACGCGCACGUGAAAAAAUCAUUUGAAUCUUUUGUGAUUUGUAGGCUGUACCAAAAAAAAUCUGGCCACAAAAAAGAUUGGCCCAUUUUAGAAAUACACUUUUGUCUUUUUUUUCUGUACGCUAUGUGUGAAAGUAUAUGGUUAUGAAUUUUUGCACAUACGCAAUACAGAUGUGUGAGAUUGUAUACAAAAAAUUUCAAAUUUUGUCAUGCUGUUGAAAUUCGUAUUUUCAAAACGAGUUCCGUGGAGUUCGGCCUCCAAAAGCCCUCACUCGGAUAUAUUCUCUUUUGUUGAAGGGGUAAGGUGCAAACCCUUCUCAACUCUCACGACGUCAAAUUGUAACAUGCAUUUUUUUUUGUUGAGAAACUUGUAACAUGCAUUGGUGUGUUGUCCUGGGCCUGACUAAAGAAGCUCGAGAGACGACCACGAGGUGGAGGCUGAGUGCUCCAUGAUGGGUUUCUCUUUUCUUUUUCUUUCCCCUCUUUUCUUCCCUUUUCUAUUUCUUUUCUCUAUAUAUUUUUUAUGUGAAAGAAGUAUACACAGUUAUCAAGAAAUGCAUAGAUAUUUUUGUAAAUACAUGAACACGUUUCUAAAUUACAUGAACAUUUUUUAAGGACAUGAACACUUGUUAAAAUUAUAAGAACAUAUUUUUCUAACUGCUCAAAAUCUUUUAUUUACAUGAUGCGUGAACACAUUUUAGAAGUAGAUGUUGUUUUCUUCUGAAAAAGGCAUGAACAAAUUUGAAAAUUAUAUUAAUACAUUUUAAUAUACAUGAACAUUGUUUCAAUUGCGUUAAUUAUUAUUUUAAAUAUUAACAUUUUUAAAAGGAAAAUAUGUUUUUAUGUGUAUAGAUUUUUAUAACAAACGGAUAUUUUUACUCCUUUUUUUAUUAUGGAUUGGAUUAUAAUAUUAUUUUUUUGAUAAUCGGAUUGGAUUAUAAUUUAUAUUUCUGGCGGUGGCGUCUCCUUUCCCGAGAUCGGCGGUGGUAAGCCUCUGAUCGACCGUUGAUGGCCUUGAGGAUGCGUCCCCCGCCGACGCUGUACUACGCGAGGUCCAGCAGGAGUCGCUCCGCGUCGUCCUCGUUGAACUCGGCGACGGCGAGCCUCGGGCAAGCGGCUCGAGGAUGCGUUAUUUGAUUCGUUUUGGUUCUUGUCUCGUGGUGCCAUGGGAGGAGGAAAUCAUGGGUAUUUGUGAGGAGGAAAUCGUAGGGGCGCCCAUGGCUUCAUGUUGGAGUAGGUCUCGUAUGAAGAUCCGAUCCAAAAUGGACAAACAUUUUUGUCCACUUAUUUACUGGAUUGCGGGUUGAUUAUUUAAUACUAUAGGGGGCCUUUUUAUAAAAUGGACACGACGGUGAACCCGACGGAAACAAUGCGUGCUUUAUUAGUAGGUAAAGAAAAGAUAAAGAUUGGUUUAUAUUUUUUUUCUAAGAAUCGGAUUGGAUUAUAAUUUAUAUUUUUAAUACAUUUCCAAGAAAGCAAAAAAUAUAUCUAUGUGAACGGGCCACAGUGGCCGCAACCCAUUUGAGUCAUGAGUGGUCGACUGUGGCGAGGAUGGUGCGACAUCAACGUCGGCCAUGGGUUGAGGGAGAUGACGAUUUUGCCAGUGCCGGUCGACGGAUCAUCGAGGUGGAUGGCGGCAAUGAUGAGGGUAGACGGGGAUGCCGGGGUGGGACGAGAUGUUGUUUCCUCGACUAUUUGACACAGUGAGCUAAAAAAACAUUUUGUUGAGAAGUGAGCAAAGUUGGAGAUGAACAAGGAAACCUUUGGUCGUGGGCCAGGAAACGUGAUAACCUCUGGCCCAACGGUUGAUGGGCCGCAACGACGGAUCCUAUCCAUUCUCAUCCUUUCCAGCCGCCUCCACGGUUCUCCGGCCACCGCCGCCGACGAUGACGCCGGCCGCCGCCCACUACUUCCGCAGCCCCGUCCACUCCCAACGUCAGCAAGCAUGCGCCGGUUUCCACAACGCAGCAGCAGAAGCAACCGCAGCCGGCAGGGAGCUGAUCCCGGCCGUCGCCCUCCACAUCGGUGACUGAAUCGGCGGUCAGGCAGCAGCAGUCCGCCAUCACGUUCACCCCAACCGCAGCAAGCAGCAGCAGCCGCGAUUCAAUUCCUCUCACGGUCUGGGAUCAAGAGGUACGACUGCCUAGGUUUUCGGUUCCUCCAACAGUUUCUGAUUUAGUCUGUUGGGCUGAAAUAAUAAGAGAAGCUCGAAUUGAUGUGGAUGUUUGAUUCGUUGGUGUCAUUUUAUCCGAGUUGCAGAUGAGCUCACGGAUGGAUCACAUUCACUCUGUGCCGGAGAGCAAAGCUUCCUCAGCCACAUGCCCUCUGGUAGAUAUCGGUACUAAGUGGGAAAGAAUCAAUUCAGUGAGGUCUGACUAUGAGAGUGGAGAUUAAUGGACGUAACGUCCGAGCGAGGUAAUCAACAGAUUAUUGUAUUCUGCACAGCUCUAUUGCAAGUUCUUGGACAUAAAUAUGGAAGUAGAUUGUAGUACUAUAUCUUGCAAACAACUAGUAGCACUAUUACAGGGUAGUGUCCGGUGAUUAUUCAUACAUCUUCAGACCUAAUGGACCGAAAGCAUCAAAGCACAGUGGUUGCUAUUGCAGCGCAAGUGUACACAAAGUACAACCUUGAAUGUUUACAGAGUAUGGUAGUCCGUGCGACAUGCUUUAAUUCAUCCUCACAUUCCGCAACCUCCCCGUUAGCAUGUUAACGACCUUUGUCAUCGAUGGCCGGUUUCUCGGGUUCCACUGGAUGCACCACAGUGCGACAAUAGCAAGCCGCCUCACCUUUUCUUUCUCUUCUUCAGUCUUUUCUGCCAUCACCCUCCAAAUCGGUGACUGAAUCAGUGGUCAGGCAGCAGCAGCCGCGCGUCGAUUCCUCUCUCACGGUCCAAGACCAAUAGGUACUAGUGCGCCACACCACUCCUCAGAUUUUCGAUCCCUCCCACAGUUUCUGAUUUGGCUUGUUAUUAUUAUUCAAGUAAGUGAAGCUCGAAUUGAUGUGGAUGUUUGGUGCCAUUUUAUCGAAUUGCAGAUGCUGGAAAGGAAAAGCUCCGUCAGGCACAUCGCCUCUGUUAGCAACGGAAUAUGCCAAAUAUGGGAGUUGCAAAGCAAAAGCUCCGUCAUCAGGCACAUCUACUAACUGCCAAGAGGAGAUUCACUAACUCACAGAUGCAGAGAAAUAUGGGAGACCGAAUAAGGUAAUCAACGGAAUACUGAAUUGCACACAACGCUAUUCGCAACUUUUGGAGAUAAAUAUUGGAGUAGCAAUUGCGAAUCGUGUAUCUUGCAAAUAAUCAGUAGAGUAAGAUUACAAUGGUAGUGACCAGCGAUUAUUCAUACAUCUUCAGACAUAGACUGAAAGCAUCAAAACACAGUGGUUGUUAUUGUUGCAACACACGCGCAGACAAAGUACAACCUUGAAUGUUGACAGAGUAUGGUAGUCCCUGUUUUGAUUUAUGGCAUAGGUUCAUUUUCAUAUGAGACGUAAGGCUUUGGGGGCAUCUGCAGACUCUGCAACCUCCCUGUUAGCAUGUUAACGACCUUUGUCAUCGACGGCCGGUUUCUUGGGUUCCACUGGAUACACCACAGUGCAACCAUUGCCAGCUGCCUCACCUUUUCUUUCUCCUCUCGAGUCGUUUCCAAAGUAAGCACCAACUCCUCCCCAUUGAUAACUUUCUCGUAGAUCCACUCUGGGAGGUAAACAUCGUCCUGGCUCCCGAUUCUUGGGUCUGAAUUCCUCCUCCCGCUUACCAUUUCUAGCACCAGCAUGCCGAAACUGUACACGUGUGACUUGUACGAUACUCCCCCAAAGUUCCGAGAGUAUAGCUCUGGUGCAAUGUACCCCAUUGUGCCUCUUGCUGCUGUUAAGGUGACGAUGCUUUGGUCCCUUGCGCACAGCUUUGCAAGGCCAAAGUCUGAGAUCUUUGGAUUGAAGUUGUAGUCCAGCAGGAUAUUGUGAGGCUUGAUGUCAAAGUGGAGGAUGCGCUGGUUGCACCCUUGAUGCAAGUACUCCAUUCCUCUGGCAAUGCCUAAAGCAAUAUCUAGCAGCUUGUCGGGUACCAGAAGAUGCUGGAAAUUUGCAGAGUCACGAGAGAAAAUAUAUUUCUCUAGUGACUCAUUAGGCAUGAAUUCAUAAAUCAGAGCCCGUCUCAUUCCUUCGGAACAAAAUCCAAGGAGGCGGACAAUAUUGGCAUGGUGGAUUAGUCCGAUGGUUGCAACUUCAUUGAUGAAUGCUUGUCCCUCUCCUGUAGAGUUCUCUAGCAUCUUGACUGCCACGGGCACUCCAUUUGGUAGCUCGCCUUUGUAUACACUUCCAAAUCCUCCCUGCCCUACUUUUUCCUUAAACCGUCUUGCCAUCUUCUUAACUUCAGAGAAAGUGUACCUCGUGGGUUUCGAUGCUCCAUAUGUCUUGAGAAACAUUUCGACCCUCAAAUGUAUCUCCGUAUUAUAUCUUGUCUUGAGUGAAAGAUAAAGCACAGUGGCCACCGUUAACAAAAGAACAACAAAUGCGGCCACCGAUGAUGUAGCUGAAUAAACAAACAAUAUAUGACAUCAGCAUAUUGCAUUGGGAAUUAAAAGCCCUUACUUAGUUUUAUGUGGAUAAGGAUAAGAGGACGUCAAGGUUCAGAGUAGCCAACAAUAGGGAUUUGCAUUAUAUAAAUUUGGUAAUUAAAAUGACUGCAGUCAGAGUAGUACCUGCGAUGACUUUGAUACGGGAACCUGCAAAUACAAGAACAAGAAUUAGAGUCAGUUGAUGGUUUAGUAAAAAGAAAUGAGUUAUACUUGAUUUUGGUUUUAGAACUGUCAAAUUCAUUGUUUUCUACCAUUGCUGCCAUACACUCCCUAGCGGGGAUACAAUAGAGAUUUUAAUGUUCCAGAAACACAUAAGCAGUGAUAUUUAGGCCAUUUUGAAAGAGAAAAAAUAUUUGUCAUAACUGACCAACCACAUUUCAUUUUUGUAGAGCAUAUAGGAGAACCAUGCAUGUUUAUAUCUAGAAGAGAAUAUCAUGAACAUACUGUGGUACUGGCCAAGCUUUACACUGAACUUUGACAAGGAGAUUACUCAAGAUCCCACUACAGAAGGAAACACACCCUACCAACUGUUCUAUGUGUGCUUUGGUUGCUGGUUGUCUUUUUUUUUGGGGGUAUUGUGUUAUGUACAGAGGAUGUGGUACCGGUCUUUUGCUGGUUUUCUUGCUUUCGGCCUGGCUCUGUAAUGCGCUUCCUGGAAAACUUGGCAAGGGUUGGGCCGCUCACCUGAAUGGGAGGCUUCAUAGAUAGAGAACUGGGCAUGCUAGGCAUUAUCAGGCGGGUUCUGUUUUCUUUUGUUAUUUAGAAAUAUUUUAUAAUAUGUUUUGUAUUGAAGUGGUUGUGCAUCUCUACCAAAGUAUUGGACUGAUAUCUCCAAAGGAUUAGUUAGUGUUGUAUAGAUGAACAUAUUUUAUAGGGCCAAUGUUUAAUAGAUGAACAAAACAUAUUUCCUUCCUCUCGACAACUUCUCAGAUUUUUUAUGAGAGUUCAGGUGCAUAGUUCAAUGUGAUUGCUCAAGAAGGCUACUAAAAUAAUUUGUGGUGCUAUUUUAAAAGAAAAAUAUUGACAGAGAGUCUCAUGGAGAUUCAAACACCUGAAAUUAUGAAGUAAAAUUUUAACAGACUUCAAAACUUCAUUACAAAUAAAAUUGGAUGAUGCAAUUAAAUAUGGUUCUAGACAGUUAGAAUUGAUCAUACCGUCAGGCAUACAGAAUGCUUGAUUCUGUUGUGAGCUGAACGCGCAGCGUAGCCCACUGAGCUCACACUCUCUGCAAUCAUCAUCAGUCCAACACAGUGUGGUCUCAACAGAAUUGAUAAAUGUUUUUGCAGCUUCCUUGAAGGACCGUGGGUCGUAUAUUUGGCCGCAACUCCAAUACAUGGGUUUCAGACGGCCACCGACACCAUCUGAGACUGGGACGACCUUGCAGUCCAACGGAAGAAGAGACAUGUCUUCAUAACCAGCCACCAAAUAGAAGAAGUGGGUUAUGUUGCUAAUGCAGGAGAGUGGGCCAGCAAUCCUAUCGGCAGCACCAGGUGCAAACUCUCUUGAACAGUGUACUAGGUUUGUAGAACUCCAAAGGAAAAAUCGGUCAAGACUUGGCCUCUCAUGGUUGAGAACAUCAACCUGUGGAGAUGAUGAGCUUCUGGAGAUGAUGAGCUUCUGCUGGAGCACCAAACAGGUGUCUACAAGCGGGGUGAUCUUCAUGGAAGAACGCUUGUAAUCUAUGGCGCUGACACUGUAUGGGCCAAAAACUGGGUGGACUAGGAUGGUGUCCUGGCCAGAGCAUGCUAUCUUCCUGAUUGUUCUGCCACCACAUCCACAUGAUGAUGAUGAUUUAUUGCUUGAUUCGAGGCAGAAAGGAUACCUGAUCUCUGGGCCAUGCUGGCUGCACUGGGAUGGUGGGCAGUAUUUGAAGAAAUCUUUAUCAUCCCAUGCCGUUGCCAAGUAGGUUCCAUGGUUCGUAAGAGGUAGCAGCAGGAGGACUAUAGCAAGUAAUUUACUCAUCUUCCUGUAGUACUGUAAUAAGGAUGGAGAGGAAGAGGAUGAAGAAGAAGAUGCAGGCAAGUGCAAAAGAAGUAAAAAAGCAACAGCAUUUAUUGCUUGUCAUCUAUAGGUAAGCAGUCAGAGUCCUGCUUUACUGAUAGUUAGGCCUGAGUAUAACAUUUCAGAUGCUAUCGCCUGCCAGUGGUUUGAGUGUGAUUGCGAACUUGCUUCAGUCCAGUCCCUUGUUACAUGAAUAAUAAAUACAUGCGGAAGUUCUUGUAUACUGUCAUUGUCAUCUCUGGAGAAAACGAAUUAUCAUGGCACGGGACAGGCUUCAAGCCCUGAGUGGUCUUUUGUUCCUAGCUACAGAAUGGGACAGAAAUAUCUUCCUCUUCUUUUGUGUGUCGUCAUAUACCCAUGAAUUCACAAUCAAUUUCCCGGUCACACUAUUAAUUGGUAUAUACAGCUGGAUAUGAUCAACUAGUCGAUGCCGAUCCCUUGCCUGCCUUAGUACUCUUAACAGAACACACUAGGAUAUCAAGUCCCUAGUGCAUCUGUGAGAAAGCUUUUGUGGGGAACUCCGGUGCAUUUUAUCGUUCUAUUACCCUAUAAGCCUUCACUGUCUUCUCCUUUGUUGUAGUUUUUGCAGCAGAUCAUGUCCAGGGACGGGAUGAUGGGUGCCCACCUUUCUCCUGUGGGCAUCUGGACAUAUCAUAUCCUUUCCGUCGGCGAGGUGAUCCUCUUGAGUGCGGCGCUGGAGCAUAUGAGCUGGCUUGUACCACCAGUAGCAAGGCUACGAUUCACAUCAACACAGGAACAUACUAUGUGACUGCCAUCAACUACACAAUAAAUAUGUGUCAAUUGGCAUUUUGCAUUGUGUGGAAGUUCAUGUAUGUUGUCAUUGUCAUCUGUGGAGAAAAUGAUUAUCAUGUCAUGGGAUAGAAGACUCCAAGCUUGAAUCGUCUUCUGUUCCUAGCUACACAAUGGGAGGGAAAUAUCCUCAUCUUCUUUUGCCCGUCGUGUAUGUACCAAUGAAGUCAUAAUCUCUGGCAGCUGUCAGUGUGGAAAAUCUCUGGAAAAAAAUGAAUUAUCAUGUGACGGGCCAGAAGACUCCAAGACUGGGUCUUUUGUUCAUAGCUAAAGAAUGGGAGAGAAAUAUCUUCCUCUUCUUUUGCGCGUCAUGUAUAUACCAAUGAAGUCAUAAUAAGUAUCCCAACCGCACUAUUAAUUGGUAUUUACAGCUGGACAUGAUCAAUUNNNNNNNNNNNNNNNNNNNNNNNNNNNNNNNNNNNNNNNNNNNNNNNNNNNNNNNNNNNNNNNNNNNNNNNNNNNNNNNNNNNNNNNNNNNNNNNNNNNNNNNNNNNNNNNNNNNNNNNNNNNNNNNNNNNNNNNNNNNNNNNNNNNNNNNNNNNNNNNNNNNNNNNNNNNNNNNNNNNNNNNNNNNNNNNNNNNNNNNNNNNNNNNNNNNNNNNNNNNNNNNNNNNNNNNNNNNNNNNNNNNNNNNNNNNNNNNNNNNNNNNNNNNNNNNNNNNNNNNNNNNNNNNNNNNNNNNNNNNNNNNNNNNNNNNNNNNNNNNNNNNNNNNNNNNNNNNNNNNNNNNNNNNNNNNNNNNNNNNNNNNNNNNNNNNNNNNNNAGGAUAUCAAGUCCCUUGUGCAUCUGUGAAGCUUUCAUGGGGAACCCUGGUGCACUUCAUCGUUCUAUUACCUUACAAUCCUUAACUGUCUUCUCCCUUGUUGCAGUUUUUGCAGCAGAUCAUGUCCAGGGAGGAGAUGAUGGGUGCACACCUUUCUCGUGUGGACAUCUCCGAGACAUAUUGCCUCCUUUCCGUCGGCAAGGUGAUCCUCUUGAGUGCGGUAUUGAAGCAUAUGAGCUGGGUUGUACCAGUAGCAAGGCUACAAUUCACAUCAGCACAGGAACAUACUAUGUGACUGCCAUCAACUACACCGGUUCCUACUUCUGGGUCAUGGAUCCCAACUUCAAUACCAGUAGCAGCUGCCCACUUCCAUUGUGGAAUCAUGUUCCUUACUUUGGAUAUUACGGCGGCACUGAUUCAGUUUCACCACCUGGCUUUCGUUAUUUGAUCACUCAAAGCUACUACAGAGCAUGUUUUGCUAAUUGUUCACGACCAGUAACAGAUAAUAGUGCGUACAAGCCUGUUGCUUGCCUGAGUGCCAACAAUUCACAUGUUUAUGUCUGGGUGCCUACUACAGAUAAUUGUGCGGUUGACCUUCUUGAACCUUAUUGUGGAUACCUGGCCAAUAUUCCAUUUGGUAACGAGUUUGUUCCUGAUUGGCGCAUACACAAUGCAAGUUAUGCAGAUAUCACACAAGUCGUAAGUAAGGGGUUUACUGUCCAAUUUCCUGUGGACACCAUGGGGCCUUCUGUCUCUGUGAAGUUAAGAAAGAACAUCAAUAUAUGCCUCAACAAUUCAAUCAGGUGAUACCCUCUGGUUCAGUUUCCUCCCUAAUUUAGUUUCUCUGUUCUCUACUUUUCUCAAGAAUUUAUAUGGGACUAUUAAGCCCAUCUUUAGUAGAGCACAUUCACACUCGCCAUUAAAUUUUCUUUUACUUAAACAAUUAAUGUUAAUUGCAGCAAAGGUUUGUUAAUCAAUUGCACUACUCCAUCCAUGUUGGGCACAGGUCAGAUUAUGUGAAAUUUAGAAACAGCAGUCCAAAAUACAACGCAUAGUCGAAUUAUAUGGUGGCGAAGUCAAACACUGUUGUUGUGUGCAAAUGGGAUUGAAUUAGUAAUACAAAUGGAAUUUACCCUAUCUAAGAACCGUGCUCCCUUCUAAAUUCAUUUCUUUAAAAUGGUAUGAUUUGCAGCUACUUCAAGGAGCAAUCAUCUGGUGCAAGCAUCGUGAAUUGGACUCAUGUUUUCUUCUGGAGUGAAGUGCACUUCUUAGAAUGUGUGGCUCAGUACUCCAACGAUCACUACUACACAACACCGUUUCUUUUGGUUGUUGUGACCAUAUUAUCUGUGAUUGCUAUUCCCAAGUUCUUUUUCGGUACGUGGGAAUUAUAUGCCUUGUACUUCCAAAAUUGAAUUUUCAUGCUUUUAAUCAUCAUGGACACAAUCUUGGACAUAAGCUUAUGCCUACACGUUCAUCUAGCUUACAUAUGUAUGUGUUACCUUGUUGUGCAGUACUGUGCAGGUUCUUGUUGGCACCCCUGGCUGUGUGGAUAUUCCUAGCCUACAAGUACUUGAAAACAAGGAUCAUAAUUGAUGCAGUCGAGAAGUUCCUCAGGAUUCAACAAGUGAUUGGCCCUACGAGGUAUGCCUACACAAACAUCGUUGCAGUCACAAGCCAUUUCAGAGAUAAAUUGGGCCAAGGGGGCUACGGCUCCGUGUACAAGGGUGUGCUACUUCCAGGGGAUAUUCAUGUCGCCGUCAAGAUGCUAGAGGGCAACUCAAACUGCAAUGGAGAAGAUUUCAUCAGCGAGGUCUCCACCAUCGGCAGGAUCCACCACGUCAAUGUGGUGCGUUUAGUGGGGUUCUGCUCGGAGGAAAUGAGAAGGGCCUUAGUCUACGAGUACAUGCCCAAUGGUUCUCUGGACAAGUACAUCUUCUCUACCGAGAAGAGCUUCUCAUGGGACAAGCUCAACGACAUCGCUUUGGGCAUUGCCAGGGGGAUCAACUACUUACAUCAGGGGUGUGACAUGCAGAUUCUACACUUUGACAUCAAGCCGCACAACAUCCUUCUCGAUAGCAAUUUCGUCCCAAAGGUCGCCGAUUUCGGGCUUGCCAAACUGUACCCGAGGGGAGACAGUUUCGUGCCACUGAGCGCCAUGCGGGGGACUGUCGGCUACAUAGCCCCGGAGAUGAUAUCCCGGAGCUUUGGUGUCAUAUCUAGCAAAUCUGACGUCUACAGCUUCGGGAUGCUGCUGUUGGAGAUGGCUGGCGGGAGAAGGAACGCUGAUCCAAACAUGGGGUCCUCAAGCCAGGCGUACUACCCGUCAUGGGUGUACGCCAAGCUGACCCGGGAAGAAGCGGGCGAGGAGAUAUCACCUGUUGCUGCCGACAUGCACGAACUGGAGAAGAAGCUGUGUGUUGUCGGAUUAUGGUGUAUUCAGAUGAGGUCUUGCGAUCGGCCAACAAUGGGCGAGGUCAUUGAGAUUCUGGAGGCUGGGACCGACAGCCUGCAGAUGCCUUCAAGACCAUUUUUCUGCGACGAAGGGCACAUCCAUGUGGAGGACUCUUAUCAUUUCACUUCCGAGCUGACAGUGGUGUCAGAGGAGGAAUCGACUGCGGUGUCAGAGGAAGACAAUGUGUGAGGUAUAUAUAUACGAUGUGUGAUAUAUUUUGUGCAUGUAAUCUGCACUUAUAUGUAUGUGUUCACAGAGUGAUGCACUUAGCUAAUAAAAGUGACGCAGUUUUGUAACAGUAUAAAUCUUUUGUGCAAACUGUCAUCCUUGUUCCGCACUUCAUUAUUGGAGAAACAGGGCAACUUCAAACUAGUUUGAAAAAACAGGGCAACUUCAAAUUAGUUUGAAAUCUUACAUCCAUCUAAUUUGUUUGUCUGUUCAGUACUGUUGAUACAAAUUCUGAUUGAAAAUAUUGUUUGAACCAUCUGUGAGAGGUGACAAGAACGCCUUUUCCUUGUCGGGGAUCAUUUUUGAGAGAAAUUUGUGCUCUUUUUCCUAGGAAAAAAACUAUGUAUUUUAUCAUGGUGGCAGUAACAAACAUGAUGGAUGUAGAUUUUCACUGAGAAGCUAACUUAUAAUAGAAUUUAUUUGUUUUUGGAUAAAGAUUUGGUUGACAGCAACAUCAUUCCAGGCUGAGUUCAGCAUGCCAAAGAAAUUAGAUAGGCAGCAAAAACUGCACGCAUCGGCAUUGUUACCUUCAAGAACCAGAGCAGAGUCUGAUUUUCUUAGUGUUACAUGCCAUCUUCCAUCCUAGGCACGAAAUUCUUUUUCUUGUUCUAGUGGUUGCAAUCUAGUUCUGUCAAAUGCCACUUGUGCGUCCGACAUGGGGACAUUCCAGUAACGCUGACAUUGCCCUCCCCUGCGUGGAGAAGAGUCUUCUUCUGCUCCAACUCCAGCAAUGCUGAUAUGGUCCUGAAGCUGCUACUUUUGAUGUCCUCUGCUUUGUACUGCUGGCAAGUGGCAGAGCCUGUACAAACCGCCUUCCUGCCCCAGUCCUCUGCUUUCUGUUAUUAGAGGAACACAAAUAGAGAUAUAUCAGUUAAGUUUAAAGUAUACAAUUCCGGUCGAAGUACAUGUUCGAACCAGUCCUCGGAAGGAUUGUCCUUUUUUCUAUGAUGGGAGAGGUGAGAAAAAAAAACACAAUGAUUUCUUUUUGUAGAAGCAAAUAUUUUUCAGACAAAACAGGAACCUUGCAUUAUUGGAAGAACACUCAAUCAGCAUCACUGAGAAACCAACAUUCAUAGACAAAUGAGACCGCCCAAAAAAGCGAUAGACUUCGGUUCACAAGCUCAACCAAGUAUCCCUCUGCCACUUCCUCCAAUGUUUUGCUCUCAUCUUUUUCUGUGAUAAACCCUGCCGUGAUCCACUGCCUCAUUGUCUUCCUCCUCUUUAAAACAUAAUCUUCUGGGGACAAUGCACAGUGUAGGAAACAAUUCUUCAAAUCAUACUGAAGGUCCUCCAAGCUGACCUUUAGGAUCAAAUGAGCAUGAGGGAUCACAUCUUUCGCAAACUGCGAAUCCAAACACCUAUACACAUCCUCCCAUUUGGCGGAAUUUUGGGGUUUGCAUGAGAGUAGGCGACCAAUGCAUGCAGUAGCAAUAGGCAAGCCUUGACACUUCGCUAUGAACUUCCGAGCCAAUUCCUGCAGCUCCAAUGGGCAUUUUUUGUCAUCAGCAUUCCAAAAUGCCCCUUUGCAGAACAACACCCAGGAGUGAUGUGCUUGUAGUGGUUCCAAAUGAACUGCAGAUGCAGACUUCCUAGUUGACAACUCGGCCGGUACAGCUAGAUGUUGGGAAGACAUCCCUUAUCUCUGACCACAAGCGCUCAUCCCAAACAUCAUCCAGGACCAAGAUGUACCUUUUACCUUGAAGGUAGUUGUCGAUGAACUUUGCCAGGCCUCUCAUCUCAAUGUUGGCGACGUCGACUGUGAUGCUCAACUGAGCGGAGAUCUUCUUCAAAAGAUCCUCAGUACGGUAACUGUCCGACACAGUUAUCCACGCUGCAGCAUCGAAAUCCUCUUUCACGGUGUUGUACACAUAAUCAACCAGAGUGGUUUUACCAACACCAAGCAUCCCCCACACUAGGGUGACUUUGCUGCUGCUCUGCUCCUGUCCUUCACCACCACUGGUUAGCCACUGUAUCAACCUCUCCUUGUGCUCUUCGAUGCCCACAAGGUCCUCAUCCCUGGUGAAGGGCAAAGCUCUUCGAUGCCCACAAGAUUCGUCGAUCUGGCAGCAGAUGCAGAUAUGCCGUUGACGGCAUAAUCUCUCUUCCUCCGGUUGGCGUCCUGCAGCUGGGCCUUGUUAGCUAAUCUAGGCCUUGUUAGCUAAUCUAGACGCUGGGCUUAGGCUAGUUUGUUUUCUGUUGAAUAAACAUGUUGCAUGAGCCGCGACGUGUGCGUGCCAUGCAAGUAGCUAGCAUGGGUCGGCUGGACGUGGUCACCGCGAUCGGCCCGGUAGUCUCGCAGGUGGCUUAGGAGGCACGAUCGGCGCUCGUGGGAUGGCGCAAGCACGGCGGAUCAUGGCGCAUAGAUAGGAUCGCUACCUGCCUCUCCUUCCUUGUAACGAAUAAAUAGCAGUGAAGAAAACGGGAAAAGUCGCAAGAUUGCACGCGACGCAAAAACCUUCGUCUCCUCUGUGAUCGUGAGUUGCGAGAGCCUAGUUUCCUAACAGGCUUCGAUUUCUUGGAGCUUGGCUGCCAAGCGCCGCCAGGUCUUGAUAUGCUUGAGCCUCUUCUUUUUUUCAUCUUGCCAGCAAACCCUCCGUGCUUGCAGUACUCCAGCUUGUAGGCCAGGCCCCUGAUCUCGUCGACGAAGAUGGUCGUGGUCUUGUCGUUGUCCUUGAAUCGCUCUGCCUCUUGCAGGUAUGCUUGCAUGCUCUCCAGCUCCGCCUUGGACUAGCGGAUCUUGCCGAAGAGACCCCUCAGGGCCGCAGCUUCCUUGCACAGCAGCGCCCCACCAUAGGUUGCCGCCUCUUUCGCCAGCGCGGCCCCGAGAGUCAUCACCAACUGCCUGACAACAGCCUCCGCCAUGGUUUUUGAGGUUUUCUUAUUUCUCAGAUGAUGGUUUUUGAGAGCAACUCCAACCAAGUGUCCAAAUCUCACUCACCAAGUUCUCAUUUGAGUACACACAUCAAAAGAUCAUCCCCCUUAUUUCUUUUUGCAGUCCAACCCAUUCAGCAGAUCUGACACACCUACAUUUUAUUUCAUUGAUUCCAUAUAACCAUCAAACUUCCCUCUGUCUCUCCAAACACAGUAGCUCAUUUGGCUGUAUAAACCAGUAAAAUCAGUAGUAACAAGAGCAUCAGUGACAAUAACAUGAGUAACGAAACAAGUAGAGCAGCAGUGCAGCAUUGAUCUCUCCUCAUUAAUCAUUGUCAUCUCUCCCACUCUGCAGCGGCUUCAAGCAGCAGUCUAGUCUAGUCUCAGCCAAAUCUCAACUCACCCUCAGAACAAGACAAGCACACACAUCACCGGCAACAGCAGCAGCUAGCACGAGCGGGCCACCACGGCCUCGACACAGAGCAGCGCGAGAACCAACCUGUACAGUAGAUCCUUCCCGCGCCUGACUCGAUUUGCACGCGACACAAGCAGGGAACAAGUAAUUAAGCUGGUUUGUCCUGCUUGCUCAAUCUCCCAGGUGCUGAAAAUUCAUGUGCCUGCAAAACAACCACGCACCAUGACUCCAAAAUGAGAUAUCCCGACCUGAGGUGACCUGGGUGACUCCAAAAUGAGAAAAUCCACUUAUCGGUUGAGAGAAAAAAAAUCCAUACACAUUUAUCCUUUGUAGGAAAACAUAUGGGUCGGUUUACUAUGUCGAAUGUGGGCUCNNNNNNNNNNNNNNNNNNNNNNNNNNNNNNNNNNNNNNNNNNNNNNNNNNNNNNNNNNNNNNNNNNNNNNNNNNNNNNNNNNNNNNNNNNNNNNNNNNNNNNNNNNNNNNNNNNNNNNNNNNNNNNNNNNNNNNNNNNNNNNNNNNNNNNNNNNNNNNNNNNNNNNNNNNNNNNNNNNNNNNNNNNNNNNNNNNNNNNNNNNNNNNNNNNNNNCACUUGGCACUUCGUCAGAAGGCACUGACCCCUACCAAGUGGACCUAUCGCAUUGAAUUUCAUCAGCGUGAUCUCCACCAUCGGCAGGAUCCACCACGUCAACGUGGUGCGUUUAGUAGGGCUCUGCUCAGAGGAAAUACGAAGGGCCUUAGUCUACGAGCACAUGCCCAAAUGUUCUCUGGACAAGUACAUCUUCUCUACUGAGAAGAGCUUCUCAUGGGACUCCUUCUAGUCAUUGCCAAGAGGAUCAACUACCUAUACAAGGGGUGCGGCAUGCAGAUUCUGAACUUCGACAUCAAGCCACACAACAUCGUUCUCAACAGCAAUUUUGCGACAAAGGUCGCCGAUUUUGGGCUUGCCAAACUGUACCCGAGGGGCAACAAUUUCGUGUCUUUGAGCGCCAUGCCGGGGACCGUCGCUACAUAGCCCCCGAGAUGAUAUCCCGGAGCUUCGGUGUUAUAUCCAGCAAGUCCGAGGUUUGCAGCUUCGGGAUGCUGCUGGUGGAUAUGGACGACGGGAGAAUGAAUGCCGAUCCAAACGCGGGGAGCUCAAGCCAGGCGUACUACCCAUGAUGGGUGUACGAUCGGCUGACUCGGGAAGAAGCGGGAGAGGAGACAUCACCUGUUGUGUCCGACAUAAACGAGCUAGAGAAGAAGAUGUGCAUUGUCGGAUUAUGGUGCAUUCAGAUGUGGUCUCGUGAUCGGCCAACGAUGAGCGAGGUCAUUGAGACCCUGGAGGCUGGGGUUGAUGGCCUGCAGAUGCUUUUGAGGCCGUUUUUCUGCGACGAAGGGCACAUCCAUGUGGAGGACUCUUAUCAUUUCACUUCUGAGCCGAUGGCGGUCUCGAAGGAGGAGUUGAGUGCGGUGUCAGAGGAAGACGAUGUAUGAGGUAUAUAUACAAUGUGUGGUAUUAAUUUUCCUCCGUAAAGAAAUAUAAGAGCGUUUAGAUCACUAAAGAGGGAGUCUGUAUGUAUAUGUGCAUGUAUAUGUAUGUAUGAUGGAGUGAUGCACUUAUCUGUAAAAGUUAUUGUUGUAACAGUACCAACCCAGUAUUAAUGCUUUGUCAAACUGCCUUGGUUGCUGUGCAGAGCAACUUCAAAUAAAGAUUGAAAUCUUACAUCCAUCUAUCUGUUUCUGUUACUCUCGAUAAAUUCUGAUGAAAAAUAUUGCUUGAAGAGUAAAUUCUUGACACAAAUAAGUUUGUGACAGGUCACAAAAAGGCACCUUUUUCUUGUUGCGAAACAUUUUUGUAGGGAAAAGUUGCAUUUCAUUCUGCUGGCAGUAACAUACAUUGUGGAUGAAGAUUGUCACUGGGAGCUAGCCUGCAUAUAAAUUUUCUUUAGCAUAUGAUAGAUCCGUAACACCAUUGGUUAACUUACCUGCAAACACAUAAAGAUUGCUAUACAUUGAACAUUCUGAAUCUGGUGCGACAAAUAAGACAAGUUUUUUUUUGCGGGAUAACAGAAGCACAACUCAGCUCCCCAAUUUCAUCACUCGUGCAGGUUCAUUGAAAUACAGUUUUAGUUCACAGCAACAUCUCUCCUCUCCUGCAGGUUGACCAAUAAUCUCUCAUGAACAAAGUUCAGCAUGCCUGUCAUAUUUGUAUUUGUUUGCAUAGCCUGUCAUGUUCCCUCCUUCAGGUCUGCGCACCCCCAAGCACGCGAACCUGUAGUUGUCUUUCUUCUCUGCAGCUAAGAAAUCGUCGCGGUCAUAGAAAUACAGAUCUAGUGUUUGAUUUAAUGGAACCAUGUGCCGUGUUGUCGUGGUUUCAUAUACUUUGCUGCAACCCAAUGCUGUCGAAUGCCACUUGUGCGUGCAACAAGGGGUGCUGGAAAUUCCAGCAACACUGACAUUGCCAUGCCUGGAGAAUGCGUGGACAAUUAGGAGUAUUUUCUUUUGUAGAAGCAAAUACGUUUGCAGACAAAAAAUGAACUUUGCAUUAUUGGACGAACAUUCAAUCAACAUCAGUGAGAAGCUAACUUACAUUGCGAUUCUGAUAAAACAAAAAAAAUUAUAUACCGAUUCAUCACAAAUUCAUCGAAUGCACUCUUUAGUUUACAGCAGCAUAAUUACAGAUUGAUCGAGUUCCCAGCAGCAUAUGGCCAUGAACGAAGUUCACCAUGCCUGCUGAGAUUGUGAAGUACUACUGAUUACAGCUUAUGUACAUUACAUUACAAAUAUAAGUUACCAACUUACAUGCCAGCAGCAGUACACAAACUGAAAAGCCUGAAAUAUGGAUCUGUCACAUCAGGUAUAAGCAUGCAUUCGUGCUUUAGAUGAGCAGAUUAUGGCAACAGAAACUACCACUAACUGAUGAGCAGAUUAUUCAUUUCAGAGCAUAAUAUGGAAGAAGACGUCAUGUGUUGGCAUUGUUGUCGAGCCUCUCGUGUUCUUCGUCCCCUUCACUCCUUCAGCAUAUAUGAUGGACUGCGCACUGCUGACUCACAGUUCUUUUUAUUGUUUACAUCUGCCAUUAAGAAUCCAACUGUGCAGAAUCUGCCUUUAAGGAGACAAACAAGCUUGCCUGACAGUGGAGAAUCUGAUAAUAAUUGCAAAUUCAGUCAUUCAGUCAAGGGAGUGAAUGAUCUGCAUCUUUUCAAAAGCUACUUAACUUAGGAUAACUAGUCAAGUGUGAAAGAUUGAAGAACACAUCCUUUUCGACAAACUUUUAAGUUUAAACUAAGGAGCAUGCACAUAGUGGAAACUACAUGAUCAGUUACUUGUUUCUAUGAUCGACCCUACCAGUUCUGUCCUAUGGAGUCAGGUGACGGUUGAAAUGAUAAUGUAGAAAGACCAUGUUAGAUGUAGUUAACAAGCUCGUAAUAAAUUCACACUACUAGGAGCAGCUACUAGUUUCUUUAAUUCUACCAAUAUAUGACAAGGUAUGGACUGUUAUAGCAACCAUUCUUCCGAAAAAUCGUGAUUGAAGAAAUACAUUGACAUGAUAUGCCAUUGACCAUGGGGUUUCCUCUCGCAAAACAAAAUAAAAGUUUAUUCAAUUGGAAGUCAACUUUGUGAUUAAGGUACAGAUCACCAUGGCGCCAUCCGCAGCUUUGAUUACAAUAUAGGGUACAUACUAUCACCGUCCUGGUUUAUAAGUCCCUUUUGUAUUUUGUGUCAAAUUUUGACUAAAGAUUUUAACUAACAAAAUAUUAAUGCAUGUCAUUCGUUGUAUUCGUAUUUGAACAUAGUUUUCAAUUAUAUUAUUUUUUUAUGACAUGCAUUAACAAUUUUUUAGUUAAAUUUAAGGUUAAAAUUUGGCACAGAAUACAAAGCGGACUAAUAAACCAGGACAGAGGUAGUACAUAUUUAAUCUCUGAUAAAAGAUUGAAAUAUAAAUUCAUUUCAAAUUUCCAGGCGGUAAAUGACCUAAAUUUCGAGAAUUUUUCCAAGGAACAAAAAAUGAUAUCAAGAAAAGAAAUCCUUGGUUGUAUGUGGUUCUUUGCUUUACCAUGACAUUUUUGUGGCCUGUUUUUCCCUUUCUUUUCUUUUUAAUAAAUCGGAAUGCAUUCUUCCUUAAUGUAUAUAACUCUUGACACCUUGACACCGUCAUGCUGCAAACACCAUGUGACUUGGUGUCACAACUGUAGUAACAAUUAUAAGUGAAAAUUUUACCAAUGUGGUGCACCUACAGGCUAGAGUGGUAUCCAUCACCGGUAACUAGAAAAAAAAUACCAGUGAAGGAUUUUCUGUAGGCCGAAGAGGCCUUUUCGGUUUUCUUUGAGCCAAAGACCAGCCGGGCUGGCCACUCUUUGGCCUUCACGCGGCCCCGAAGAGGUCGGGGACAGAGGCAAAAAUUACUUCGCUAUUGUGAACCAUGCAUAUGUUAAAAGGACUCUCUCGACCUAAUUAGGCAUAGUCCUAAUUAGAUCGAGAGUGAAUCUGACAAAUGGGUUCAACAGUUGCUCCCGUGGCAGCUUUCAAGUGUGUAUAUCGUAGGUUUUAUCACCGACGGUUCUCGUCAUUAAUAAGUCGAGCAUUCGUUUUGACCAAUCAAUUCUGCCGACAUAUGGGUCCCGAAGAUGCUGACGUGGCUGCUUACUUGUGGGACUACAGAAGGGUAACGACAUGCAUUUCCGUCACUAUUACCAUCACACGUACAAAAAAAAGUUAUAGCUCAUAUAUUGUUAAUUUUCCCAUCCAAAUCUGUAUUUAAUUUUAAAUUUCCAAAAAAUAGAUUCAAAAUUUGAAACGUUGGAAUAUGAGAAUUCAAACAUUGGCAAUAGAUCUUUCAUUUAAAGUGAAACAUGACAAUUUACAAUGAGAACCAUGGGACAUAGUCUCGGACAGUAAACAAACAAAAAUUAUGUUGACUAAGCAUCAGGCGGUUGGUGUUUCUCAGACGCUGUCUAGUGAUGACUACGUGGACUUCCUUAACAUGUGAUUAGGCAUUGCUUCCAUAUGUAUGUGCUUUUUUUUCAAAGACAAUGGUUUUCUUCUGCUGUCCACCUUUAAAUUUGCAAUCGCUAGCAGCUACUUCUUUUUUAGGUCUUUAAUUUCUUCUAUCUAGGGAAAAAGUACGGCAUUCAGGUCUUGCUAAAACAUAUCACUUGCCUUUUUUCUGCAUCUGCCUCUAAGUUACAAUGAUGUGUUUUAGCUCAUGGAUGUGUUCACGGGAGGAUGAAUUCUUCCUGGACGAGAUGCCCAUGAUCGAAAGUAACAUGCUUGAUGAUGCAUUCACGAGAGGAUGAAUUCUUCCUGGAUGAGACGCCCAUGAUCGAAAGUAACGUGCUGGAUGAGCUUUUUUCCUCAAUAAUUUCUACAUCGGGUAUUCCUUCUGUAUCAAGUUGUUUUGAUGUUGUUUGUUUAAUCAUCGACUCAUUCUGCAAUAUGAUUGAUAGCACUCUUAGAGCAGUGUUUGAUAGUUUGGGUAAUUAUGGUCAGAUUGUACAUUUUUUGUGAGAAAUUUCCAAUCUAUUUAUCCUCAACCAUGGCAGUACAACGAACAUCAGAACUAAAGAAAAAUACAUUCAGAUUCAUAUACCACCUAGCGACGCCUACAAGCACUGAAGGAAGCCGAAGGCGCGCCACCGUCAUCACCCCUCCCUCGCAAGAGCCGGACACAAUUUUUUGUAGUAGACAGUCAGGAAGCCGUCGUGCUAAGCCCCCAUAGGACCAACAUACACUAGUAGAUAAAGGGCCUUUAGUCCUGGUUCAUAAGGGCCUUUAGUCCCGGUUCUGGAACCGGGACUAAAAGGUCGUUACUAAUACCCUAGCCCUUUAGUCCCGGUUCUUACACGAACCGGGACUAAAGGCCGUCCACGUGGCCGGUGCGUGGAGCCCAGGCAGGAGGGCCUUUGGUCCCGGUUGGUGGCACCAACCGGGACCAAUAGGCAUCCACUUGUCAGCAUUUCAGUGGCUGGGGUUUUUGUUUUUUUUUUCUAAAAGGGGGGUGGAUUUGGGGGUUUAUUAAGGUGUUUCAUAUAUUGUAUUAGGUAGCUAAUUAAUUAAUAGAGAGAAAAGUGUCCUCUCUUAUCUCCGUGCUUGAUCGACGCUACGUACUAUACGUAUAGAGAGGCCCUCGACACGCUAGCUAGUAAGAAAAUGAAGGAAACCAUUAAGUACAGAAGUUCGUCGUGCAUACCGAGAGAAGUGAUUGACCUCUCCUUCUCCGAGAGAUUGGUCGAACAACAAGUUUUCGUAUUAUCUAUCCGACUACUGGCUACAUACAUAUACAAUAUGUAAGAUCUAUACAAUCCCCUAGCAUUUGAAGUCAACUUCCAUAUGGUAUUCUCCGGCUUUAUUGAUGACGUGGUCAAGAAAGAAUCCCGCCAAUUCCUCUUGAAUUGCUUUAUGCGAUCUUGUGGUAGGAGUUCAUUCCGCAUCUCCCACGUCUAAUUUGAAGAAGGGGGUUAAUACAUAUAUAUAUGAAUGAAACUCAAUAGAAAUGAUGGUGUAAUAAAAUGAAAUUGUGAAUAUUAUUGCUUACGCACUUCAUAUUGUCUUUUAGAGUAGCCCCGCUUAUCUUUGCAAGUCGCGUUGUAGAUGAACUCGCACACAUAGUAUCCACAGUAAUCAUUCCCUUGUUCCUGCCACAAGCACUUUACGAGAAAUAGAGGUCAAUCAAACUGAUAAUGAAGCAUUAUAAAUGGCAUUGAUGAAACUAGCUAGAAUCAACGGGAGAUGCGCCCAACUAGCUAGCUAGUAGUACUUACUUUCGGGUAUGUAUAUCGCAGCUCCUUCGGCAGUCCCGGAGCUUCUGCGGUGAACUGUUUCCAAACCCUGCAAGACAAAGAAAAUAAUUAUUACUUGAGAUAUCAGAAAAUGAACAAAAAGUUGCCGAGUGCGAUAAUGAUCGAUUGAACUUACUUGUUGAGAAUUUUAGUCAUGUCCGCAUAGGUCUCGGGAUCUUUUCGUCUCGAGUCUAAGACGGUUACUAAUCCCCACUCAAGCUUAAUCUCCAGGAGAAUAUAGUGGAAGCUGCGCACGCAUGCAUAACUCAUCAAUUACAUUACUAUAACCUCGCUCGAGUAAUAAAGGAAACCGAAUAUGCACAUGACAGUAACACUCACUUGGAGUUGUAAGGAAAGAGUAUUAAAUCUUUGUUUUGAUUUAUUACUAAUGAUUUGAGCAAGUUGGCCUCGGCCUCGGCGGCGUCCUUUUUAACCUGAAAAUAAUCUAUGAGAUUGGUGUUAAUGAACCCAAUAUCAUACAUUUCUGCUUUUCUGCACUCGACGAUCUUCAAUCUGCAUAAUAUAGUGAGGAUAAUUAUAAAUACAUGCAAUGAAAGAGCUGAGCUAUAUAUAGAGACUUAAUGACAAAAGUAGUACUUACAGACAGUAGCAAGUGACCGUUAAUUUAUCGAGGGCCUUCUGAUUGAAAAACGCGAAGAACUCCUCAAUGGAACAGGCAACAGAUCACCGCUGACGAGGUCGUGCUCCUCUUUAAUUCUCAGAUACAAAGUAUUCGUCCCCCCAGACUCUCUGCAGGUUUUCAUGUACCAAUUAUGAAAUCUUCGCAUCAUCGUUGUUAGAGAUUUUUUAUCUUUGACGAGAGGCUUCCCGUACUCGUAUCUGUGUUCCUCCACCUCCAACAAAUCAUAAUGUACAUCAUCGGACAGGUAAUCUUCAGGAUUGCUAUAACCGGGCACCAUCCCCGGAGCAUUAGCGACGAUGUCGCUAGACACAUUGAGCGGGGGGAACGAUUGGUUCGCUUGUUCUCCGAGCUGGGCAAUUUCUUUCCCAGCUCGUCGGUCUUUUAAUCUUUGAUCACUGACAGUACUUCCUGACCGCUCCGCUUCGAGAUAUGCCUUUUCAGUAUGCGCUCAUAGUUGGUUUUCGGCGGAGACUUUGGUGGUUUCCUCAGGGCAUCGAUAGUGCACUUUGCUUUCACCGGAUCUACCUUCUCCUCCGGAGGUGGAUGUCUCUUUGCUUUCAACCCUUGAAAGAAGUCCUUCACCUCGGUCCGCACGAUCUUCGCGGUUUUCUCCGGGGUCCUCUCGUACGGUAACUUCUCUAGAGGCUUGAGAGGUGGACCGUAUCUGUAUUGCCUCCUGCCUCUGCCUGUACUGCUAGACGCCGGAGCAGACGGGGCGGCUGCGGCUGUCUUGUUUUGUGCUUGCUUACGAGGCGGAGGAGAAGGAGUACGACGCGCCGGAGCAGCCGUGGCGGCGGGUCUCUUCCGCCCUUGCUGGCGAGGCGGAGAAGGAGGAGGCUGGUGGCUGCUUGGGCUCGCCGGCGCAGGCGGAGAAGGAGGCGGAGUGCCGCCACGCGCCGGAGAAGGAGGCUGAGUGCCCUGAUCGUCACUCGCCGGAGGAGGAGGCGGUGGAGGAGGCCAAGUGCCCUAACUCGCCGGAGGAGGAGGAGGAGGCGGAGGCAUCCAGUUCGAAAGGUUGAUGAGCUCCUUCCGCCAUAGGCAUGGAGUCCUCAGACAAGAACCCAGUCGAGUCUCCCCUUCACCCGUAGGGUGGUCAAGCUGGAGGUCCUCAAAUCCUUCUGUGAUUUCAUCCACCAUCACCCUAGCAUAUCCUUCUGGAAUCGGCCGGCAGUGAAAAGUUGCGCCAGGUUCAGGAGGUGCAACAGAGCCAACAGCCGCCUUGACUUUCAAUUGCAUCCACUGCGUCAUAAGGUGGCAAUGCUGAGACUCCAUGAUAGCAUCUACGGGGUAGCUAGCAGGAGCCGUGAAGACAGGCUGAACCAGCUCGGUGGAAGCCUGGCUGCUUCUCCGCUGAGAUGGCGGGGUAGCUUCGGGGGUAGUUUCGGCAGGUCGCUUGCUGCGAUUUGCUUCUCGUUCCUCAAUCGCUUGUACCCGUGCGUGCAGCGCCUGAAUUUGGAUCUGCUCCACUUUUUUCCUCCUCUCCUGGCAUUUGUAACCGCCUGCGUCCGGAAAACCAGCCUUCGACGGAACGGAGCCUGGCGUGCCUCGUGUCCGUCCAGGGUGCUCAGGAUUCCCGAGGGCCAUUGUGAGCUCGUCGUUCUCUCUGUCUGGAACGAACGUCCCUUCCUGCGCUGCAUUGAUAUAGUACUUAAGCUUCUUGACGGGUAUUGCAAGUUGCUCAUCCGUCCAACGGCACUUCCCUGAUACAGGGUCCAAGGUUCCGCCAGCCCCGAAGAACCAAGUCUGGCAAUGGUCUGGCCAGUUCAUUGUCUCUGGUUCGAUCCCUUUAUCAAGCAGAUCCCUCUCAGCCUUGGCCCACUUAGGCCGGGCUUUGAGGUAGCCACCUGACCCCGUGCGAUGGUGAAGCUUCUUCUUCGCAGCAUUUUGCUUGUUUGUCGCCGACAUCUUCUUACUCUUUUCCGAUGUCUUGUGGGCCACAAAUGCGUGCCAUUGAUCUCUGAUCUUCUCAUAUUUGCCGAUGAAUUCUGGUGUCUCUUCUUUGUCAAUAAACCUUUUCAGCUCAUUCUUCCACCUCCUGAAUAGGUCUGCCAUCUUCUUAAGAGCAUGAGACUUGAUUAAUUGCUCUAUAACUGGCUUCUCCGGAUCCUCCUCUGGCGGUAGGGUGAAAUUUGCCUUCAGCUCAGUCCAAAGAUCAUCUUUCUGCAUAUCAUUCACAUAAGACACCUCAGGGUCUUCUUUCUUAGGCUUAUACCAUUGGUGGAUGCUGAUCGGGAUCUUGUCCCUAACAAGAACCCCGCACUGAGCAGAAAAGGCUUCCUUUGUCCGGAUGGGUUCAAUCGCAAACCGCGCACCCCACACCCCGCGCGCGAUUGAUGUGAUCUCAAACCUUUCAUCCGCGCGCAACUUUUUCUUCGGGCUCGUCUCUUUACCGAAGUUGUGCUCGAUCCGGAGGGCUAGAAAAAAGAAGAAAGACGAGAGUUAAUUAAUAUGUGUACAUACCAAAACAAUGAAUGCAUCAAUUAGCUAGUCAGCACAGGCCUAACUAAUAUAUUUACCUGGCCGGACUCUGUUCGGUCACCGGAGCUGUCAACACGGGCCCCUUCUUGCACCAGCAUUGGGUCACCGGAGCCAUCAUAAUCAUGACUUUCCUCCUCCAUUCUUCGAUCACCGUAGCUUGCUUCUUCACCCUGUUCUUCCAGACCAUCCUUGUCGUUAAGAUAUGACAUGACAUCACCUCCGGCUAAGAUUAUGUCCCCCAACACCUCUUCUGCUUCCUCGUCUCGUCCAUGCUCCAUUGUUUCUGCAAAUAUUACAACAUGGCAAUUAUUACACAAACAUGACAGCAUGUGGAUAUAUUAGUGGCAAACGUAGACCUUAUUCCGGGUUUGGGGUGGCCUCGGCAGCGCUUCAAGGGUAGGGGCGCGGUGGGAGGGGGUAGGAGACCGACAUCGUUUUUUCUAGGGUUUGNNNNNNNNNNNNNNNNNNNNNNNNNNNNNNNNNNNNNNNNNNNNNNNNNNNNNNNNNNNNNNNNNNNNNNNNNNNNNNNNNNNNNNNNNNNNNNNNNNNNNNNNNNNNNNNNNNNNNNNNNNNNNNNNNNNNNNNNNNNNNNNNNNNNNNNNNNNNNNNNNNNNNNNNNNNNNNNNNNNNNNNNNNNNNNNNNNNNNNNNNNNNNNNNNNNNNNNNNNNNNNNNNNNNNNNNNNNNNNNNNNNNNNNNNNNNNNNNNNNNNNNNNNNNNNNNNNNNNNNNNNNNNNNNNNNNNNNNNNNNNNNNNNNNNNNNNNNNNNNNNNNNNNNNNNNNNNNNNNNNNNNNNNNNNNNNNNNNNNNNNNNNNNNNNNNNNNNNNNNNNNNNNNNNNNNNNNNNNNNNNNNNNNNNNNNNNNNNNNNNNNNNAUCGACGACGACAGACCUGAUAAAACAUAAGAAAACAAAGAAGAAAUAAAAAGAGGAGAAGAAGAAAGGAAUAGAGGAGAGUAUCGAAGAAAAAAAAAGAAGAAAAAAAAAGAGGAGAAGAAGAAAGGAAUAGAGGAGAAGAAGAAAAAAUAGAAAUUUUCUUCUUCUUUUUUCCUCUUCUUAUUUAUUUCUCCUCUUCUUCCUCUCCUCUUCUUCUUUCUUUCCUCUUCUUAUUUUCUUCUUUCCUAUCUUUCUUUUUCUUCUUCUUCCCUUCCUAGCUAGAUAUAUAAAACUUUUCUAAAAUUGUAACUUUUGCAUAUGUAAAACUUUUUCAUGGAUCAUCAUUUCUCAUAUAUAUCGAAUAUAUAUCCAUUGUCAUAUAUAAAAACUUUCUAUAUAUGAACAAACAACUUUCUAUGAACAAAAAAACAUUUUUGACAUAUAUAUUCAUACAUUUUGAACAUCUACAUACAUACAAAUUUUUUUUGUUCACAUAUACAUUAUAGCCACAUACACAUAUACAUCACAUAUGAACAAAAAAAUUAAACUGAUAAAAAUAAAAAAACACAUAUACACAUAUACAUUAUAGCCACAUACACAUAUACACCACAUACNNNNNNNNNNNNNNNNNNNNNNNNNNNNNNNNNNNNNNNNNNNNNNNNNNNNNNNNNNNNNNNNNNNNNNNNNNNNNNNNNNNNNNNNNNNNNNNNNNNNNNNNNNNNNNNNNNNNNNNNNNNNNNNNNNNNNNNNNNNNNNNNNNNNNNNNNNNNNNNNNNNNNNNNNNNNNNNNNNNNNNNNNNNNNNNNNNNNNNNNNNNNNNNNNNNNNNNNNNNNNNNNNNNNNNNNNNNNNNNNNNNNNNNNNNNNNNNNNNNNNNNNNNNNNNNNNNNNNNNNNNNNNNNNNNNNNNNNNNNNNNNNNNNNNNNNNNNNNNNNNNNNNNNNNNNNNNNNNNNNNNNNNNNNNNNNNNNNNNNNNNNNNNNNNNNNNNNNNNNNNNNNNNNNNNNNNNNNNNNNNNNNNNNNNNNNNNNNNNNNNNNNNNNNNNNNNNNNNNNNNNNNNNNNNNNNNNNNNNNNNNNNNNNNNNNNNNNNNNNNNNNNNNNNNNNNNNNNNNNNNNNNNNNNNNNNNNNNNNNNNNNNNNNNNNNNNNNNNNNNNNNNNNNNNNNNNNNNNNNNNNNNNNNNNNNNNNNNNNNNNNNNNNNNNNNNNNNNNNNNNNNNNNNNNNNNNNNNNNNNNNNNNNNNNNNNNNNNNNNNNNNNNNNNNNNNNNNNNNNNNNNNNNNNNNNNNNNNNNNNNNNNNNNNNNNNNNNNNNNNNNNNNNNNNNNNNNNNNNNCCGGUUCAUGGCACCAAUCGGGACCAAUGCCACCUUUAGUCCCGGUUGGUCCCUUUUCAGCAGCCCAAAGGGCGGGAAGCGGCGACCUUUGGUCCCGGUUCGUGGAACCAACCGGGACCAAAGGGUGGGCAUUGGUCCCGGUUGGUGCCACGAACCGGUACCAAUGCCCCCUUUGGUCCCGGUUGGUGCCACGAACCGGGACCAAAGGCCUUGCGCUGCCAGCGGCCAAAAGUUUAGUCCCACCUCGCUAGUUGAGAGGGGCUCGGAGUGGUUUAUAAGCCCCAGUGCGGCUGCCCUCUCGAGCUCCUCUCAAAUGCAGGCUUACGGGCCUAAACUUGCACUAUGCUGUCUGUGGGCCUAUUGGGCCUUCUGCGGGCCUGAAUCCUGGCCCAGGUUGGGUUUCUAGUCGUAUUCAGGCCGUGGUGGCCCAAUAGGUGGCAGCUUUUUUAUUUUUAUCCAAUUUUUUGGUUUUGUUUUCUGCAUUAUUUAUUUUCUUUUGUUUUUUGCUUUAUUUUUUAAUUCUUUUUGCUUUUAGGUCAGAAAAAUUAUAGACUUUCUGUUAGUGCCAUUAGUUUUCAAAUUUGAAUUCUAUGAAAUUUGUGUGAAUCAUAAUUUUGUGAUUAACUUUACUAUAAAAAUAGUUUUUUUUUCAGUUUUUUGUUUUGUUUUUUGCAUUAUUUAUUUUCUUUUUUUUUGCUUUAUUUUUUAAUUCUUUUUUCUUUUAGGUCAACAAAAUUAUAAACUUUCUAUUAGUGCCAUUAGUUUUAGAAAAAAUAUAAACUUUCUAUUAGUGCCAUUAGUUUUCAAAUUUGAAUAGUGAAAAUUUGAAUUCUUUGAAAUUUGUGUGAACCACAAGUUUGUGAUUAACUUUACUAAAAAAAUGAGCAUAGCUGCGCCUAUAGAGAAAAUUCAACCUAAAUUCAUAAUAAAUUUCUAUGAAUUUCAGAGAAAUUCACUAUGAAUUUAGGUCAAAUAACGGGACCAAAAGGUCCAGACGAACCGGGACCAAGGGCCCACAUGGCUGCCCUCUUUGAGUGUUCUUGGUGAGAACAUAGUUGACAAGGAGCGAACCGGGAUUAAUGGUAUUACGAGGGCCGAACCAUAAGACAUUAAAGCAUUUCAAAUGAACUCUGAAAAAGUUGAAAGUUUGCAUGAUAUCAUAAUUUCACCCACAUACCAUGUGCAUCUACAAAACGGACAAUGGUAUCAUACUCGUCUGUUACAAAGUUGGCAUGGUAUCAUCAUAAUAGUUGCGGGAGAAAGUCUUCACUUUUUCAUCGCUUGUGUCAUUUCCUUAUUGCGUCGUAACCAUGGAUAAUCUUCAUCGUUUAUCAGGAUGCUUGGGUCAGCCUUGACUUUGAAGGGAGGAAUUUCAUGAAACUUUUCAUAAUCUUCAGACAUGUCUGUCUUGCCCUCCACUCCCAGAUGUCGUUUUUUCCUGAAAGAACUAUGUGGCGCUUUGGCUCAUCGUAUGAUGUAUUCGCUUCCUUAUAUUUUAUUUUUCUCGGUUUGAUAGACAUGUCCUUCACAUAGAUAACCUGUGCCACAUCAUUGGCUAGGACGAACGGUUCGUCGGUGUACCCAAGAUUUUUCAGAUCCACUGUUGUCAUUCCGUACUGUGGGUCUACCUGUACCCCGCCUCCUGACAGAUUGACCCAUUUGCACUUAAACAAAGGGACCUUAAAAUCAUGUCCGUACACUAUGUAACCAUAAUAUGUGUCCUUUCCCCUCUCGGUUGCUGCAUCAAAGCGGACACCGCUGUUUUGGUUGGUGCUCUUUUGAUCUUGGGCGAUCGUGUAAAAUGUAUUCCCAUUUAUCUUGUAUCCUUUGUAAGUCAAUACAGUCGAAGAUGGUCCCCUGGACAACGAGUACAGCUCAUCACAAACAGUGUUGUCACCUCUGAGACGUGUUUCCAACCAACUGCCAAAAGUCCUGAUGUGUUCACAUGUAAUCCAGUCGUCACACUGCUCCGGGUGUUUGGAGCGCAGAUUGUUCUUGUGUUCAUCGACAUAUGGGGUCACCAAGGUAGAGUUCUGUAGAACUGUGUAGUGUGCUUGAGACAAAGAAUGCCCGUCCCUGCAUAUUAUUGAGUCCGCUCCUAGCGUGCCUUUUCCAGUCAGUCUCCCCUCAUACCGCGAUUUAGGGAGACCUAUCUUCUUAAGGCCAGGAAUGAAGUCAACACAAAACCCAAUGACAUCCUCUGUUUGAUGGCCCAUGGAGAUGCUUCCUUCUGGCCUAGCGCGGUUACGGACAUAUUUCUUUAGGACUCCCAUGAACCUCUCAAACGGGAACAUAUUGUGUAGAAAUAUGGGUCCCAGAAUGACAAUCUCGUCGACUAGAUGAACUAGGACGUGCGUCAUGAUAUUGAAGAAGGAUGGUGGGAACACCAACUCGAAACUGACAAGACAUUGCGCCACAUCACUCCUUAGCCUUGGUAUGAUUUCUGGAUCGAUCACCUUCUGAGAGAUUGCAUUGAGGAAUGCACAUAGCUUCACAAUGGCUAAUCAGACGUUUUCCGGUAGAAGCCCCCUCAAUGCAACCGGAAGCAGUUGCGUCAUAAUCACGUGGCAGUCAUGAGACUUUAGGUUCUGGAACUUUUUCUCUGGCAUAUUUAUUAUUCCCUUUAUAUUCGACGAGAAGCCAGUCGGGACCUUCAUACUGAGGAGGCAUUCAAAGAAAAUUUCUUUCUCUUCUUUCGUAAGAGCGUAGAUGGCAGGACCUUCAUACUGCUUCGGAGGCAUGCCAUCUUUUUCGUGCAAACGUUGCAGGUCCUCCCGUGCCUUAGGUGUAUCUUUUGUGUUCCCAUACACGCCCAAGAAGCCUAGCAGGUUCACGCAAAGGUUCUUUGUCACGUGCAUCACGUCGAUUGAAGAUCGGACCUCUAGGUCUUUCCAGUAGGGUAGGUCGAAGAAUAUAGAUUUCUUCUUCCACAUGGGUGCGCGUCCCUCAGCGUCAUUCGGAACAGCUAGUCCGCCGGGACCCUUUCCAAAGAUUACGUGUAAAUCAUUGACCAUAGCAAGUACGUGGUCACCGAUACGCAUGGUGGGCUUCUUCCGGUGAUCUGCCUCGCCUUUGAAAUGCUUGCCUUUCUUUCGACAUUGAUGGUUGGUCGGGAGAAAUCAACGAUGGCCCAGGUACACAUUCUUCCUGCAUCUGUCCAGGUAUAUACUUUCGGUGUCAUCUAAACAGUGCGUGCAUGCGUGGUAUCCCUUGUUUGUCUGUCCUGAAAGGUUACUGAGAGCGGGCCAAUCGUUGAUGGUUACAAACAGCAACGCAUGCAGGUUAAAUUCUUCCUGUUUGUGCUCAUCCCACACACGUACACUGUUUCCAUUCCACAGCUGUAAAAGUUCUUCAACUAAUGGCCUUAGGUACACAUCAAUGUCAUUGCCGGUUUGCUUAGGGCCUUGGAUGAGAAUUGGCAUCAUAAUGAAUUUCCGCUUCAUGCACAUCCAAGGAGGAAGGUUAUACAUACAUAGAGUCACGGGCCAGGUGCUGUGAUUGCUGCUCUGCUCCCCGAAAGGAUUAAUGCCAUUCGCGCUUAAAGCAAACCACACGUUUCUUGGGUCACUUGCAAACUCAGCCCAAUACUUUCUCUCGAUUUUUCUCCACUGCGACCCGUCAGCGGGUGCUCUCAACUUCCCGUCUUUCUUACGGUCCUCACUGUGCCAUCGCAUCAACUUGGCAUGCUCUUUGUUUCUGAACAGUCGUUUCAACCGUGGUAUUAUAGGAGCAUACCACAUCACCUUAGCAGGAACCCUCUUCCUAGGGGGCUGGCCGUCAACAUCACCAGGGUCAUCUCGUCUGAUCUUAUACCGCAAUGCACCGCAUACCGGGCAUGCGUUCAAAUCCUUGUACGCACCGCGGUAGAGGAUCCAGUCAUUAGGGCAUGCAUGUAUCUUCUGCACCUCCAAUCCUAGAGGGCAUACGGCCUUCUUUGCUGCGUAUGUACUGUCGGGGAAUUCGUUAUCCGUUGGAAGCUUCUUCUUCAAUAUUUUCAGUAGCUUCUCAAAUCCUUUGUCAGGCACAACAUUCUCUGCGUUCCACUGCAGCAAUUCCAGUAGGUACCGAGUUUUGUGUUGCCAUCUUCGCAAUUGGGGUACAACCCUUUUUUGUGAUCCUCUAACAUGCGAUCGAACUUCAGCUUCUCCUUUUGACUUUCGCAUUGCGUCCUUGCAUCGACAAUGACCCGGCGGAGAUCAUCAUCAUCGGGCACAUCGUCUGGUUCCUCCUGAUCUUCAGCAGCUUCCCCCAUUGCAGCAUCACCUUAUUCAGGGGGCACAUUGUUGUCAUCGUCCUCUUCUUCUUCGCCGUCUUCCAUCAUAACCCCUAUUUCUCCGUGCCUCGUCCAAACAUUAUAGUGUGGCAUGAAACCCUUGUAAAGCAGGUGGGUGUGAAGGAUUUUCCGGUCAGAGUAAGACUUCGUAUUCCCACAUUUAGGGCAUGGACAACACAUAAAACCAUUCUGCUUGUUUGCCUCAGCCACUUCGAGAAAAUCAUGCACGCCCUUAAUGUACUCGGAGGUGUGUCUGUCAUCGUACAUCCAUUGCCGGUUCAUCUGCGUGCAUUAUAUAUAAUUAAGUGUGUCAAAAACCAUUACAGAACAUCAUGAAUAGAUAAUUAAGUGACCAAAUUAAUAGAAUUUCAUCAUCACAUUAAAACCAAAGUACAUACAUAGUGCUCAUCUAACAACAUAUAGCUCUCCAGAGCAUCUAAUUAAUUAAACCAUACAUUGAAACUAUGUAAAACAUUUCAAUGCGAAAACAAAUGCGAUCAUAAUCGCAACCAAGGUAACAAUUGAUCCAACGGCAUAAUGAUACCAAGCAUCGGUAUGAAUGGCAUAUUUUCUAAUCUUUCUAAUCUUCAAGCGCAUUGCAUCCAUCUUGAUCUUGUGAUCAUCGACGACAUCCGCAACAUGCAACUCCAAUACCAUCUUCUCCUCCUCAAUUUUUUUUUUAUUUUUUCCUUCAAGAAAUUGUUUUCUUCUUCAACUAAAUUUAACCUCUCGACAAUAGGGUCGGUUGGAAUUUCCGGUUCACAUACCUCCUAGAUAAAUAAAAUCUAUGUCACGUUGGUCGGCAUAAUUUUCAUAAACAAUAAAUGAACCAAUUGUUAUAAAGAUAAUAUAUACCACAUCCGAAUCAUAGACAGGACGAGGGCCGACGGGGGCGGAUACCAAAACCAUCGCACUAUAUAAUAACAAGCAAUAAAAUAGUAAGAAAAUUAGACAAGUAUCUAUCUAAAGUAAGAAUUUUUUUUCUUUCAGAAAGAAGAUAAGAACAAGAGGCUCACCACGGUGGUGCCGGCGACGAGAUCGGCGCGGGCAAUCGACAACAGUGAAGACGGGAAUGGGACGUGACGGGCCGCUAAACCUAAACAAAUCUCGAGGAAAAUGGAGCUUCGAGGUUGAGCUUCGAGAGGAGAAAGCUUAACUAGUGUGGCUCGGGCAUUUCAUCGAACACCUCAUGUGCAUAGGAGGUGAGCUAGAGCACCACAAAGCCCUCCACUCGCCGGCCAGAGAAAAACAAAGCACUGGAGUGCUCUGCUCGGGGGCGAGGGGUAUAUAUAGGCACACCAUUGGUCCCGGUUCGAGACAUGAACCAGGACUAAAGGGCAGCCAUUGGUCCCGGCUCAAGCCACCAACCGGGACCAAUGGUGGUGGGCCAGGAGCCAGACCCAUUGGUCCCGGUUCGUCCCACCAACCGGGACCAAAAGGUCCAGACGAACCGGGACCAAUGGCCCACGUGGCCCGGCCGGCCCCCUGGGCUCACGAACCGGGACCAAUGCCCCCAUGGGUCCCGGUUCUGGACUGAACCGGGACUAAAGGGCUGAGUUGGCCGAACCAAAGGCCCCUUUUCUACUAGUGAUACCAGAACAACAAUUGCCGCCAAUGAAGAGAAGCUUAAAUCGAAGGAUCCAAACUGAAGACACAUGAACAAAGACGAACAAACACAGGAUCCCAUUAGAUCCACCAAAGAGAACCAUCGACCGAAUCUCGCGAGAUCCGUUAUGCAUAUUUUACUUGUCUACUCCCUCCGUUCCUAAAUAUAAGUUCUUUUAGGGAUUUAAAUAUGGACUACAUUCGGAGCAAAAUGAGUGAAUCUACACUCUAAAAUAUGUCUACAUGCAUCCGUAUAUAGUCUAUAGUGGAAUUCCUAAAAAGACUUAUAUUUAGGAACAGAGGGAAUAUGUUACUAUGUGGAUGGUUGGGAGUAACAUAUAUGUGGUGUCAUUCAACACUUCAUUUAUUAGCUUAUAGACUCAUCUGGUCUUGAUAUGUGUGAUGUUACUCAUAACGUGAGUAACUAGCUAUGUUACUCAAAUCAUCUCUCCUCAUUAAAUCAUUGCCACAUAAACAAAUUUGUUGAGUUGGACCUGAUGUCUAGUGAAGUUACUCCCACUAUAGACAGUCGUAGUACUAGUCUGCCAUGAUAAUCUUCGCCCAUUAACUACCAUCGUUCUAUGCCCGGUGCCCUAUAUCCACGACACUGAAGCCACACCUCCGCUGUACACAAAUCCGUGUGCCACCAGUAGAAAGGCAUCGUGGAGACGAGCAACGUUGUUGCCACGUCAAUCGCCGGCACCUAUGAGGAAGGACCGUGGUGGACAUGAGGUUUAGGAUUCAAGGAUUAACUUGGGUCGCCGUAGGAGAGAGGAGUCUUUGGUAAACUCAUGUAAGUUUGGCCCUGAUCGUCUCAAAAGGGAGUAAAACAACAACACAAAAAUGUUUCAAGAUCACCAAAAUCGUAGAGCAUAAAGUACGGGUUUGAUGUUCGUCUGUUUGUUUUAGUCGUGGGACCCACGGCAAUCCUAUGGAGUGUUAUUCUGCUGACUUUCAAUUUCAAAUUUGUCAUGUUUCUUUUCUACCUUUGUAUACUAGAUUAUAUUCCGUUUGAGGAGGGUUACACUUCCUUUUGUAUCUUUUUGAAUUGUUUGGAUUGCUUAUUACAUGUGUCAUGUGGUAUCCUUCCUUUUGUGUCUAAUAAAACACAUCAAUGGCAUCUACUAUAAUAAAGUUUGUCGGGCUCCAAUGAGGGUGUGGCGAUGACGGUGACGCGUCUUCGACUCGCUACAGCGAUUGUACCCGUCGUUAGGUGGUCUAUGGAUCUAGAUGUAAUUUUUUUACUUUGAAUGUUCUUUGUACUAUGAUAACAGUUGACGAAUAGAUUGAAAGUUUCUUGUAAAAACAAAGUUAAAUGUGAGGUUAUUUGAAAACAUGAUGAAUGAGAAGAAUGAAUAGCCUCCUUCCCUAAGAAAAGCUUAGGGUUCCUCUGUCUCCCGCCGGCGCCGGCGCCGGUCCGCCUCGUCUCCGGCGGCCUUAGGGCCAUGGCGGCGCGGUGGAUCCCGGUCCUUGCCGCCGGGAGGGCUCUCUUUUUAGAUGUUUCUUCGAGUUUUGUUAGGGUUUGUGUCCUGUUCAGGAAGACAAGACGGCGGCCGCUCUCUGAAGAUGGAAUAAGGUCCUCCCCGCUUAACCCCCGUCCCAGUGGUGUGUCUAGCAUUGUCGGUGGGCGUGUGGAGGUGUGUCUCCGUCGGAUCUGUCCUUGAUGGAUUUGCUCUGAUCUAGUCGUAGCUUGUCUAUGUUUGUGUUUCUUCAGGUUGGACCCUUCAGAUCUACGCUACUCUUUAUCGAAGGUGGUUGCUGUUCUAUUGUGCUGGUCCUAUGGGGGCCUUAGCAUAACGAUUUCCUGAAUGUCUACUACAACAAGUUUUGCCCAGCUCCGGCUAGGGAGAGGCGAUGACGGCGACGCGCCUUCGGCUCGCUUCAGUAUUUGUAGUCGUUGCUAGAUGGUAUACUUAUCUGGAUGUAAUUUUUAUUAUUUCUGAUAUUAAUGUACUGCCAUGAUUGAAAAUGAUAGACCCGAAGAUUUCUCGGAAAAAAAAAAGAAGAAUGAAUAGGUCGAGGAGCGGAACUAAUGGUCGCCUGGAUCUGAUGUAAAAAAAGGUCACCUUGAUCGAAUUUUGUCCAUGGAGUUGAGAUCGGGGAGUCGCAAAGUUCGCAUGGAGUUGAGGAGAUCGGGGUGUCGCCUCCGCUUCUCGCGGCAUCAGCUAGGUCUUCCACGUGGCGUCGGACCGGACCACAUCAGCGCCCUCCCCGACGACCUGCUCCUGCUCGUCCUCGCCCAUCUCCCAUGAAUCGCCGCCGCCGCGCGCACCGGCGUCCUCUCCCGCCGGUGGCGCGGCCUCUGGGCCCAUCUUCGCCGGAUCGUCUUCCACGACACUGUCUUAGACUCCAUCGAACUGGCGCUUGGCCGUGUCUCUCAUGUGGUUUCCCUCCUCAAAAUCCACGUCCCCGCGCCACCUGACCGGGUCGGCGCCGCCCGCGUCAACUCGCUGCUGCGCGCCGCCGCAAGGCUCGAGCGGGAGGAGUUCUUCCUCCACCUCUCACAGGACUUGUUCGGCCCUUUCCCAGUCGUCGAUCUGCCAUGCUUCCGCCGUGCCACUUCCAUCGCAUUGGACAUUUUUUCCGCCAUACGCGUGCCGGCCGGCAUCGAGUUCCCCGCGCUUGAGACGCUGCACCUGUCGUGCUGCAAUGACGCCUUCGACUCCUUGCUCUCCAGCUGCCCGCGCUUGCGAACGCUCCAGCUCCACGGCAUUGUGUUGAACGUAACCUCCCUGAGGGUCAACUCGCCGUCGCUGCUGGAGCUUGUCGUAGACCGCAGAUUUACACACAGUGUCAGCAUUGUUGCCCCUGCGCUUAAGCAGUUGACCGUGUCCUUCACCACCUCCAAGCUCUGCAUCAUCUCCGUCUCGGCACCAAUGGUGGAGAAGGUCUCGUGGAAUUGCUGCUACCACUAUGGGGUGCAUGUUGUUUUUGGUCUCUGGUACCUCGAGCAGGUGACUCUGCAGACGGCAGAGACACAAGGGCAGCUGCCUUCGCUGCACANNNNNNNNNNNNNNNNNNNNNNNNNNNNNNNNNNNNNNNNNNNNNNNNNNNNNNNNNNNNNNNNNNNNNNNNNNNNNNNNNNNNNNNNNNNNNNNNNNNNNNNNNNNNNNNNNNNNNNNNNNNNNNNNNNNNNNNNNNNNNNNNNNNNNNNNNNNNNNNNNNNNNNNNNNNNNNNNNNNNNNNNNNNNNNNNNNNNNNNNNNNNNNNNNNNNNNNNNNNNNNNNNNNNNNNNNNNNNNNNNNNNNNNNNNNNNNNNNNNNNNNNNNNNNNNNNNNNNNNNNNNNNNNNNNNNNNNNNNNNNNNNNNNNNNNNNNNAUCUUUGUGAAUGAUAUAUAUCCUGCCAACUUUUAUUUUUCUUCAGGGCUCUACUAUUGUUCGUGAUGAGGCUGACAACUUUGCACACGAGGUAGAGAAGCACAUGGUUGCUGCCUUCUCUGUUUUGGAGCUACUUCUCACAACAUACGGGCAUGCAUUUGGAGCAUUGGUGUUUCAUCUCCUUGGGAUGGAUCGAAUUUGUACCGCUAUUCGGAGGCUUAGGGUUGCCCAACAGAGAUUGGUAUGGUAACUCUCAUUUCUGAUUACUUAUCUCAACAAUGCAUUGUGUAGUUACAUAUUGACGUUUAUUUUUUGUUUUAGGUGGAUGAAGGAUGUGAAUCAGAUUGUCCAUGUGAGCCAACAGACUGGAGGUCCCAAACUAUCUCCCUGACUGCUCUCGAAGAAGUGGAGAUCGAUGGCUUCGAAGGAGAGGAUCAUGAGUUCGAUUUUUUGAGACUGAUAGUUAGAUGUGCACCAAUGCUUAGAAGAAUGAUUCUGAAGUUGUCACGGGAGGCCUCAGAAAGUAAUGAUGUAUGCGCAAAGAUAUCCAAAUUCUUCAGGGAGUUUUCUUCUCUGGAAUGUCGUGCUCAUCAUAGCUCUGGUGAGGUAUAUCUUCGGCAUGCAUGAUUAGCAUGCUCGCCUAGAUGAAACAAAAAUAUAAUUGUUGUUCUUUGUAAGAUUUGUCGAAAAUUUGGUAUUGACACGCCAACUAUAGAGUUUGCUUCUUCAUGUAUCUUAUUUAUUAGCUAAUUGAGCAUGCUAUAUUUCUAUGAAAUAUUUAUGAGCAUACCCUCAUACUUCUAUGAAUUAAAUAAAAGCUGAAUGGUGGAGUGGGUGAUAAGAAAUUUUCAAUAUUUUUUAUGCAGGCAUGCUUUUGCAUUUUGCAAUCUUCUCUAAUUUGGCACCAUUAUUAUGUUUCACAUACGUAAGAUUUUCUAUGUUAGCUGCAUAUAUAGAGUUUAACUUGAAAUAUUGAUUCGUGCCAAACCCCAAGGUGUUGUUCCUGGGUCUAGAAAUGCCUCUCUCUUUUGGACGCCAUGAAUAACGCAGUUGUCAUCAUCUCAUUUCAAAGAAACAUCACAAAUCAGGACUCAAUCCUUCUCAUGGUUCAGCCUGGUAAAAUAAAAUAAAACCAUCCAGUUUCUAGUAUCAAAGAACAUGAGCAACACAAGGUAUGUUACUGUUGGACAUACGUAGAUUCAGCGACUGUUACACCCUUACUCAGGCCUGCACUGUCUUUUCCCUUGUUGCUGUUUUUGUAGAAGAUCAUCAUGUCAUGUCCAAGACAUAUCAUUUCCUUUCCGUCGGCGAGGUGAUCCUCUUGAGUGCGCUGUUGAAGCAUACGAGCUGGAUUGCGCCAGCAGCAAGGCUACGAUUCACAUCAACACAGGAACAUACCAUGUGACCCCAACUUCCGAACAUACGAGCUGGGUUGCAGUAGUAGCAAGGCUACAAUUCACAUCAACACAGGAACGUACUAUGUGAUUGCCAUCAACCACACCGAUUCCUACUUCUGGGUCAUGGAUCCCAACUUCAAUACCAGUAGCAGCUGCCCUCUUCCACUGUGGAGUCACGUUCCUUAUUUAGGACAACGUGGCAAAAAUGUUUCAGAUUCACCUUCCCUUUUUGAUUUUGUCACACGCAGCCCCUACACAGCAUGUCUCGCUAAUUGUUCGAGAGCAGUAACAAAUAAUAGUGCGUACAAGACCAUUGCUUGCCUGAGUGCCAACAAUCAAUUCACAUGUUUAUGUCUGGGUGCCUGAUGUGUAUACUAGAACCCAGACAAUCCAUUUUAUGUCUGGGUGCGUACAAGCCCAUUGCUUGCCUGAGUGCCAACAAUCCAUUUUCUCCUAAAUUUAGUUUCCCUUCUUAUUUUCUUGAAGAAUUAACUUGGGGAAUUACACUAGCGGUGGCAGCCGGGAAGUAGUUAACCCCAAAAUUUGUCACUCCAGCGAUUACAAUAGCAAUAAUUUAUGACAUUGCAAUUACACUGCAAAGUUUGUCACUCCAGCAAUUUGGUUUUUGUUGUAAUUAUAAAAAAGAGUAAUUUGCAUUUUCACAACUUAAUUUAACCCAAAAACAUUGGGGUUUGGCUUUCUCACACCACUAUACAAUUCAAUUGUGUAUUGCAUUUGGCUCUAUUUUUUUCUUCGAUCUGAUCAGGCUAGCCUGUCGGGCACAGGUCAAGAUCAUGUUGCUUUUAAAAUCAAUAGUCCAAAAUGCAACGUGUAGCCAAAUUUAAAGAGAGUCAAACACUGGCGUUUUGCGCAAAUGGGAUCGAGUUAGUAUGCAAAUGGAAUUUGCCCUAUCUAAACACCGUGCUCCGUUCUAAAUCCAUUUCUUUGCAGUUGUAUGAUCUGCAGCUACUUCAAAGAGCAAGUAUCUGGCGCAAACAUCACACUACCAGAAGCUGUACUUUUCCUGUAGGUGACAAAUUUUCCUGUGAGGCCUGAAGCCCCUCACAGGAAUAUAAUUUUUCCUGAAGGGCUAACUUUGGCCUCCAGGCAAAUCGCCUAUUUUCCUGAGAGUCCAGCCCACAGGAAAAUUGCUGUAGGAUCUAUUGUAUAGAUAUGCAAAAAUGAUGAAGCUUGAAAGAGUUAAGAGGAUAACAACUCUUAUGGUGAUGGAUGUUUGGUCAUCAUCUCCUGUUCCUUUCAAUAAACUAUUAUUCCCGUUAAUGGUGUACAUGACUUUGCAGGGAAUACCGGUUCAUCCCCUGUUAGCUUGGAGGAUGGUGCUAUGGCACUAGUAGAAAAAGGGCCAUUUGUCAUGGUUCAUAAGGGCCUUUUGUGCCGGUUUAGGAACCGGGACUAAAAGGUCGGUACUAAAGCUCUAGGCCUUUAGUCCCGGUUCUUACACGAACCGGGACAGAUGGGCCUCCACGUGGCCGCUGCGGCCAGCCCAGGCAGGAGGGCCUUUGGUCCCGGUUGGUGACACCAAUCGGGACCAAAAGGCAUCCACGCGUCAGCAUUCCAGGGGCUGGGGUUUUUGUUUUUUUAAGGGGGGGAGGGUUUAGGGGGUUUUGGGGGGUUAAUUUAGGUGUUUCAUAUAUUGUGUUAGCUAGCUAAUUAAUAGAGAGAAGUGUCCUCUCUUAUCUCCGUGCUUGGUCGAUGCUAUGUACUAUAUGUAUAUAGAGGACUCGACACGCCAUACAUUUAGAGAGGACUUAGAUUGAACUGAGGCAACAUGUGGUGCAUGUCGAAAGUAAUACUAAUCCUAACUUGAUCAAGUUUGGAUUGUACUACUUUCGACAUGCACCACAUGCAUGUUGCCUUCACUUCAAUCCAAUCCAUGCUCGCAUCGUGCAUCAUCAUAAUAACAAGUCCUACUAAUCAUCAUCAUACAACUUCUACUCGUUAUUAAUAACAAGCCAUACGAUCAUCAUCCUGAUAGUCAUCGAACCAACCCUACUUAAUUGUUCUUAGCACAUGAUCAUCAGUAUUAGGCAGGACCUAAAUACCCUAUUUAAGAUAAAAUAGCAUAAAACAAUAUAGACCCUAACUCUUCAUUAUGGAGAAUGGAGAUCAUCCUGUCUCCAAUUCUUGCGCGGCGCUUCCUUUUGCUUCCAAAAAUCUCCUUACGACUGUCCAUACAUUUUUUCCAUUGUUUGAUUAGCAUGUCUCCACUUCUUUUAGAAUUCCGGUAUGGACAGUUGAGAUUCGUAGGAUGACCUGGUUGUAUGUUCAAAACAUGAAGGCUACCAUGCUCAUACAUCAAAUGAGGCACACAAUCCUCUGGGAUUCUUUGUUGAAAAACGGCGUAAUAACUUCAUAGUUAGCAAUUAUGUACUAGUUUUAGAUGUAUGCAAAAGAUGCACGGAUGUCGUAAUAGUAAAAAAUCUUACCUGGGUAUCUCCAUGAUAGUUACCGUAGUUCAACACGUGCACUAAUGGCACGUAUUGUCCAUAAUGUUGAGGAGUUUGAUUGUAGAUAUUGUAAUUCUCAAUAUCAGUACAAAAUCCGAACCGAUGAUUUUUCUCCUUAUAAGUUAAUUCAGAGCCAUCGGUGUAGUAGGUUCUGUCUACCAUCUUUCGCACAUUCUUUGAACAAUCAAAAUAAGCUGUCAAUGGAAAUAAGUUGUCAAUUAUUUUGAAAUAAACAAUAUAAAUUAGCUAAUAACUAUGUUUGAGAAACUCACAUAGCGGUAGAAUUGGAGGCGCAUCAACAAGGCCCCAAAUGUCCAUAUUGUCUUGCUCGAUUUCAGGAUCACCAAGAUCCAUGGUGACAAGCAUACCCUCAUCAAAACCAUACAUCUUGCAAAAUGCUUCCCAAUUUUUGCAACCAAAAUGGGUUACGCUCUCAGCAUUAUACAAAUUUAUUUCAGAAUCCACAUCAUGAUGAGUCCUUAGGUGAAUUUUCUUUGUUUCAUAAUUUUCAUGGUCUUCAAAAUCCAUCCUCUCCAAGACACAGCGUCUUCCAUGGCAUGGGAUAAACUAUACUCGAAUUGUAAAAGAUGAAAAUUACACGUUGAAAUAGUUGAAGUCAUGCUUAAUUAUGAAAAAAACACUUGUCGUCGUUGCGUACCGUUUCAACUUCGAAGGUCUCCUAGAGCUUAAUGCUGAAGCGACAAUCAUCGUCCAGGUGAGGCCUGUCGCACAGACCUCGAUCGUCGUGGCACCAGCCACACUCCCCCGAGAGACUUUCGUCGUCCGAUGACGACAUUUCCUACGUUCAUAAUUCAAAGAUUAAACUUGUACAAUUAAAUAUAUGUACUACAAAAACUAAAUUAGAUCAUUAUUAUUCAUCACGUGUUGACUAUCGGUCUAUCGAGUCUUUUCUUGAAAACUCUCAGCUCACGUGGUGUAUACAUUCAACCGUUGGUGAUGGUCACUCCUCCAUUUGUCCCUGAGUGCAUUACACCAAAAUGUCUAGCAAACGGGAACAAAGGAGAAGCGACCCCCAUGACAACAGUCGGGCUUCUUCGUCCUCUCAUAUAUGGUGGAGACUCGACAGACUUAAAGUCAACCCGAAAUAUCAUCUAAUUUUAUUUCUAAAAAAGGAUUUGGCUGGUCUCACCUCGAGGUCGGAGGGGGUCGGUGACGGGGACGACGGCGGGGAUGAUGGAGGGGGGCUCCUAGAUUUCUAUGAAAACAAAAACCCUAUAAGCUAUCAACUAAUCAUAUGCAAAAUCAAAUCGCAAAAUAAAAUAGUAUUCAAAUUAGGAUGCAUUCAAUUAUAAGCAAAACUACAUCAUCUCUUGCGUCCGUACAUCGUCGAAUAUUAUCACUAAUACACCUCGAAUACUAUCAUACAUAUAGCAUCGCUAGUACAGCUAGAACCGUAGUGCCCGACGGGUAUCGGCGUGGGCGGUGGACACCCAAAGAGAAGGAACCAUCACAGGAUCAUAGCUCCAGUGAGAUCCCUGAAGAAGCUGCCAGGUAUUGUCGAACCUGCCCUCCAACGCAACCAUGUAGCGACGGACGUGCUCGUCCUCCUCGCUGACACGGUGACGUACCAUCUCCGCGGUGUCCAGAAGCCUCGACGCCGUCAUAGGCCCACACGACCGCCACCAAACAAGGAUCGGGUGGCUCCUCACCAACCUACGCACCCCGGAAGGUAGCACCUCCAAAAAACCAGCCCGGCGGAGCCCAGUCCUGGACAUGGCCCCUCUGAUCAAGCCGGCCUCCUCCGCCGAGUCGAUGACGAGGAUGCGGGAUAGGCAUCGUCGACGUCGAUGCAAGAAUAAUUGCUUGAACUAAAAAAAUAAACUAGUUCUAUUUUUUUUCCUAAAAAUAAACUACUUCUAUAUAUAGUAAAAUAAAGUAGUUUUAUUAAAUCAACUAGUUCAACUACUAAACACUUACUAUAAAUAAAAUAAACUAGUACUUACUAAAAAUAAACUACUUCUAUAUAUAGUAAAAUAAAGUAGUUUUAUUAAAUCAAAGUUCAACUACUAAGCCCCUCGACCCUCGACCCCUCGACGACCCUCGACCGCUCGGCGAUCGAAGAAAAAAAUCGAUAUCCCCCCUCAUGUCAUGUCCGACGUCCCCCCCUCAUCACAUGUCCGACCCUUAUUUUUUUUCCUCUGCUUCUUUUUCUUCUUCUUCCUUCUUCCUUCUUCCUCUUUUCUUCCUUUUCCUUAUUUUACUUUUUCCUCUACACAAACCUAAAAUGCACUAACAGUACAACAAACCUAAAAUGCACUAAAUCAACUAACCUAAAAUCGAUAUCUACUAAUUACAACCUAAAUAAUACAUAUAUGAACAAAACAAUUCAUCAUAUAUAUCAUCAUCUAUGAACAAAAAAAUCAUAAUAUGAACAAAAAAAAUUGUAUGAGCAAAACAUAGAGGAAAAGGGGGCCGGCCGCCGGACCGAAUGGGGAGGGGCGGCNNNNNNNNNNNNNNNNNNNNNNNNNNNNNNNNNNNNNNNNNNNNNNNNNNNNNNNNNNNNNNNNNNNNNNNNNNNNNNNNNNNNNNNNNNNNNNNNNNNNNNNNNNNNNNNNNNNNNNNNNNNNNNNNNNNNNNNNNNNNNNNNNNNNNNNNNNNNNNNNNNNNNNNNNNNNNNNNNNNNNNNNNNNNNNNNNNNNNNNNNNNNNNNNNNNNNNNNNNNNNNNNNNNNNNNNNNNNNNNNNNNNNNNNNNNNNNNNNNNNNNNNNNNNNNNNNNNNNNNNNNNNNNNNNNNNNNNNNNNNNNNNNNNNNNNNNNNNNNNNNNNNNNNNNNNNNNNNNNNNNNNNNNNNNNNNNNNNNNNNNNNNNNNNNNNNNNNNNNNNNGGGGCGAGGGUCGACGCUGAGCACUGGCAGGGGGGCCGCUGGGGCGCGUCGACGGCAAGCUCAGGGCAGGGCGAUGGCGACGGCGUCCGGCAGCCUGGCAGCGUCCUCUCCGCGUGCGUCGUCUGGGCGAACUGCAAGAUUCAAUCCAAAAUUUUCACAAGUGUUUUCUUAUAUAGACGAAGCAUUGGUCCCGGUUCGUGGCACCAACCGGGACCAAUGCUCCCUUUAGUCCCGGUUGGUGGCACCAACCGAGACUAAAGGGGGGGCAUUGGUCCCGGUUGGUUCCACAAACCGGUACUAAUGCACCCAUUUAGUCCCGGUUGGUGCCACCAACCGGGACCAAAGGCCUUGUGCUGUUGCGCCCGCAUCGAAAGUUUAGUCCCACCUCGCUAGUUGAGGGGGGCGCGCAGUGGUUUAUAAGCCCUACUGCCGCACCCCUCUCGAGCUCCUCUCCAUUGCAGGCUUACGGGCCUAAUUGUCUCCGCUAUGCCUGAUGGGCCUACUGGGCCUUCUUCUGGCCUAAAUCCUGGCCCAUGGGUGGGUUUCUAGUCGCUAUUUUGUUUUGUUUCUAAUUACUUAUUUAUUUCACUUGAUGAUAAUUAUUUUUGCUUUAUGUUAUUAAAGUUUAUUUUAUUUUGUUUCUACUUAUAUAUUUUAUUAAAGUUUAUAUUAUUUUGUUUCUAAUUACUUAUUUAUUUUAUCUUAUGAUAAUUCUUUUUGCUAUUUGAUGAAAAUUCUUUUUGCUUUUAAUGAUUUUGAACAGAAAAUACUUUGAUAAUUUUAGUUUUCAUGCAUUUACUAAUUUUUUGAGCUAUAAGACCCUGAAAUUGAAAAGCACUGCACAUGAACUCUGAAAAGGUUGAAAGUUGGCAUGGUAUCAUCAUUUCACCCACAUAGCAUGUGCAAGAAAGUAGAGAGGGUUACGACAAAAACGAGAUGCACUUCGUGUACAAAACGGACAAUCUCUUUCGAAGUAUCAGGGUUUCAUACGGAAACUCGUAUGUUACAAAGGGAUUUCAUUUUUUAAAACUUAUUUGAACUCCAUAGUUCUGGAGAGAUAGUCUUCACUUUUUUUUCUCUUGUGUGCUUUGCUUAUUGCGCCGUAACCAUGGAUAAUCUUCAUCGUUUAUCAGGAUGCUUGGGUCAGCCUUGACUUUGAAGGGAGGAAUUUCAUGAAACUUUUCAUAAUCUUCAGACAUGUCUGUCUUGCCCUCCACUCGCACGAUGUCCCUUUUUCCUGAAAGAACUAUGUGGCGCUUUGGCUCAUCGUAUGAUGUAUUCGCUUCUUUAUCUUUUCUUUUUCUCGGUUUGGUAGACAUGUCCUUCACAUAGAUAACAUGUGCCACAUCAUUGGCUAGGACGAACGGUUCAUCAGUGUACCCAAGAUUGUUCAGAUCCACUGUUGUCAUUCCAUACUGUGGGUCUACCUGUACCCCGCCUCCUGACAGAUCGACCCAUUUGCACUUAAACAAAGGGACUUUAAAAUCAUGUUCGUAGUCAAGUUCCCAUAUGUCCACUAUGUAACCAUAAUAUGUGUCCUUUCCCCUCUCGGUUGCUGCAUCAAACCGGACACCGUUGUUUUGGUUGGUACUCUUAUGAUCUUGGGCGAUCGUGUAAAAUGUAUUCCCAUUUAUCUCGUAUCCUUUGUAAGUCAAUACAGUCGAAGAUGGUCCCGUGGACAACGAGUACAACUCAUCACAAACAGUGUUGUCACCUCUGAGACGUGUUUCCAACCAACUGCCGAAAGUCCUGAUGUGUUCACAUGUAAUCCAGUCGUCACACUGCUCCGGGUGUUUGGAGCGCAGACUGUUCUUGUGUUCAUCGACAUACGGGGUCACCAAGGUAGAGUUCUGUAGAACUGUGUAGUGUGCUUGAGACCAAGAAUGCCCGUCCCUGCAUAUUAUUGAGUCUGCUCCUAGCGUGCCUUUUCGAGUGAGUCUCCCGUCAUACCGUGAUUUAGGGAGACCUAUCUUCUUAAGGCCAGGAAUAAAGUCAACACAAAACCCAAUGACAUCCUUUGUUUGAUGGCCCAUGGAGAUGCUUCCUUCUGGCCUAGCACGGUUACGGACAUAUUUCUUUAGGACUCCCAUGAACCUCUCAAAGGGGAACAUAUUGUGUAGAAAUACGGGGCCCAGAAUGACAAUCUCGUCGACUAGAUGAACUAGGACGUGCGUCAUGAUAUUGAAGAAGGAUGGUGGGAACACCAGCUCGAAACUGACAAGACAUUGCGCCACAUCACUCCUUAGCCUUGGUAUGAUUUGUAGAUCAAUCACCUUCUGAGAGAUUGCAUUGAGGAAUGCACAUAGCUUCACAAUGGCUAAUCGGACGUUUUCCGGUAGAAGCCCCCUCAAUGCAACCGGAAGCAGUUGCGUCAUAAUCACGUGGCAGUCAUGAGACUUUAGGUUCUGGAACUUUUUCUCUGGAAUAUUUAUUAUUCCCUUUAUAUUCGACGAGAAGCCAGUCGGGACCUUCAUACUGAGCAGGCAUUCAAAAAAGAUUUCCUUCUCUUCUUUGGUAAGAGCGUAGCUGGCAGGACCUUCAUACUGCUUUGGAGGCAUGUCGUCUUUUUCGUGCAAAUGUUGCAGGUCCUCCCGUGCCUCAGGUGUAUCUUUUGUCUUCCCAUGCACGCCCAAGAAGCCUAGCAGGUUCACGCAAAGGUUCUUUGUCACGUGCAUCACGUCGAUUGAAGAGCGAACCUCUAGCUCUUUCCAGUAGGGUAGGUCCCAGAAUAUAGAUUUCUUCUUCCACAUGGGUGCGCGUCCCUCAGCGUCACUCGGAACAGGUAGUCCGCCGGGACCCUUUCCAAAGAUUACGUGUAAAUCAUUGACCAUAGCAAGUAUGUGAUCACCGGUACGCAUGGCGGGCUUCUUCCGGUGAUCUGCCUCGCCUUUGAAAUGCUUGCCUUUCUUUCGACAUUGAUGGUUGGUCGGGAGAAAUCGACGAUGGCCCAGGUACACAUUCUUCCUGCAUCUGUCCAGGUAUAUACUUUCGGUGUCAUCUAAACAAUGCGUGCAUGCGUGGUAUCCCUUGUUUGUCUGUCCUGAAAGGUUACUGAGAGCGGGCCAAUCGUUGAUGGUUACAAACAGCAAGGCAUGCAGGUUAAAUUCCUCCUGUUUGUGCUCGUCCCACGCACGUACACCGUUUCCAUUCCACAACUGUAAAAGUUCUUCAACUAAUGGCCUUAGGUACACAUCAAUGUCGUUGCCGGGUUGCUUAGGGCCUUGGAUGAGAAUUGGCAUCAUAAUGAACUUCCGCUUCAUGCACAUCCAAGGAGGAAGGUUAUACAUACAUAGAGUCACGGGCCAGGUGCUGUGAUUGCUGCUCUACUCCCCGAAACGAUUAAUGCCAUCCGCGCUUAAAGCAAACCAUACGUUCCUUGGGUCAGUUGCAAACUGAGCCCAGUAUUUUCUCUCGAUUUUUCUCCACUGCGACCCGUGAGCGGGUGCUCUCAACUUUCCGUCUUUCUUACGGUCCUCACUGUGCCAUCGCAUCAACUUGGCAUGCUCUUUGUUUCUGAACAGUCAUUUCAACCGUGGUAUUAUAGGAGCAUACCACAUCACCUUCGCAGGAACCCUCUUCCUGCGGGGCUCGCCGUCAACAUCACCAUGGCCAUCUCGUCUGAUCUUAUACCGCAAUGCACCGCAUACCGAGCAUGCGUUCAAAUCCUUGUACGCACCGCGAUAGAGGAUGCAGUCAUUAGGCCAUGCAUGUAUCUUCUCCACCUCCAAUCCUAGAGGGCAUACGACCUUCUUUGCUGCGUAUGUACUUUCGGGCAAUUCGUUGUUCUUUGGAAGCUUCUUCUUCAAUAUUUUCAGUAGCUUCUCAAAUCCUUUGUCAGGCACAGCAUUCUCUGCCUUCCACUGCAGCAAUUCCAGUACGGUACCGAGCUUUGUGUUGCCAUCUUCGCAAUUGGGGUACAACCCUUUUUUGUGAUCCUCUAACAUGCGAUCGAACUUCAGCUUCUCCUUUUCACUUUCGCACAUUUCCCUUGCAUCAACAAUGACCCGGCGGAGAUCAUCAUCGGGCACAUCGUCUGGUUCCUCUUGAUCUUCAGCUUCCCCCAUUGCAGCAUCACCGUAUUCAGGGGGCACAUAGUUGUCAUCAUCCUCUUCUUCUUCACUGUCUUCCAUCAUAACCCCUAUUUCUCCGUGCUUCGUCCAAACAUUAUAGUGUGGCAUGAAACCCUUAUAAAGCAGGUGGGCGUGAAGGACUUUCUAGUCAGAGUAAGACCUCGUAUUCCCACAAUCAGGGCAUGGACAACACAUAAAACCAUUCUGCUUGUUUGCCUCAACCACUUCGAGAAAAUUAUGCAUGCCCUUAAUGUACUCGGAGGUGUGUUUGUCACCGUACAUCCAUUGCCGGUUCAUCUGUAUGCAUUAUAUAUAAUUAUGUGUGUCAAAAACCAUUACAAAACAUACAAGUAAGAAAAAUCAAUAAUAAAAGUAAGAAAAAUUAGACAAGUAGCUAUCUAAUCAUACAAGUAAGAAUUUUUUUCUUUCAGAAAGAAGAUAAGAAUUAACAAGAGGCUCACCAUGGUGGUGCCGGCAACGAGAUCGGUGCGGUCGAUCGACGGCGGCGAAGACGGGGACGGGACGUGAUGGCCCGGUAAACCUAGACAAAUCUUGAGGAAAAUGGAGCUUCGAGGUCGAGCUUCGAGAGGGGAAAGCUUAACUAGUGUGGUUCAGGCAUUUCAUCGAACACCUCAUGUGCAUAGGAGGUAAGCUAGAGCACCACAAAGCUCUCCCCUCGCCAGCCACCAAAACAGAGCAGUGUGAAGUGCUCUGCUCGCCGGCGAGGGGGUAUAUAUAGGCAACUCAUUUGUCCCGGUUCGUGGUACGAACCGGGUCUAAAGGCCGUCCUUCUGUCCCGGUUCGUGCCACGAACCGGGACCAAUGGUUGUGGGCCAGGAGCGAGGCCCAUUGGUCCCGGUUCGUACCACGAACCGGGACCAAUGAGCCCAGACGAACCGGGACCAAUGCCCACGAGGCCCCGGCCGGCCCCAUGGGCUCAAAAACCGGGACAAAUGCCCCCAUUGGUCCCGGUCGUGUCAGAACCGGGACUAAUGGGCUGGCCAGGCCUCAACCAAAGCCCCUUUUUCUACUAGUGUGGGCGACCACGUCGGCAAUGGCAACAUUGGAGUCUACAAUGAUGGUGAGAACAUGGUGG